CAUGAUGAGUGUGAGACUCCUAUCAUUCACUGUGAUAUAAAGCCGCAAAACAUAUUGAUGGAUGAUUUAUGGAGAGCUAAAAUUUCAGACUUUGGGCUGGCAAAACUGUUGAUGGGAGAUCAAACAAGGACCUUCACAGUCGUAAGGGGAACUAGAGGAUACAUGGCACCAGAGUGGCAGAAAAACACUCCAAUAUCAGUGAAGGCUGACAUUUACAGUUACGGAAUUGUGCUGUUGGAGACUGUGUUUUGCCGACGGAACUUGGACAUCAAUGCAUCAAAACCAGAGGAGGUCAUUCUAUCAAGUAUGGUGUAUAGAUGUUUGGUUGAAAAGGAGUUGGAUAAGCUAAUGCUUGGUGAAGAAGUGGAUAAAAGAAGCUUGGAAAGAAUGGUGAUGGUGGCACUUUGGUGUAUUCAAGACGAACCAGCUCUUCGUCCUUCCAUCAAGACUGUAGUGAUGAUGCUGGAAGGGAUCACUGAUAUAUGUAUUCCUCCAUGUCCAACUGCUUCCUUCAUCUAGUUCAAGUGAUGAUCCAACAAUCAAUCAUUUCACUCAAAAGUAUAUGUGUAUAUUGUCAAUAAAUAUGUAAAAUGCUUCCUGUAGUGUCCUCUUAUGAUAGGCUUAGUAUGAAUAUUCAGUUGCGUUAUUAUUACUCAAUCAUAUAUUAAUGAAAUGAUUAAUUUUGAAUGUAAUUUAAGUAUAUCAUUAAACACAAAGUAUGAAGAAUUUACUUACAGGAACUGAUUAUCCAAUCGUAAGAAGCAGUAUUGCAGUAGCCAGUUGAUGAGUUUAUGUAAUAUGUGUAAAACUAUUACUUAUAUAAUGGCCACAUAUAAGGGCGGGUUUACGACCCUAACCCGGCCUAAUGGACUACCAUAAGAUAAUUGGAUAGUGACCUAUUGGACUAAUGGGUCAUUUUGUCACAUAAAAAACUUUUGAGUUGGUAGUCUCUAGUUUGGGCCUUUAUACAUAAAACAACAAUUUUCAGGCCUAAAUGAGUUUCAUUUAGGCUAGAAAAUAAUUUUACUCAAAGCUUGGCCUUAUAAAAUGGAAUAAAUUAUAAAUACAAUAUAUUAAUACUCAAUAGAAAAUUUUAAAUUAUUAUAUACUUUUAUAUUUAAUUAAAUAUAUGUUAAUUGUUAAUUGUUAAAUUUUAAAAUUUAUUUUUUACUAUUUUAAAAUAGAAUUAAUCGUUAUAAUUAAAAUAAAAUAAACAGGGAUAAAUUAGUAAUAUAAUAAGCUAAUACUCAAUAGAAACAUUAAACUAUUAUACCCUUUUGGGUAUGGAGUAGACCUGUCCAUGGGCCGGGAGGCCCGGCCUGCUCAAAAUAUGAGAGGGUUCGGGUAAAAAUAUAGGCCCGAAAUAUGGGCUUAGACAAAAAACGAGGCCCGUUUAAAAAACGGGUUGGGCCUCGAGCACCACUUUUUUGGCCCGGGCCCGAAUAUAAUAAAUAUAUAUUUUUUUAUUUUUAUUUUUAAAUUUUUAAUUUUAAAAUACUUUUAAAAUAAAUUUUUUUAUUUUUUUAAAUAAUUUUUUAAUGUUUAUUUUAAAAAUGGGCCGGGCCGGCUCGGGCUCGGGCUUAUGAUAUUUUUCUCGGGCCGGGCCUGGGCAAAAUUUCAGGCCCAUAUUUUGUGCCGGUCCUGGCCCGUUCCAAGGAGGCGGGCCAAAAAUUUUUCCAGGCCCGGCCAAAACUCGGCCCGGCCCAUGGACAGGUCUAGUAUGGAGUGAGUUCAAAACUCAUGACCAACAUUUAUCUUCUUAAUGAGCCUAUAAAAUACGACAAAUUAAUUACUAAACUCGAUCUGAUAGAUAUAUUGAGAAAUCAAAAAAAAUAAUUAUUACAAAAUUUCAAAAUUAUUUAACUAUUUGACCCAAAUCAAUUAAUAUCCAAAAUAAUUCAUACAAAAAAACUCAGCCCAUCAACAGGUGUGCUCCCAACCCAGAACAAUAUAAAUCCAAAGAUAAUUCGAUCCGAAUCCGCCAAACCCACCCGUUUGGUUGAAGGAGACCCAUUCUUCUGCAUUGCUUGCUUUGGUGCUUCUGAUCUAUGGCUUUAUUCUCGAGUUGAAGGAAAAGUUAAAUGGCUCCAGCAAAGAAGGGAAAAGUCAAAACCCAGAAAGCUGAAUCAUCGUAGCCCUCUGAAAAUGACUUCAAGUUCCCAUCUUCAAUCCGCUCGGUUCCUCCUUCGUCUGUUGCCUCCUUCGUCUGUUAUUCAAUUUUUGCAUGGGAAAAAGUAAGAUAGAUGAAGAGAAGAAAAACCCAAAAGCAAAAAAUAAGAAAAAGAAAUGAAAAAGACCUAUGCGUAUGCGCCCAAACGUGUUUCUUACACAACCGGGCCUAGGUAGUUACGAAGAAGCAAGAGUCUGAACUGUUCUAUUUAAUGGGUUUCCCCUGUAAUUUAUAUAGUUUAUAUUUAAUAUAAUAUUUGUAUAGUUGCUUCUUUUAGAUACUGUUUUUCGCUACUUGAAUUGCUAUUCGUUGGUUAAUUUAGUUCUUUUUGAGUUAUUUCUUACUGGGUUUUUUCUUCCCCUUAUGAAUGAGCUUCUGAUUGUUAUUUAUGGCUUUUCUACUUGCAGUGAAACUAUCUGCACAGGUGUUUCAAGUUCGAAUUUUCAGUUUCCCUUAAAAGGGUUUGAUUGUUCCACUUUUAGCUUCUUCUUCUUCUUUUUUUUUUUUUGUAAAUUUUAUAAUAUGGCAUCAUCUCAUAGCAAUACUCACACUGAAGCCGCAAAAUUGGAACAAAUCAUCACUGAAUUCUUCUAUAAGAGUCUUCUAAUUAUACUUGAAUCGAGGUCUCCUUAUGUGUCAUCGCGAAAUUGUAGUGGUGAACAAAUUAUGUCAUCUCCAUCUUCGUCCUCAUCAUCUUCCUCAGGUGUGAGACCAAGAGAUAAAUGGUUCAAUUUAGCUCUUAGGGAGUGCCCUUCAGAACUAGAAAAUUUUGAUCUUUGUCGCCAGAGUAAUUUUGAGCCGGUAGUGAGUGAUGUUAUCUUGGAGCAGAAGCCACUUGAUUGGGAUCCUGUGACCUUUUCCCCCAAACGUGAUCUUGUUAAGCAUUCUUCAUCAAAAGAUAAGAAUUCAUUUUUCUGGAAUUCUGAUCAAGAAGAAUCAGGCUGUGAGGCAAAAGGUGAGAAGGUUAUAGAAAGGUGGUUCGUGCAGCAUGAAAGUAGAAAGGGUAGUGAUUGCAGUUCAGGGAGUAGAAGGUCAAGUAGUAAUAAUUUGAGUGCAUUAUAUAAGAAAUUGGUAUUGCUGUUGAGGUCCUUAUAUGUGACCUUUAGGCUUUUACCUGCGUACAAGAUUUUUCGUGAUCUCAAUUCAUCUGGUCAAAUCCGUGCUUUUAAGCUUGUUCCUAGGGUAUCCUCUUCUGAUGAAUAUUUCACUCAGAAAGACGAGGCUGAAAUGCAGCGAAUUUGGAUCACCCCUGUGGAUACUUCUUGUGGAAGGCUUUGCCUUUCAGUUUUGUACCGUUCAUCAAUCUCAGAUAAAAGCUCCGUGUCAUCAACCCCUAUGUCCCCUCAAUUUAUACCAGAUUAUGUUGGAAGCCCAUUGACAGACCCACUGAGAAGAUUUCCUUCUCUUCCUGUGUCACAGGGCUCUCCAUCAUCUUUGCCAUUCUCAAGAAGACAGUUGGAGUUUUGAUCGUUACAAGGCUUCACAGCCUUCAGUUUCUCUCUCACCAUCCCCAACACAUUCAGAAUCACAUGCUUUGGUUUCUAACCCAAGCUCUCGCCGUGCGUGCCGCCACCUAUGAGCUUACCUCCUCAUCCUCCUGGGGCAUCUCUACCUCAUAAGAAGAAUACAAACUUUGAUGAGUAUUGGCCUUCCCCAAAAUUUUCUGCUUCCCCUUCCCCAUCCCCGCCCAUCCACAUUCCUGGGGGUCAUCUGUCAAAAGCUCUUUUACGUUCCGAAAGUGCUCCUGUUAACAUAUCUGUCCGUAAGCUUGCUGGUUCCCCUGCAUUGUCCUGCAAGCAAAAUUUGCCAUCUCCUCCCCUUAAAAUUUCAAGAGCUGAUAUUUCUUGGACUGAUAAUAAUAUGGGUCCCGUGAAAUCUGGCGCAACUAUCGAGAAGGUAUUUCAUAUAUGCCUCAUUGGUAUGAUUUGUGAUUCCAACCCUAUCUUGCUUUUCUCCUUGGAAUUUACUUUCGUUUUGUAUCUUAUAGCUGUUCUCUUUCGGGAAAGGAGACGGUCAGAAAUAUUCUGGAGUGAACUCACCCAGAAUUUCAUUUUUCAGAAGCUCCAGUAGGUCUAUACAAGAUGAUUUUGAUGACUCUGAGUUUUCUUGUCCAUUUGAUGUGGAGUAUGAUGAUAUGGACCCUGGUAGCAGGUAAUGCACGGAACUCCUCAUAUAAAUUGUAUUUUUUAUAUUAACCCUUUUUGCAUCACUUGUCAAUAGCUCAUACAAUUAAUUUACAUAUUUUGCUUUUUAACUUCGAAGUUAUUUUUAUCCAGAUUUUUUGAGGAUUUGACACUUAAUUAAUUGUUCUUGUGUAUUUGAAAAUGUGGCAUCAUUUUUUUUUUUUUUGUAUUAACAUAAUUGGAUCAGGACUUGAUUUGGUUGCUUUAACUUACCCUGGAGUAAUUUGCUAAAGGUUAUGUAAGCAAGCCAUCAUGUGUAUGCGAAGACUAAUAAUUGCCUUUUCUGUUUGAAUUUUGUCUUUGAACUAGUUCUUAUCUCAUAAGACUGGAUGUUAGCAAUUGAUGAACUUUCUAGGAAACUGGUGUUUUUAAGCAAAGAGAUUGUGCAUUAGAAACUACAAUAUCUUGCCGCUAGGAGUCUAAGUAGUGGCAUUUCUGGUUCAAGAAUCGGGAUAUAUCAGUUAUGAAGAGUUUCCAAAUAAAGUUUGUUUUCUAUUUUUGGGCAAGCCACCCUGGCUGGCAUUAAACAUUUUCAAUAUCUAGUCCAGGUAGUACCGUAGUGAAAUGUCUGUUUCAGGGAUUGGGAUAAGUAGUGGUCUAUCAAUCCAUGGAGAGUUUCCAAUUAAUCUUUGGUUUCCAGUUUUGUGAAAGAAAGUAAGAAACUUCACGGUAUUAUAAAUUUAGAUAUAUCAGGUAGUCUGCAAAGUUUGUUUUCUAGUUUUCAGAAAGACAGCCUGGCUGGUUAACUUUAAAAUGUUUAAUAGAUAUGAAGUUGGAUUGCAUAACCAUGCUGAAGUUUCUUGUGCCAGUUGAAUUUAGCAGCAAGCGGUGCUAACUGCUAAUCAUACUUCAGUUGUUUCUUGUAAUGCGCAACCAGUAUCAGUGAAUGAAUCAUAUUUGUUUUGGUCUCUUGUAACUGCUAACUGCAGGAACAUGUCUUUAGGUCACAUGGUAGGAUUGGGGCCGAUUUCUGUGUAUGACUUGGCCCUUAUGUUUGAGGCAGCUGCAACAACAGCUGUCUUACUUUUUAUCUUUUGAUUGGUGAGUAAAUUAAAUUAAUGUAAAGAUGGGUGAUAAAGAGGAGGCUAAAAAACAAAGAUGGUUGAUUAAGAAUGAUUUGUUAAUGACUAAAGGAUAUGGUGGUUGCAGCAACGUUCUAUGCGUCGUUCUUGCUUGUCAGUAAUUUGAUUUGUUCAGUUUCUUGAGUUACCUCUAAAAUUGCAACAAAAUGUAGUCGAAUAGCUUGUCAGUUGCAUUUGCAGUAACUCUGAUAAUCCUUUAUUAAAACAUGGAACUUUUUCAGUCUGUGUUGCUUUCCUGUAAUACCAGACACAACAAACUGCUUGAAGAAUCAAACAUCAUUUUGUCACUUCGAUUUAUUUUAUGGCAUACUCAGAUGUAUACAUGAACAAAGUAUUCAUAUACUAAUUUCUACUAGUUAGCUUCGUAUUUAUAAUUAUUAUAUAGGGUUAUAUUUGGUAUUCUUAUGAUAUUUAGAUUUAGGGAAUAACUUGAAUAUUUAUUUUAGUUUCUAGGAGUUUUUGAAAUUGAGAUGUUGGGAUUAUAGAUAAUGGAGAUUUUCAUAUGUGGGCUAUCAGAGUUGGAUUUUUUCUUCUUUAUUUCUCCCUAAGUUCAUCUAUUUCCCCCCUUCUGUUUUUAUUUGAUUCUCCAGUUUCUCUCUUUCCUCUCCUUCACGUUUUUGAGGUUCCAUGAAAUUACCAUGGGUGAAGAAAUCCAAAAGUUCUAAAGGUAAUUUGAACAUUUGACAUUCUCUUUUCUGCAAUAGUUAGCUCAAAAUGUUCCCUCAAGAAAAUCCUUUAACCAUUGACUUAAGCAGGAUCGUUAAACGAAAAUGAGUCAUGGAAUUCAUAUCCAAAGCCACAAUGAGUCAUUUUAAGAUUUUCUGAUAUUCGAGAGAACACCUUAUACCCUUUGUCACAGUCAUUAUCUUAAUUGUCACGAAAUGAAAUUACUGUUUUUCUUUCCCUGAAUUAUUUGGGUAAACUGAAUUGGCCCGCUUUGCAUACUAUGUAGACCCGAUUCCUAUGAUAGAAGAGGAAAUCCAUCUGAUCCAAACGAGGCAGGGUUGUUUAUGAAUAGAAAAUCCCAAGAUGCUGCGGUUGGUGCUCUUGUACGGAUGCUGAAGAAAGCCCCUCCACUUCGCCAAGACAUCCCGAGUUCGAUAAAUUUUUCGGAAGCCUCGAGGCCAGAAAUGUGGAAUAACAACAUCCAAGAGAAAAACCAGAACACAGAGGCUGUGACCGUUGAACAUGAUGUUUCUUCAAUUAUUACAUCUUCUAGGCUUGUCGCAUCAAUGACAACAGCGGAUGCAUUAGAGGAACUUCGGAGUUACAAAGAGAUGAAAAACUUGUUGCUUAGUGAAGGUGGUAAGUCUUGCAUAUCUGCCAAUUUGACCUCUGGGGCUAAACAUUCUGGCAAAGGUACAUGAGAAUGAUCAACUUAUGUGAUAUUGGUAUAGUUGCACAUAUGUAGAGCGCUAUGGUUUGAAAGACUACUACUACAUGCUAUACAGCUGAAGCCAUUUUCCUCUUUUUGUGAUCAUAGGAGUAUAUAUAUACAAUAUAUGUGUUUUUGGUUAAGAUUUAUGUUAACAACAGAAAGGUUAUCUGUUGGCCCCGAAAACUUUGUAAAAAGCACUUUUGUCUCUGAUCCUACAUAACAUAAUUGCACAUAAUUUUAGAUGUUGGGUAAGGGUUGCGCAUGCUUUGAUAUACAGGCUUGCUGAUGCCGAGUUUCUAAUACAAAUGGGUUUAAUACGGAUAUAUCUACCUGUUUUAGAAGGGUUUAUUUUAAAAGUUAUAUUUGAAGUAUGAUAACCUGAUAUAUUUGGAAGAUUAUAAUUCUAUAGACAUAGUAAUUUAUUUGACCCUUCAACAUUAUAAAAGAAAAAGGGAAUGACAUUUUAGCCUUCCAUUUAACUUUUUAUCUUUUUCAACUUUUUAAGUUUUUUAUCAAAUCAUUUUAAAGUGGAUCAAAACUAGAAAAGCUAAUGUUUGUUAAUUUUAUUGAUGUAAUAUACACAUGGUUUGCCACAUGGAUGACAAGUUAUCAUUGAAUCAAUUUUUUAAAAAUUCAUAAAAAUUAUAAAUUAUUUUAAAAAUUUUAAAAACUUAACUAAAUGUUGACAUUAAGGGCGAAUCCAGGGGAGUUAGUAGGGACUCGGUCCCCCUAAAAUCCCCAAAACGGAAAUUUGUUCAUUUAGGUCUUUUAAAAUUUUAAAUUAGUAAAGGUAAAAGUGAACUUUGGCCCUCCUUAAAAAUGAUAAUUUUUUUAUUUAAUUAUUUAAAAAUUAUAAAAAUAUAAGUUAUUCAAAUAGUGAAAUUGUAUUUUUAUUAUUGUAAAAAUUAUAAUUUAAUUUCGACUCUCUAAAUAAAUUUUUUGGCUUCGCCUUUGGUUGACAUGUCAUCCAUGUAACAAUUCAUGUAUAUGUCAUAUUAGUAAAGUUAAUAAACAUUAAUUUUACAUCCAUUUUGAGAUAAUUCAAUCAAAAAACAAAUUUAGAAAUUAAAAGAGAUGAAAAAUUAAAUAAAAAUUAAAAUAAUAUUUUUAUAAAUUUGAAGGGCUAAAAAAAUCAUUAUACAUGAAAUGAAGCCCUUGUCUGAAUGUAUGUUUCAUUGAUCCCAUUCCUUUGUCAAUUAAUCUGCCAUUCCCAAAUCUCCUGAUAUCCCCUACAAAUGUCUUUUUUUUUUCUUUUGUACCGUCUAAUAUCUGGGCCAAAAUAUUCACAUUGUCUUUGAAAAUUCCCACCGUAAGGUUUCUCCUUUUUGCAUGAGAUAAUGCCUCGUGGACCACGAAUAAUGUCCCUUGUUCUUGGAACUCCACUGUUGUACCUCCAUCAACGCGUACUAUUCUUGCUCCAGCUCGGCCUCACUUCUUUCCAAAUGGGUAACACUAGUCUCACAAUCCGUAAGUCCCCAAGGAAAUAAUGAUCAAAUAUUUCUUGUUGUCUUAUUUCAUGGAAAUUACCAACGUCGCCAUAGAAAAGUGUGUAGGUGGACUUGACCAAGACUUUUCUUCGCAAGUGGAGUGCAAGGCUAAAAGUGUUGGGUUUCUUUCUAUUUCAUCGGAAUGAAAGCUUCUCACCAAAGGAAUGAUUUCUUCUUUGGUAAAUUAACAUUUGGGUCAACUAAUUUUUAAAAGGUAAAUAAUGUAAUAAUGUUAAUGGAUUGUCGUAUUUGAUUACUCGUUAAUUAAUUUUCAUUAACCCCUUGUUAAUGUAAUAAUGUUAACAACUUUAAAAAAUAUAUCCAAUAAAAUAUUAGAACUUAUAAUAAUUUUAGAGAAUUUUAUGUUUAGGUUUAGUUUUUAUUCUUAUCUUUUGUUUUUUUCUUUUUUUUGCUAUUAUAGUAAAAUUAUAUUUGCCCAUUUUUUUUAUACUCUUUGUAGGUAUUUUUUUACGUUAAAUUUAUGUGUCUAAUUUUUUAAUUUCUUCCGCUAUUUUUACUUGUUUGUUGAUUAAUCAGGUAGAUCCCCAACAAAACCUUAUAGGGAAAAUUAUUUUAUUUUUUAAUUUCCUUUUCUCUAUUUUUAAAAAAAUUAAUUUUAGUUUUUUUUUCCAAUAACAAGAAGAAAUAGGGAUUUUUCUAGUGAAUUGCUUGGGUUUUUACAAGGGAAAAUAAGAGUUUAUAUAAUGAAUUGAGUUAUACUGAAAAACUUGAGCUUAUCUCGCAAAUGAAUAACUUAAUUCCUUGUGAAAACUCAAGCUUUUUCCUUGUUAUGAAAAAUAAAUUAUUUUAAAAAAAUUAGUGUUCAAAAUGAAAACUUAUUAAAGUUGGGUGAGUAAAAGUAGUGUACAAUAACAUUGAAUUAAUUGUGGGUGACCAAAAUGAAAUAGUUUUUAAUGACAAUGCCUAAAAUGAAAAUGGUUUUAAUGGCAAUACCUAAAAUCAAUUUUUUUUUAAUUUUUUGAUGGCCAAAAUGAAAAUUUAUGAAAGCUUAAUGACCAAUUGUGCAAUUACCCAAAAAAAAUUUCAUAAAAAAUAAAAGAAAACCAUAAGUAGUUUCCAUAAGAAAGUUGUCUAUCUUCAAUUAAUACAUGGGUAAACUACGCUGAUUAAAUUAUUAGUAAAUUUAUAUAUAAGUCACUCAAUUUUAAAGAGUUAAAAAUAAUAAUCAUUAAAUUAUUUAAAAAUUUUUAUUUAAGUCAUUGAAUUGUUAACUUUUUCUUUAAAUAUCCGACUAGCAAGUUUUCAAGUGACAAUUUGAUGAUCAGUCAAUACUCAUCACUAAGUAGAAGAACAUAUCUUAAAUUCAAGUUGAUUUGAUGGUCAGCAUCAAAUAUAAAAGAAUCAAACUGUUUAGAUUUUAGUUCGUAGAUUUGUGAUAUUUAAAGUUAUUUCAUGAAAAGAAAUUAAAUUAUAAAAGGGAAGAAGAGUGAAAUGUUUCAAUUGGUGUAGACGAUGUAAAGAAAAGAUCAUACAAUAAUAAUUUUAAUAAUGCAAUGACUUAAAUAAAAAUUUUCAAAUAAUUCAAUAAUUUUUUUAUAAUUCUUUUUUAAAAUUUAGUUAUCAAAACGGAAAUAAAUAAAUAAAAGACCUGAGGAAUUCCUGAUCCAAUUUGUAAAACUAAAAUAUCUAUCGUUAAUAUACCAGAAUCCCAGAUAAUAAUUCACACAAGAAAACGCGGUUCCAAGUGAACCACGGAUUUAGCCUUGCAUAGGUGCGACGACUUGACCAAGACACUAAUGAAAUUAUUAAUUUUAAGGUCUCUGUAUUUGACCUUCUUUUUUCAAACAAAAGCAUCAGCUUUUCUUAACUUAUUAGAAAUGCCGCUGGUUGUGAAAUAAUAAAUUUUAAAAACAUUAAAUUAUUAGGUAGGUACAUUUUGAAUGUUUCUUUUGCAUUUUUAUCUUCAAAGCUCAUAAAAUUAUGGGAAAAAUCCAACUAAUUUAAUUAUGAAAUUAAGAAAAUAAUUUUACGGGUAAUUAAUAUUAUUAUAAUUAAGAAUAAAUUAUCGAUACUAUUAUUUUACAAAAAAAAAAGAACAUAAUUAAAUUUUAGUAUCGAUUUUCAAAAAGGUAUUGAUUUAGUAUUAAUAUCUACUAUGGAUUUGCAUUAUUGAUUUUAAAACUUAAUGAUUUUGAAACUUAAUCCUAUUAUAUGAUUGGAGUUCACAACUAGAUCCUCUUUGAGUCCAAAAUUAAAUUAUAUAUAUUGGUUUAUAUGUGAUUUAUGUUUAAAAUUUAAGAGUUUUGUGUAUAAUAAAGAAAUUAUCAAUUGUUGAGCUUUGUCGUAACAUUGUUUACUCGGGUUUGACAACUGGGUAAGUAAGGGGUGUUACAUUACUCCUAUGUUAUCAACUACAAAAACAAAAUAAUAAUAAUAAUAAUAAUAAUAAUGGAUUCUACAAGCAUUCUAAGAUGCAAAAUCAUUAAUGAUAACAUCAACAUUAGUGUUUUUCAAAAAAUCUUUCUCGCUUGAUAAAAUUGUCAGACCAUUCAAUCGUUCUUGUGACAUUGACAACUUCAAGUAGGUUUUGAUUAACUUUAGCUUUGAAAAACUUUUUUCAAAUGAUGCCACAAUCACAAGGACCGUUAAGAAAAUUCUAUAAGCGAUUAAAAGAUUCGGAUAGCAAUCUGUAGAUUUAACAAACUUAAGAAUUUUAGUAGCUGACAUUAAUUCAUUCAAUAAGGUAAAUUGCAACACUUUCAAUCAGGUAACCUACGAAUUUAGCCUAUAAAUAGGCUCUAUUACAACCUUAAAAAAUAUACCCAUUAAAAUAUUAGAACUUAUAACAUUUUUGGAGAAUUUUAUGUUUACAUUUUGAGAGUUCUUUGUUUUCAGGUUUAGUUUUUAUUUCAAUCUUUUGAAUUCUUCAUUCUUUUGCCAUUAUAGUAAAAUUAUAUUUACCUAUGGUUUUUUUAUCCUCUUUAGAGGGGUUUUUUCACGUUAAAUUUAUGUGUCUAAUUUCUCAAUUUCUUCCGCUAUUUUUACUUGUUCGUUGCUUAAUCAGGUCAAUCCCCAACAAAAACUUAUAGGGAAAUUUAUUUUAUUUUUUAAUUUUAGGUUUUUUUUCCAAUAACAAGAAAAAAUAGGGAUAUUUCUAGUGAAUUACUAGGGUUUUUACAAGGGAAAAUAAGAGUUUGUACAAUGAAUUGAGUUAUAUUGAGAAACUUGGGCUUAUCUCGCAAAUGAAUAACUCAAUUCCCAGUGAAAACUCAAGUUUUUUUUCUUUUUAUGAAAAAUAAAAUUAUUUUAAAAAAAUUAGUGACCAAAAUGAAAACUUAUUAAAGUUGGGUGAGUAAAAGUAGUGUACAAUAACAUUGAAUUAAUUGCGAGUGACCAAAAUGAAAAUGAUUUUUAACGGCAAUGCCUAAAAUAAAAAUGGGUUUCAAUGGCAAUACCCAAAAUGAAUUUUUUUUAUGGCGAAAAUGAAAAUUUAUGAAAGCUUAAUGACCAAUUGUGUAAUUACCCAAAAAAAAUUCAAAAAAAAAAAACCAUAUCGUGUUUCCAUAAGAAAGUUGUCUACCUUUAAUUAAUACAUGGGUAAACUAGCAUUCUUAUUGAGACUCGAACUCAUAUGGAAGAAAAUAGAUUUAUGGAUAGAAUCAAAUAAGUAGUGGUUACAGACAAAAGUAUUCGGUUAUUGGUGAAAAAUUAAUAUACUUCUAAUGUCAAAUCAGGAUCAACAAGGACAGAAAUAAAGCAUUGAGUUGAACUCUUCUUUGGUGUCAAGAUAACAGCUAUGGAUAGUCAUCAACUCCCCAGAAAGGGUAGAAAAGUGGGACCUAUUAUGGGACAUACAAUGCAUUACAGGCUUAUGAUCAUUACGCUUCAACCGGGUUAUUCUAUUCCACCUCUUAGAACAAAAAGAACUUAAAUCAAAAUACUUAAUAGCAUGGCGAUACAUUUAUACAAAACUUCUACCCCGGGCUCACGCAAUGGAGCCGUAGACAAUCAAGUGAAAUCUAAUCUACGAAAUAAUUUGAUCUAUGGACAGCAUCGUUGUGGUAAAGGUCGUAAUGCCAGAGGAAUCAUUACCGCAAGGCAUAGAGGGGGAGGUCAUAAGCGUCUAUACCGUAAAAUUGAUUUUCGAAGAAAUGAAAAAGACAUAGAUGGUAGAAUCGUAACCAUAGAAUAUGACCCUAAUCGAAAUACAUACAUUUGUCUCAUACACUAUAGGGAUGGUGAGAAGAGAUAUAUUUGUCUCAUAUAUUGAACUAUUGAUUUACGUAAUUGGAAGGAACCAAUUAGGUUUACGAUGAAACCUAAAAAUUGAUCACUGAUCCAAUUUGAGUACCUCUAUAGGAUAGACCUCAACAGAAAACUGAAGAGUAACGGCAGCAAGUGAUUGAGUUCAGUAGUUCCUCAUAUAAAAUUAUUGACUCUAGAGAUAUAGUAAUAUGGAGAAGAAAAAAUUGUUUCAUGCACCGACAGAACCAGAAGCGCCCCUUGUUUCAAAGAGAAGACGACGGGUUAUUGACAUUUCAUUUGAUGGUAAAAGGUGAAUUGAAAGCUAAACUGUGGUAAUUUGAAAGAUUCCCCGGGGGAAAAUAGAGAUGUCUCCUAUGUUACCCAUAAUAUGUGGAAAUAUCGACGUAAUUUCAUAGAGUCAUUCGGUCUGAAUGCUACAUGAAGAACAUAAGCCAGAUAACGGAACGGGAAGACCUAGGAUGUAGAAGAUCAUAACAUGAGUGGUUCGACAGAUUUGGUUUCCUAUAUAUCCACUCGUGGUACUUCAUUGUACAAUACAUAUAAGAAUUAUAUGAUAAGAAUUAUACGAAUCCAUUUGUAUAGAUAUCAUCAUCUACAUCCAGAAAGUCAUAUGCUUUGGAAGAAGAUUGUACAAUUUGGGAAGGGGUUUUGAUUGAUCAAUCAAAAAGAAGAAUAUACUUCAAUCGGUAUGCCCUUAGGCACGGCCAUACAUAACAUAGAAAUCACACUUGGAAGGGGUGGACAAUUAGCUAGAGCAGCGCGUGCUGUUCGAAACUGAUUGCAGAGGAGGGGAAAUCGGCCACAUUAAAAUUACGUUCUGGGGAGGUCCGUUUGAUAUCCAAAAACUGCUCAGCAACAGUCAGACAGGUGGGGAAUGUUGGGGUGAACCAGAAAAGUUUGGGUAGAGCCGGAUCUAAAUGUUGGAACCCGAGCCCGGCCCGUUUUUUAAUUAAAAUUAAAAUUAUAUUUUUAUUAAAAUUAAAACUAAUUGUUAUUAAAAUUAAUUGUUAUCAAAAUUAAUUAUUAUUAAAAUUGUAUCAAAUUAUAUAUUUUUUGUACCAAUCAACAUUUUGUAAAAUCUAUCAUUUUGUUAGUAAAAUUAUUAAUUGUAUUAAUUGUUACUAAAAUUAUCAAAUUAUUAAUUAUUAAGUGUUACUAACAUUUUGUUAGUAAAAUUAUUAAUUGUUAAUUGUAUUAAUUGUUAGUAAAAUUAUCAAAUUAUAUCAAAUUAUUAAUUGUUAAUUGUAUUAAUUAUUGUAACAAAAUCUAACAUUUUGUAACUUAAAAUAAAACUAAAACUAGUAUAUUUUAAAAAUAAAAAUAUAUAUAUUUAAUAUAUUUUCGGGCCGGGCCUGGGCCAAAAAAAUCUUGCCCGAGGCUCGGCCCAUUUUUUAAACGGGCCUCGUUUUCUGUCGAAGCCCGUAUUUCGGGCCUAUAUUUUUACCCAAACCCUCCCAUAUUUUGGGCGGGCCGUCGGGCCGGGCUGGGCCGCCCGGCCCAUGGACAAGUCUACUCCAUACUACCUAAAACCCAUGCAACCUUCAUACCCUAAGUGGUACGAUGCGAACGCCCAAUGCGAGUAUCACGCGGGGACUACAAGGCACUCGAUUGAAAACUACACUGCAUUCAAGAAGUUAGUUGAAAAUUUUAUCAACAUGGGGAUUGUAAAAUUUGGUGACCCAUCAGGACCAAAUGUGGCAGGGAAUCCGUUACCCAAUCAUGUUGAUAAAGGGGUGAACGCGAUAAUUGAGAAUGGAGGAAAGAGAGUCAAAGCUAACGUAGCAGAGAUAAAGACUCCCCUUGAAUGGGUUUGGAAAUGAAUGAUAGAAGGAGGCCUCAUCAAGCAAGAUUUAACGGAAAGGCCUGAAGGAACAAGGAAGUUUUGUGAGUUCCAUGCGAAAGAAGGCCAUGACAUCCAAAAAUGCACCUAGUUCAAAACCAUGGUGCAAAACUUAAUGGAUAACAAAGAGUUGGAGUUUUAUGAAGAGAUUACGGGACUAGAAGAGGGAGAAGUUUAUGCCUCAGAGGAAGGAUCUGCAGGGAAAGCCCAAAGGGUUAAUCACCCAGUGGUGAUGGAGAAGAGAGCUUGGUAAAUGCUUCAAAAGAGGAUGUAGAAUUCUAUACGCGAAGUGAAAAACGUUAUGAUCCUGCAAAUGCAGGAGUGGAAUCUGAAAAAGGAAAAGCAUUAGCAGUUGAGCAAGGGAAAGCAAAAACGGACAGGAUUGAAUCGCAUGUUAAUCAGCCCAUAACUGAAAAUAAGGGUAGAGAAUUUCUAAAAUUCUUAAAGUAUAGCGAGUACAGUGUGGUGGAGCAACUUCAUAAGUAACCGGCUCGUAUCUCGGUGCUUGAGUUGCUUCUAAGUUUAGAGAUACAUUGUAAUGCAUUGAUAAAGGUACUAAAUGAAACAUAUGUCGCUAACGAUAUCUCGGUGAACAAGUUGGACCGUUUGGUUAACAAUAUAAGUGCCGACAAUUUCAUUUUCUUUAAUGAUGAUAAAAUACCACCGGGUGGAAGAGUAGCCACCAAAGCCCUACAUAUCACUACUCGCUGCAGAGAAUAUACGUUGCCAGUGGUGCUAAUCGAUAAUGGAUCGGCCUUGAAUGUCUUACCCUUAUCCACCUUAAACAGGUUACCGGUGGAUAGCUCUCACAUGAAAUCAUGCCAGAAUAUAGUGAGAGCAUUCAAUGGUACCGAAAGGAGGGUGAUGGGAAGAAUAGAAGUACCCCUCUUGAUUGGCUCGAAUACAUACGAGGUGGAUUUCCUAGUGAUGGAUAUCAAGCCCUCGUAUAAUUACUUGUUGGGAAGAACUUGGAUUCAUUCAGCAGGAGCGGUGCCUUCAUCAUUGCACCAGAAGUUGAAAUUGGUAACUGAAGGCCGAUUAAUUACGAUAAGUACUGAAGAAGACAUCAUUGCAUUAGUGACCAAUGACGCACCAUAUUUGGGAAUGGAUGAUGAGGCGAUUGAAUGUUCCUUUCCAUCAUUAGAAUUUGUAAAUGUGACAUUUGUUGUUGAGGGAAAGAAGAUCUCGAUGCCUAGCAUAUCUAGAGCCACAAGGAUGAGACUACAAAUGACAGUUAGGAAAUGAGCUGUGCCUGGGAGAGGACUUGGAAUAUGCCUUCAAGGAAGGAUAGAGGCACCAAUGGUGAAAGAUAAACAAGACUACUUUGGUUUAGGAUUUAAGCCAAAUGCUAGGUAAAGAAGGAAAGAGUUAGAAAAAAGACAGGAGAGGAGAAAGGCGCGUUUGAGUGGAGAAGAAGUUGAUUAGGAACCUAUGACUUUCCCCCACAUAUCUAGGACCUUCGUACCAAGGGGAACCAUGUAUUCUGGACUGAUGACACCAAGAAAGGAGACCACGAAGGAAAUGUUAGGAAACCUGAACAUCAAUGCCAUAUUUAAAGAAGACUCUGAAGAAGAAAGUAUAUCAGGCAUCCGUCCCUAUGAACCUGGGAGUGUUCUAAGUAACUGGACUGCAGAAGAAAUACCUGAAGUUUUUAGAGCUUCUCCAGAGUAAUAUUCAAAACAUACUAAUUGUUUUAAGCCUAGAGACAAUGAAAACUUUUUGUAAAAUGGGCAUAUGUUUGAACAUUGUGACUUCAAUGAAAUAUAUCUUCGCCAUUUCUUUUUGAGCAUAUAUUCUUUCAUUCUUUCGUAUGAAUAGUCAUUUUGGAUCCUUUUAUUCCAAAUCAUUCUUUCAUUAAUUCAUGACCAUACUAUAAAUAAGUAUUCUUAAAUUCAUACAUUCCUUGUAUAUUCUUUGGUACCUAUAACAGGUCCCAAGAUAUCAAUGACAUGAGUGACUCUACUAUGGACUCAGAAAAUCCUUUUGAACGGGAUAUGUGUUUAGAGAAAUCUCAUGAUUUUGAAGAAAACAUAGAUUGCAACCUAUCUCCAGACUUGUUGAGGAUGGUAGAGCAGGAGAAGAAACAAAUCCUACCUCAUAAGGAGACGGUGGAGACUGUGAUCCUGGAAGAGGGAAAUGUGGUGAAGAUUGGAACAUGCAUAGCUGAAGAAACAAAACAAGACUUUAUUGAUUUGCUUCGAGAGUUUAAAGACGUCUUCGCAUGGUCGUACCAGGAUAUGCCUAGCUUAAAUACUGAUAUUGUAGUUCACCAUCUUCCUAUAAAGGAAGAUUGCAAGCCAGUUCAGCAAAAACUCCGAAGAAUGAGGCCUGAUGUUGUACUAAAAAUAAAAGAGAAUGUUCAAAAGCAAUUCGAUGCUGGAUUCUUACAAGUGGUCAAAUAUUCCGAAUGGGUAGCCAACAUUGUACCCGUCCUUAAAAAAGAUGGGAAAGUACGAAUGUGCGUAGAUUACAGAUAUUUGAAUAAAGCUAGCCCGAAAGAUAAUUUUCCCUUACCUCACAUCGACAAACUGGGAGAUAACACGGCAGGACACUCACUAUUUUCUUUUAUGAAUGGUUUCUCGGGAUAUAACCAAAUCAAAAUGCAUCCUGAAGAUAUGAAGAAAACUACGUUCAUAACCAUAUGGAAGACUUUCUGUUAUAAAGUGAUGUCGUUUGGGUUGAAAAAAGCGGGAGCCACAUACCAGAGAGCCAUGGUGACCCUUUUCCAUGAUAUGAUGCAUGAGGAGAUUGAAGUAUAUAUUGACGACAUGAUCGUAAAAUCCCAGACGAAAAGAGAACAUGUACAAGUCUUAAGAAAGUUGUUCUUAAGAUUAAGAAAGUUCCAAGUCAAACUUAAUCCAGCCAAAUGUAUCUUUGGAGCUAGGUCAGGAAAACUUCUGGGGUUUGUAGUCAGUGAAAAAGGGAUUGAAAUCGACCCAAACAAAGUCAGGCCAAUUCGAGAUUUACCUCUACCACGUACUUAGAAAGAAGUUCGAGGUUUCUCAGGAAGACUGAAUUACAUUGCUCGGUUCAUUGCGUAAUUAACUGAGAAAUGUGACCCCAUAUUCCGUAUUUUAAAGAAACAUAAUCCCGAUGUGUGGAAUGAAUAAUGUCAGGAGGCUUUUGACAAGAUAAAGCAGUACUUGUCCAAUACCCCAGUGUUGUCGCCACCUAGGCCAGAUAAACCAUUGAUCCUGUAUCUAACAAUGUUCAACAACUCCAUGGGAUGUGUUCUAGGUCAACAUGAUGAGACGGGAAAAAAGGGGAAGGCGAUCUAUUAUCUUAGUAAGAAAUUUACUGACUGUGAAAUGAGGUAUUCGCCUAUUGAAAAAUUAUGUUGUGCCCUGAUCUAGACGACACGAAGAUUGAGGCAAUACAUGCUCUAUCAUAUGACUUGGCUAAUUUCAAAGUUAGACCAUCUAAAGUAUAUGAUUGAGUCAACAGCGUUGAAUGGGAGGAUGGCUAGGUGGCAGAUCCUACUCUCUGAAUUGGAUAUAGUCUAUGUAAAUCAGAAGGCUAUCAAAGGGAGUGCGAUAGCAGAAUUCUUGGCCAGCAGAGCUUUAGAAGACUACAAACCUCUGAAUUUUGAUUUCCCGAAUGAAGACUUGAUGUAUGUGGCAACCGCUGAAGAGGAUUCCCACAAAAAUCAUCCUUGGAAGUUAAAUUUUGACGGAGCUUCGAAUGCUGUAGGCAAUGGAAUUAGGGCAGUCCUGGUGUCCCCUGAUGGAGAUCAUUAUCCUUUUACUAGUAAACUAGAUUUUGAUUGCACCAAUAAUAUGGUUGAAUAUGAAGCUUGCAUCAUGGGCAUCCGGGCAGCCAUAGAGUGAAAAAUUAAGAUAGUAGAGGUAUACGGAGACUCUGCAUUAAUAAUUUACCAGCUCAAAGGGGAAUGGGAAACGAGAGACCCGAAGUUAGUCCGCUAUCAAAAAUUGGUUCUGGAAUUGAUUGAGGAGUUUAAAAGUGUCACCUUUUGUUAUCUCCCACGAGACGAAAACCAGAUGGCUGAUGCUUUGGCCACUCUAGCCUCUAUGAUCAGAGUGAACAGACCAGAAGAUAUGAAGCAUAUUCAGAUCAGCAUUCAUGAGACCCCAGCUUCUUGCUACAGUAUUGAAGAAGAGGAAAAUGAUGACCAUCCAUGGUACCAAGACAUACUACGAUAUGUAAAGAAUCGUGAAUACCCCGACCAUUCGACAGAAAGUGACAAAAGGACAUUGGAGAUUGGCUAUUAAUUAUGUCUUGGAUGGGGAGAUUAUGUACAAGAAGGGAAAUGAUCAAGUAUUAUUAAGAUGUGUGGAUGCUGUGGAGGCUAAGAAAAUUUUGGAAUAAGUCCAUGAAGGUAUCUGUGGAACGUAUGCCAAUGGCUUCACAAUGGCCAAACAGAUUAUGAGAUUCGAUUUCUAUUGGUCCACCAUGAAAGGGGAUUGCAUUAAUUAUGUCAAAAAGUGCCAUAAAUGUCAAAUUUAUGGUGACAAAAUGCAUACACCACCUUCACCCCUUCACGUUAUGACCUCUCCAUGACAUUUCUCCAUAUGGGGAAUGGAUGUCAUCGGGCCAAUAUUUCCAAAGGCUUCUAAUGGACAUCGUUUUAUCUUUGUGGUUAUUGAUUAUUUCACUAAAUGGGUUGAGGCUGCUUCAUAUGCUAAUGUCACGAAAUCAACAGUUAGCAAGUUUCUGAAAAAGGAGAUAUAUGUCGAUACGGGAUGCCUGAAAGGAUCAUAUCUAACAAUACGUUGAACUUGAACAAUAACUUAAUAGUGAAAGUAUGUAGUUAGUUCAAGAUCAGACACCAUAAUUCGUCACCGUACCACCCAAAAAUGAAUGGUGCUGUGGAAGCGACUAACAAAAAUAUCAGGAAAAUUGUAGGGAAAAUGAUUGAAACCUACAAGGACUGGCACAAAAAAUUACCUUUCACUCUCCUGGCAUAUCGAACAUCCGUUAGAACUUCUACUGGAGCAACACCAUCUUCUUUAGUAUAUGGGAUGGAGGUAGUUUUACCCAUAGAAGUUGAAAUCCCUUCUCUCCGAGUAUUAACUGAACUAAAGUUAGAUGAGGCCGAAUGGAUUCAAUCUCGAUAUGAUCAGCUGAACUUGAUAGAAGAAAAGAGGCUAAAAGCUAUUCGUCACGGUCAGAUGUAUCAGAAACGAAUGAUGCGAUCCUAUAACAAAAAAGUUCGUCCCAGAGAAUUUCACGAGGGGGACCUAGUGUUGAAAAAGAUUCUUCCUCUACAAAAAGAUUUUAGAGGGAAAUGGAUGCCAAAUUGGGAAGGUCAUUAUGUAGUAAAGAAGGCCUUUUCUGGAGGAGCUUUGAUCUUGAGCGAGAUGAAUCCUGUAAACUCAGAUUCAGUCAAGAAAUACUUUACUUGAAGGAAGAGGGUUAAAAGUGAAAAUCUGUAAAGGGCACUUUAAGUCUAAAAAAAAAAAGGGAGAGGCCAAGGUGAAAACCUGUAAAGGGCGCCUUGAGACCAAAGGGGAUUUGAGUUGAAAACCUAAAAAAGGCGGCUCAAAUUUUGAUGGGACAUGAAGUGAUUGGGGCAGUUCAAAUUUUGAUUAAGAUCUGGGGCAUGUGCUGGUCCCAUUAUACCUGAAUCAACAAGAAAAGGGUAGGAGACAUCUUUAGGCGUCGACAAAGUAAUGUUGAUUUCCUAAACACAUAUCAAAUUCAGAAUGGUCUUUAGAAAGCUUAUGUAGGGAAGCUCGUGCUGCGAUAUCUGGGGCACUUGUCGUCAUCUUAUUUAUUUUGAAUCAUAGCAGAAUUUACUAUCUUGAUUGAUAUAUUCAUUUCUAGCUUUGCUCUCAAUAAAAUUCCAUCUUGUCCAUUGUUUUUCUAAUCUUAUCUUAGCAAAAUUUGCUAUCUUGAUUAACUUAUUCAUUUCGAGAUUUGUUCUCAAUAAUAUUUUGGUUGUCCAUUAUGAUAAUCAUUUUCAAACAUUUGAAAUAAUGCUUGAUGGACUGAAUGUUCAAGCAAAAAGAGUUUUUGCAUAUUACUCUAGAAAUUUCUAAAUAAUAUAGGAACCUGAAACAGGACUGUUGUUUAGAACACACCAAGUUUAAAGUUUGAAAUGUUUAAGAAGAGAAAGUCUAAAUUGAGACUAUCCUUUCAGAUUUUACUGUCCGAACAUUGAUUAAGUAAAACGACAAGAUGUCGUAUUGGUGACAAAGCUUCAUUAAACAAACAAACAAUGAUCACCGAAUGAUAAGAAGAGGUUUUCUCAGAAGAAAAAGUCUUACAGUUGUGCAUAAACACUUGGUACGACACCUUGGGAAUGGUGUACGAGGCCAAAGAGAUUCAGAUCCUGUAUCCCCAAUUUGCAGUGGGAGAGAUUUGAGAAAGAGCCAGAUCUUAUACUCCUAAAUUACAGUGGAAGGAAGAUGGUUUUGAAUUUUAUGUCCCAGGAUUACACUGGGGGCAAUCCGAUCAAGUAAGAAAUGAGCAUUACCAACUGGAUAAGAUAGCAUUCUGACAUGUUGGUAGUUAAGCCUUAUUGAACAACGGGCAAUAACAACUCAAACAUUGAGGGAUCAUUUUCAUUUUGCAUGCAUGCAUACACAUUUAGCCAAGAUAUUUUGAUUCAUUUCGAUCAUAAUCAGUAGGCAUAAAUAGGUUGAUAAAAUAGAUUAUACAGGUCAUGUUACCCAAAGAACAGAUAAAUGAAGAUGGCAGAUCUGGUCUUCCUGAACUGACAGUGAAGCAUAUCGAAAAAACCAUAGUUUCCAAUUAAAAGAUUGAGGCCACAACGGUAAAUCUUAUUCCCAGGCAGUGCAGCGGAACAUAUUGAAGCUACAAUGGCAAAUCUUACUUCCCCGAUAUUGCAAUUAAAAAAUUGAAGCCACAACGGUAAAUCUUAUUCCCAGGAGGUGCAGUGGAAUAGAUUGAAGCUACGACGGCGAAUUUUGAUUCCCCGACAUUGCAAUUAAAAGAUUGAGGCCACAACGGCAAAUCUUAUUCCCAGGCGGUACAGCGGAACAGAUUGAAACUACAACGGCGAAUCUUGCUUCCCCGACAUUGCAAUUAAAAAAUUGAGGCCACAACGGCAAAUCUUACUUCCCAAGCGGUGCAGCGGAACAGAUUGAAGCUACAACGGUGAAUCUUGUUUCCCCGACAUUGCAAUUAAAAGAUUGAAGCCACAACAGCAAAUCUUAUUCCCAGGCGGUGCAGCGGAACAGAUUGAAACUACAACGGCGAAUCUUGCUUCCCCGACAUUGCAAUUAAAAGAUUGAGGCCACAACGGCAAAUCUUACUUCCCAGGCAGUGCAGCGAAACAGAUUGAAGCUACAAUGACAAAUCUUGUUUUCUCCGACAUUGUAAUUUAAAGAUUGAAGUCACAAUGGUGAAUCUUAUUUCCUAGGCGGUGCAGUGGAAUAGAUUGAAGCUACAACGACGAAUCUUAAUGCCCUGACAUUACAGUUAAACAGACAGAAGAAGCCAAUCCUAUAUCUCUGAAGUUGCAGUGGAGCGGAUUAAAACCACAGAUCUUAUCUCUCUGAAGUUGCAGUAGAGCAGAUCGCAUCCAGUCUUAUCUCCCUGAAGUUGCAGUGGAGCAGACAGAAGAAUCCAAUCCUAUCUCUCUGAAGUUGCGGUGGAGCGGAUUGAAACCACAGAUCUUAUCUCCCUGAAGUUGCAGUGGAGAAGAUUGAAGAUGAAUCCUAUACCUCCGAAGUUGUAGUAGGUCAGAUUAAAUCUACCAUAACAAGUCUUAUUUCCCUGAAGUGUAGUGGAGUGGAUUCAAGCGACAAGACACAGUGGACUGGAAUGAGGCUACUUGAAGAAGAGAAGCGUCAAAAGAAGUCGAGACUCGGUAAGGCCAGACAAAAUUGGUCUUUCUUAAUCUUUGCUCUGUUCCCGUUACACGACAACAAGCAAAGAUGGGCAGCUGUACAGACCCAUUCUGCCCGGGCCCAAACCCACCUAAACCUAAGCUUAAACCCAAACCCACCUAAACCUAAACCCAAAAUCCAUUACAAACUAAACCCAAAUAAGCCUAGGCCUGGACCAAUUAACCCAAUUACCCCAAAUUCAUUUCUUGUAGCCCAAAAUAAACAAAAGAAAGAAAGAAAGAACCUAACCCUAGGUGCGCCGCAUGUGACCCGACCCGACCCGACUAAGGGAUCCGCGUGUUUUUUAGGAUUGGGUUAUUUACCCUUUUGGUCCUUCUGCUUUUAGCGAUUUUUUAAAUCAAGUAUUUUUAUCGUUUUCAAUCAUGCCCCACAAUUUGUUGCGCUUUCAUUUUGACCCUUUAUCUGAACGACGUCAUUUUGGGGCAUGGGGAUUAUUACCCUUUUAGUUCCCUCAUGCUGCGCGCAUGUUCAGAUUGGUCCUUACCUUUUAUUUUACUUGGAUUUUGCCCCGAAUGUUUGAUUUAAGAUUCAAAUUAAUCCUUUCUUUUACCCUUUUUGUAUUUCUUAUUAAUUAAUUUAGUUAUUGUCUUCUUUAUAUUUUCUUUUUGUUAUUUCUUUAUUCAUUAUUAUUAUUAUUAUUAUUAUUAUUAUUAUUAUUAUUAUUUACCCAUUUAUAUCCUUUAGUUUCAAAUUUUAUUAUAUAUACAUUAGAUUUUUUUAUAUUUUUUGUUAUUGUUAUUAUUGUUUUAUUUGAUGCUUAUUUGUUUAUAUGUUAAUUAUUAUUUUGAAAAAUGUUUUAGUUUUAUUCGUCUAUUUACAUGUUGUAUGUAAUCCAUUUGUCUUAUUAUUAUUAUUAUUAUUAUUAUUAUUUGUUUGUUAUGGUUGCUUGUUCAUAUCAUCGUAUUCAUUAUUUUCGUUUAUUAAAGCGGCAUUUAUUCAUAUAUUGAGUUUAACAUCACAUCAAUUUUACCCAAAUUCAUAAAAAGAGAAAAUUUUGAAAAUAAAGGCAAUACUCGGUAUUUGGGAUCUUCGAGAGGAUCGAGCCCUAACGUAUUGGGUUCCGAUUUCUUUCGUUGAGACUAAAUAGUCGUGAAUGCUCUUUCAAUCGAAAAACAUGAAUAAAAGCUCAUUAUCGGGAAUUCAAUAUGUUGUGUCCUAACGCAUUGGAUAUGACACGUUUUUUCGAUAUGAGGAUUUUAUUAAAAAUAACAAAGGCAAUAUUCAAUGUUUGGAAUGUUGAGAAAUUGUGCUCUAACGUAUUGGGCUGCGAUUUCCUCAUCUGACUUAAACAAUUGAAUAUCCUUUUUAAAUUUUAUCAUAUGAGUUUUUUAAGACAAGCAACUUGUUUUAUAUAAGUCUUUUAAAACAAAGGAUCGUAUUUUUAAAUCUCUUUAAAAUUUUCAAUUUUCGACAUUAAGACAUUGACUAAUCAACUAGGUACCAAUUUUUUGGGCGUUACGAGGGUGCUAAUCCUUCCUUGUACGUAACCGACUCCCGAACCCCUUUUUUUCUGAAUUUUGUGAACCAAAAUCGAUGUUUUAAUAAAAUCAAAUAGUUUAUUAAAAACAACCACUUUUCAAGGUGAUCCAAUCACACCUUAUUAAAAAGGAUUGGUGGCGACUCCCGUUUUCGUUUUCGUUUUCAAAUUCCAAGUCGACCCCGUUUUUAUCAAAAAUAUGGUGUCAACACUACUCAUAGCCCAUCUCAACCUGUAAAUAGGAGGAUAAUAAGCUUCAGCGUCCUUGAACCCACCGUCCUCCUGCAUUGACAACAAUGUCCAGGUCAAUCGAGCUAAAACUCAAUCGGCUAUGGGAAAAAUUACAUGACUUGAUAUAUAUAUAUAAAUAUAUAUAUUGUUUGAUAUCAUCUAUAGUAUAUAUAAAAUGGUCGACUAAGUUAAUAAUAUGAAUCAAUUCGACACCAACUCAAUUAUGAAAUUAUUAAAAUAUCAUUACUUUAAAAUGUAAUUAAUAUUAUUAUAAUAGUUCUUUUGUUAUUUCAUACUUUUAUAUAAUAAUUAAAAUAAAACAACCUAAAAAAAUUAUUUAAGAAUCAAAUAGAAGACCAAUAAAUUUAAAUAAAAAUCUCUUAUCACUCCACCCAUAAUCAUUUGUUGAAAUAAUUAUAUAUAUAUAUAUAUAUUUAAGGGAAAAUAUUUGGUACACAGUUAGUAAAGUUUUUAUACUCUACAAGAUUAGGGGUUUGACAAAUGUCUUAUAUGAAUAUAGUAAAAUAUUAAAAAAUAGAAAUUAAAAAAAACGUAUAUCAAAAUUUUAAAAUUUCUUAUAAAAUAAAAAAAUUUAUAUUGUUAAUGUACCAAAUAUUUAUCUUACUUUUAAUAUAAAAUAUUUGCUUUAAAUUAUAGGUGUAAAAUUAAACAUGAUAAUAAAACCAAAAACUAUAGCUUUCAAAUUGAAGAAAAUAAAUGACUAUGUGCCCACAACCAUCAGAGACUCUAAGGCAUUAAAGGUAAUGAACAUGGUAGCAUGCAUAGUAGAAGAUGAGGAAUGUCCACUUUCCUUUUUGUUUACAAGUGCUUUUUCUUAUUUUUAUAUUUAAAUAGUAAUAAUAAUAAUAAUAAUAAUUAAAUCUUAGUUUUUAUCUUUAAAUUUAAAUCUUAAUUUUUAUCUUUAAAUUUUUAACAUAAUUAGUCUUUAUAUUUUUAUAAUGUUACUAAUUAGUUGAAAUAGUUAAUAUCGUUAACGUUUUUAUUAAAACAUUAUGUGGUUACAUAUAACUCGAUCUUUGCAGAAUGUCAACUAAGCCCAAAACAUUCUCAAACAUGGAAACCGAAAUACUCUAAAUAUUCAAUUCAAGGUUGUAUAAUGCAACCAGGGCUAGUGAUACAUGAACGGAUGUGUGCUUCACAUCAGGAAAGAAAACAUCGAGCAAAUCAACUCCCUCCACUUGAUUGUCACCCAUUGCUAAAAACCUUGCUUUAAACACUCUAUUUUAUCCGAAACUACUACAAUCUGAAAUCUGUGAUUCCACCGAACUUCUCGAUAUCGAAUUUCGUUGUCUCCAUUUUUGAACGGGUUGCUUGCAGAAUCUAAACUAAACUCUAAUACAAAUUUGUUGGGGAUUGACCCAUGUAAAUAACGGGAUAGUAAAAGUGGAGAAGAACAAACACAAAUAUUUUACUUGAAAAACUGUCAAAGAGGAAAAAAACCACGAGCAAAAGAGGUAUCAACUUUUUACUAAACAAGUAAACAAACAAAGAGUACGAUAUGGGGAAAAGAAAUCUAAUUGCACUAAAUGUACAAUCCCAAACCCCAAAAGCUAAGCCCUAACUCUCAUAAAGAAAACUUGAAAAUAAAACCCUAACUCUUACAGAGUUUUCUCAAAAAGAGGUACAGAAUUCUUUCCAUAGUUACCACUAAAACUCUCACCAAAACUUAUCUGCGACUACUACAUCUUGUCGCCCUUCAACAGAAAAGUAUUAUAAUACUACAUCUUUAGUUGUCUUUUUAAUUGGUCUCCCAAAACAGGGAUAUAAGACCCCUCCAAAUAGGCAAAGAUUAGAGAUCUAAUCAUACUAAAAUAUCCCUGGAGUAAUCAGAGUUUAACUGAAAAAACAUAGUAGAGUUUAAUUGGGAUAAGAAACCCAAAAUAUGUGAGGAACAUGUCGCAACGUUUUCAUUCGCGUCGUCUGUCAUCCCAACGUUAGGAAGUUUCUUGUUGUAAUGCUAUCGUCUGUUCGACCGAAAAUACGAUGCAAACUUAAUAAAUCUCCACCUUGACUCGUAUUUACCAUUCCUUCUUCUCCAUGCCCCGUCACGGGCCAAACUCGAUCUUUAUUGAAUGUUAACCAAGCCCAAACCAUUCUCAAACUUGGAAACCGAAAGACUCCUAGUCUUCAAAUCAAGGUUGUAUAAUGCAACUAGGGCUAGUGAUACACGAACGGACGUAUGCUUCACAAUAAGAAAGAAAACAUCGAGGAAAUAAACUCCCUCCACUUGAUUGCCACCCUUUGCAACCAACCUUGCUUUAAACACCCUACUUUAUAUAAAAUUGCUACAAUCUGAAAUCUAUGAUUCCAUCAACCUUCUCAAUAUUGAAAUUCGUUGUUGCCAUCCUUGAUGAGUUGAUUGCGAAAUCUGAACCAAGCUGUCACACUAGUUUGUUUGGGAUUGACUCGUGUAAACAACGAGAGAGUAAAAGUGGAGAAGAACGAACACAAAUAUUUUAAGUGAAAAACAGUCAAAGAAGAAAAAACCACGAAAAAAAUAUGUAUCGACUUUUCACUAAAUGAGUAAACAAAUGAGAGUACAAUAUGGAGAAAAUAAAUCUAAUUGUACUAAAUCUACAAACCUAAACCCCGAAAACAAAGCCCUAACUCUGAUAGAGCAAACUCGAAAACAAAACCUAAAUCCCAUAGAGUUUUCUCAAAAAGGGUUAGAGAAUUCUCUCCAUAUUUACCACAAAAACUGUCACCAAAACUCAUUUGCGACUACAUAUUGACGCCCCCAAAAGAAAAGCCUUUAAUUGCCUUUUUAAUUGGUCUUCAAAAAUAUAGAUGCAAGUCCAAUUAAAAUAGGCUAAGAUUAUAGGUCUAAUCAUACUAAAAUAUCCCUAGAUUAAUCAGAUUUUAAUUGGAAAAAUAUAGCAGAAAUUAACUGUGAGAAGAAACCUGAUUUAUAUGGGGGAAACAUCGUCACGUCACAACGUACCUAUUUGCAUCGUCACAAUGUUGUCCAUUGUCGUAACGUCGAGAAGCUUCUCAUCGUGACGUAGCCAUUUGUUUGGCCGAAAAUAUAAGGCAUACCCCACUAAUCUCCACCUUGACUUGUAUUUACCAUACAUUCUUCUCUAUACCCUGUCACGAGCCGAACUCAAUCUUUGCAGAAUGUCAACAAAGCUCAAACCGUUCUCAAACUUGGAAAUUGAAAGACUCUUAAUCUUCAAAUCAAGGUUGUAUAAUGCAACCAAAACUAGUUGUCGAAAACAUUUUUAAUUUUGAAAAAAUGGGAUCGACUUUAAAAAUAAAAAUUAGGAGUCGCCACCGACCUUUUAUUGAGGUGUGAUCGGUUCACCAUUAAAAACGGUUUUGAUCUGUGAAAUUUGAAAAAACGAGUUCGGGAGUCGGUUACGCACGAGGAAGGGUUAGCACCCUCGUAACGCCCAAAAUUGGUACCGCAUUGAUUGUUUGGUGUCUUAAUGUCGAAACUUUGAAAAGACUUUAAAAUACUAUUCUUUGAUGAGAAAACUUGAAUAACUAAAUUGAAUGAUAAGGUGCACCCAUUUCACAGAAAUAGAUUGCCACACUCAGUAAGUUAGGGUGCGACAAUUCAAUCUUUGAAAUUAGAUUCGUUCCUUUUUUAAGAAAAUCAUGUGCUUUAAGAAGGAUAUUUGAUUAUUUAAGUUAGUCGAGAAAUCGUAAUCCAGUAAGUUAAGGUUCAAUUUCUCGAAGUUCUCAAACAUCAAACAUUGCCUUUAUUUCGAAAUUGAGAUAACAAAAUGUUGUAUCCAGUAAGUUAGGAUCAAACAUUUUGAAACCUUAAGAGCUUUAUUUUAAUGCUUGUGUGGCUUUAAUAAAAUGGGCGCUUGAUCAUAUAAAUUCAUCGAGAAGAAUCGAAGCCCAGUAAGUUAGGGCUCAAUUCCCUCGAGAACCUAUGUACGUCAAGCCCUUUUUAAAGUUUGUGGAAUAAGACGGUCAUGAGGCUUUAAUAAAAUUCAACUCAAAUGAAACAUGAUUGAAUAACGAUACAUAGAAUAAUUUAAACUUAAACUAGAAGCAAUUAAACUAAUAAUAGGCAAAUACAAACAUCGAUUUAAAGCAUAUUAUGCAAACAUCCAUAUUAACAUUUAAGCAACCCAUGAAUUCACAAUCAAUUAAAAAACAAAAGACAAUAACAACAAUAAAUAAUACAAAUGUAAUAGAACUAAGAAAACAAAUAAAAUGUUUGAAUGAAUUUUAAUGAAAGGUUUAUAAAAAACGAAAUGAAAUAAAACUGAAUAAUCUUAAAAUUAAUACCUACAUCUUGAUUUAUAUAAAUAAAAUCUAGUAUAAAUAAUAGUAUAUACAUAACAAUAAUAGAUGGAAGUUAAAGUAAAACGACAAAUUUAGAAGGAAUACGACUUCCAUACAUAAAUAUAUCAUUUGAAAUUAAUAAGGUAUUAUUAUAUAUAAUUAUAUAUAAAAUAUAAAUUAACCUCUUAUAAAAUAUAAAGUUAAUUAUAUAUAUAAAUAUAUAAAGUUAAUCAUAUAUAUAAAAAACAAAUACAUAUAUAAAAAAUUUAAAAAUAAUAAUAACAGUAAUACAAUAAAAAAAUAAGUAUGAUAAUAAAAUAAUAAUAGAUUUCCUAAAUAAAAAAAAAACUAAAUAACAAAAGGGAUUAAAUCAUAAAUAAAAUCGAAUUAACAGGGAAUAACUAAGAUUAAAGAGAAGUAGGGGGACCAUGUUGCAACACGCGUAUUACAUGGGGGCCCGAUUGGGAAAUAUCUCGCUUCCUCAAAACGCGGCGUUGCAAGCUGGGCCGAAAUGAAACAGAAACGAAAAUGUAGAGCAAAAUCGAAAAAAAAAUAAAAAAGGGAUCGAUUUAAAUGCGCUGUGAAAAUGGCAAGGACCAUUUGCGCAAAUCGCCCAACGGAGGCCAAAACGCGCGGAUCCUUCCCCGGGUUGGGUCAUUGCGCGGGUAGUUGGGGUUUAGUCGGCCAACACGACACCGUUUAAGGGCCACUGAAACAGGCCCUAAACGGUGCCGUUUUACACGCUAUAAAAGGCCCCUCAUAACCCUAAAAACAAAUCUGCUGAAAAUAGAUCCUGGCCUCCACACUUGCACCGCUUCGACUAGACGUCCCGGAGCCCUCGAACCUCGUCUCAACUCCGAUGAUUGCAGAGAGAACAAGAGCUCGGCUACCAGGUAUGUUUACACUCCUAAAUCUCUUUCUUUUAUUCCUCUUCUACUCAAAUAAAGAACCAAAUGCUCAUAGGAACAAAGAAAUGAAAGAAAAAAAGGAAAAGGAAACCAGAUGCAAAGGAAAAUUUUUUCACCUUUCGAACUUUUUUCUUUUUUAUUUCUCUGAAUAUUUUUCAAUAUGUGUGUGUGUCCCCUUACAAAAGUUUUCGCCUUUUGUUUUAUAGGCCGAAAACAAUGAACAAAAAAUGAAAAAUGAAAAUACAAUUUUUUUUGUUUUCUACUGCGUUGUUUGCUCUGUUUGCAGGUCGUUGCAGGUGCGAGGCCGUACGGUGACGUGGCACGACUCGGCGCAGCGCAUGGAGGUUACUGUUGCAGCGGCUGGAGCUGAAUGCUGUUGAAGGCUAGGGUUUCAUUUUGACUCGGGCCAUGUAAACUGGGUUAGAGUAUUUUGGGCUCGGGUUUGGGCUUGGUGUUGGGUAAUACCAUUUAGGCUGGUGGGUUUUGUGUUGCAUUGGGCUUGGGCUAAAGUAAUUUUGAUUUAUUUAGGUCUGUAAUAUUGGACUUUGAAAGUGGACUUUUAAUUUUUUGAUUUGGUUUAUUUAUUUGUGCUUUUGGGCCCGGGCAAAUUGGGCCUAUUACACUAGUGAUAUACAAACAAAUGUGUGAUUCAGAACAGGAAAGAAAACAUCGAGCAAAUUAACUCAUUCCACUUGGUUGUCACCCUUUAAACACUCUACUUUAUCUGAAAUUGCUACAAUCUGAAAUUUUUGAUUCCAUCAAACUUCUCAAUAACGAAAUUCGUUGUAGUCAUUCCUGAACGAAUUGGUUGAAAAAUUUGAAUCAAGCUUUAAUACCAGUUUGUUGGGGAUCGACCCGUGUAAACAACAAGAUAGUAAAAGUGAUAAAGAACGAAUACAAAGAUUUUACGUGAAAACUGUCAAAGAGGGAAAAACCAUGGGCAAAAGAGGUAUUGACUUUUCACUAAAUGAGUAAACAAGCGAGAGUAUAAUAUGGAAAAAAAUAAACCUAAAUGUACUAAACGUGCAAACCCAAAUCCUGAAAACAAGACCCUAACUCUCAUAGAGCAAACUUGAAAACAAACCCCCAACUCUCACAGAAUCUUCUUAAAAAGGGGUACAAAAUUCUCUACAUAGUUACCAUGAAAACUAUUACCAAUACUCAUCUACGACUACAUCUAGUCGCCUCUAAAAGAAAAGUCAUGUAGUACUACAUCUUUAAUUGUCUUUUUAAUUAGUCUCCCAAAACAGGGAUACAAGACCCCUUUAAAUAGGCUAAGAUUAGAGGUCUAAUCAUACUAAAAUAUCCCUAAAGUAAUCAGAGUUUAACUAAGAAAAGAUAGCAGAGUUUAACUGGAAAAAGAAAUCUGAUUUAUAUGGGGAACACUUUACCACAUCGCAACAUCCCCAUUCAUGUCGUCACGACGUCGUAACGUUAGGAAGCUUCUCGGCAUGACAUCAUCGUCUAUUCGGCCGAAAGUAUGAGGCAUACCCCACACUUUGUAAAUUUGAAAUUUAGUUCAUGUAUUGCUAUUUUUAGGAAUUUCGUGUAUCUACAUUCUAGAUUUCAAAUCAGGUCCAAUUGUUAACAUUGUUAAAGUUUUUUUUGUUAAACUUUUUGGUGUGACAUUUUGAAAUAAAAAAAAAUACUCACUUGAUAGCCAUGUAACUAAAACCAUGAUGUUAUGAUAAACCUAAAUUUAAUAAAAGAAAUUAGCAAUGUUAACAAUUAGACUUGUAUUUUUAAAAUGGAAAAUAAAAGACUAAAUUCCUUAAAAUAAAAAGUAAAAGGAUUCAAUUCAAAAUGUAGUAAGAGUAUAAAAGGUUAUAUCACAUUUUAACUUACAUAAAUUUAUUAAAAUCUCCAUAUCAUUAUAAUAAAUUAUGAAAAAUAUAUUAUAAAGCUGGACAUAAACACAAAAUAGAUAACAAUUAUUUUGUAAAAUGAAUUUUAAUAAUAAACAAUGCAAAAAUGUUAAAAAGUAAUAGAAUGAAAUCAAACCCCUUAUCUGAAUAUAUGUUGCAUUGAUCUCAUUUCUUUGUCAAUUAAUUUAACAUUCCCAAAUCUCUUGAUAUCCUCUAUAAAUGUCAUUAAGUUCCAAAUGAAAAUGAUUUUUUUUUCUUUACCAUCUCCUAUUUGAGCCAAAAGAUUAACAUUUUUCUUGAAAAUUCCCACCGUGAGGGCUCUUGGUUGUGAACCAUCGACGCGCAUGCGAUUCCUGUUCUAGCUGGGCUCCCUUCCUUGCAAAUGGAUAACACUACACACAUAUUCCUUUUUGUCUUCUUUCAUGGAAAAUACCAACAUCACUAUUUUAUCGGAACGAAAGAUUACCUAAAAAAACAAAUGGUUUUUUUUUAAUUACAUUGGGUCAACUAAAUUUUAAAAAAAUCAUUACGGGUUUUCAAAAAUUCACUAAAUUAUUAGUAAAUUUACAUUUUAGUCACUCAACUUCAAAAAGCUAAAAUAAUGGUCAUUGAACAAUUCGAAAGCUUUUAUUAAAUCACUGAGUUGUUAAAUUUUUUUUUAAAAGUUUGACUAGCGAGUUACAAAUAAUGAUUUAACGAUCGGUACGAUGGAUCAGUAUCUAUCACUAAGUAGAAGAACAUGAUACUUUAGAUCCAAAUCGAUUUGAUUGUCAAUAUCAAAUGUAAGGGCCCAAUUUUGCCCGGGCCCAGAUUACAAACAAUAAAAUAAAAAAUAAAUAGAACCAAAAAUAAAUAAUAAAAAAGUCCAGUUCAUUUACAAAAAAAAAAAGAGGCCAAAAUAGCCCAAAUCAGUAACCUAAUGGCCCAGCGGCCCAAAAAUUAAAAUUUUUCAGAUUUUUUAGAAACCCUAGGGUUUCUGGCAUCGCACCCCCUCCCUUCGCAUGCACGCCGCCCAAGGCACCUCGUCUCGAGGCCUGGCGCGCCCCUCCUGCCAUUUGCACCAAAAUAGCAAGGGUCUCCCUCUCCGUUGACUCCGCCACCUGCAAGAAAAGAGCAAAAAAGGACAGAGACAACAAACGCAAAACAAUAGUGAAACAGAAAUAAACAGUGUAAUAUUGGCUAUAAAGGCCAUGAAAAUAUAUUGUAAUUUUUACCAGGAAGCAAUCAAAACAGAAUAGAAAGAAAAAUUCUAAAAUGUGGUCCUUCUAUUUUUUUACUCUAUUUUAUUUAUUUUUUAAAUAAAUAUAAAAUAAAAAAGGGGUCGAAAGCCUACCUUGCCCUUCGUGUUCUGCUGCCGUGAGUGGCCGAGGACCGUUAUCUCCGAUGAAAGAUGACAUCUUUCGAGUAAAAGGGUCUUCGAAACCCAUAAAUCAAAAGUUUUUUUAGGGAUUUCUGCUAUUUUGAUGAGUACUUUUUUAAAAAAUAACCCCAUAUUUGGGUUCGGGGAACUGAAAGGCCAAAGAGCAGCUAUUUUUGCGUUUUUCGACUUCAAAACGAGAUAUAAGUAACGAUCAAUUGGUGUUUAUUCUCGUUUUCGAGAUUUAAGGCAUUUCUCGUUUUCGAGGAGGCAUUAUGUCCUAACUUACGGGACGUGAUCAUUUUUCUCGGUUAACUUGAAAUAAACUAUUUUCGCAAAAAUUACUUUAGUUAGAUAAUGCCUUAAUACAGAAAGGAUCAUGUUUUAAACUUUUUUCAGAGUUUCAAUUAACGACACUAAGACAUUAAUUAAUCAACUAGGUACCAAUUUUGGGCGUUAAGAGGGUGCUAUUCCUUCAUCGUGCGUAACCGUCUCUUGAAUCAAUUUCCUGAAUUUUGUGGACCAAAAAUCGUUGUUUUAGUAAAUCAAACCGUUUAUUAAAACGAUCAAAUUACGAGGUGAUCCGAUCACACCUUAUAAAAAGGAUUGGUGACGACUCUCAUUUUUUAUUUUUUAAAAUAAAAAGUCGAUUUAAAAAAAAGGGUUUCAACAUCAAAGAUCAGAGAAUUGCGUUGUUUGAAUUUUGAUUCGCAGAUUCGUGAUAUUUAAAGUUGUUUAAUGAAAAGAAAUUAAAUUGUAAGAGAGGAGAGGAGUGGGAGCUUUCGAUUGAAAAACAUAUAACAACGAUUUUAAUAACCCAAUGACUUAAAUGAAAAUUUUCAAAUUGUUCGGUGAUCAUUUUGUAAUUUUUUGAAGUUAAGUGACCAAAAUAUAAAUUUACUAAUAAUUUAAUAACUUUAAAUAAAUUUACCCUUAAUAAAUAAAUAAAUCACCCAAGGAAUUCCUGAUCUUAUUUGUGAAAGUAAAAGAUCUACCAUUAAUUUAGCAGAUAAUAAAAUGGUUUUAAAUUCCUGAAAAGAAAAUUGAGCGCCAGAAUUAAUUAAUCGAAGACUUAUUAUAAUUGAAGUCUUCUGUUCCAAUUGGGCGACGACUUGACCAAAACUUUAUUUCAAGGAUUAGUUAGAUGUCUCUUCUUUUUUCAAGCAAAAGUAUUAACUUUUUUUUCUUUUCAAAAAGCAUCAACUUCAUAAUGAAAUGUCGUUGGUCAUGAAAUAAUAUCUGCUUUAUAUUCAUACGUAGCUGUUAAUUUGAGUACAGGCAAUAUUUUUAUAUGGGGAGUGAUUCAAAACCAUUAAGGGAAUUGGAUUUUCGGAUUCAAUCACUUUUUGGAGAUGUGUUCAGUCUUUGAAGUUGAAUUAUGAGACAUUUUUGACGGGUUGAGUCUUUUACAAGAUUAAGGCUUGAGCAAAUUAUCGAUUCACGAGGAUAGUCUGAGUUUUAUAACUAGUUCGAGAUCAACAUUAGUUAGGCGGAUCCAACAGAAGCUAUAAAAUUUCGAACAUUUGAGAGAUCAAAUAUGUUCCGAGAGAAGUUAAUUUAGUCGCAAACCGAAUUGCGAAGAUGGUAUCUGUGGAGGUGGAGGGAGUUAAUGUUUUGACUUUUACUCUUACGAAUCUUUUAAAAUUCCUUGAAAGUGAUAAAAUUAAUGGUGCUUUCGAUUGUAUUAAUGUAACAAAAUCAAUUAAGCUUAGUUUAUUUCACCCAAAAAAAUAUUAAACUUUUAAUUAUAGGAUAGGUAAUUUUUGAAGGUUUCUUUUGCUUUUUUAUCUUCAAUAACUCAUAAAAUUAUGGGAAAAAUUACAUUACUUGAUAUAUAUACACACAAAAUAUAUUAUAAAUUUAUUAAAAUCUCCAUAUCAUUAUAACAAAUUAUGAAAAUAUAUUAUAAAGCUUGACAUAAACAGAAAAUAGAUAACAAUUAUUUUGUAAAUUGAAUUUUAAUAAUAAACAAUGCAAAAAUUUUAAAAAGUAAAAAUAAAUAUUAUAAAUAUAAUACUAAUUUACAACAUAAAUAUUUUUUUCAAAAUCAAUAUUUACUCGAAUAAUAUAAUUAAAUUCAAUACAUAUAUAUUACUAAUUUACAAAAAAAUAAUCUAAUAUAAAUUUAACCCUUAAAAGUUAAUAAUUUUAAUUUAUUAAAUAACAGUUUAAUAAAAUCCCCCAACUUUAAUCAAAAUGAAAGAAAAAAAAUAGUAUUUUUUUUAAAAGGAGGUAUUAUUAGUAUUUACAUUCAUAAUCAUCUAAAUUAUGUUUUCGACACAUUCAAUGAAAGUAAAUAAACAUAUAAAACACAACACCUUCAAUACACCGAUUCUUAUCCAAUAUGAUGAGCAUUUCUUUUAUUCGUUCUUGCAAUGUUAGGAGCAACGACCAAAAUAAUAUCGUCAAUGCUUAAGAGUGUAUGAGAUAUGGCCGGAAGUCUGCAGAAGGGAAAAUGAUGUUAGAAAACGAAAAACUUUCUCAUCCGGACAUGUACUAUUUUUAGUUUACCCUUAGGCUUAGCUAAGCAAAUUCAGAGGAGGGCUUCUUCUCCCUUAUCUCCUUGCUUACACCCCAACCUUAGUUAUGGCACAUGUACCGUCAAAUAUUAUUCUCUUGCUGUUCCUUCUGGUUUCUUUCCAUGUUGAUGUCAUAGCUGAAGAAGAUGAGGCAAAAAUUAUCAAACCCGGUUCUUCACUUUAUGCCGGAAAACAGCCUAGCUCGUGGGCAUCACCUUCGGGGAAUUUUGAAUUUGGUUUCUACCGGCAAGGAGAAGGAUAUGCGGCCGGAAUAUGGCUUGUUGGUCGACCAGAAAACACCAUUGUCUGGACUGCAAAACGAGAUGACCCGCCUGUCUCCUCAAAUGCUACUUUGGUAUUCACUACACGAGGCGUAUUGCUUCUUCGGACUGAGGACGGGGUGGAAAAUGUCAUUGCGAAUCAGUCCGGCGUUGAUUCAGCUUCGUUGCUGGACACCAGGAAUCUAGUGCUCUACGAGAACAGGUCUGUUGUUUGGGAGAGCUUUGAUAUCCCGACCGACACAAUCUUAGGAGGCCAGAAUUUAAGAAAUGACAGUGUGUUGAUUUCCAGUGUGUCAAGUUCAAACCACGCAACUGGCCAUUAUUAUUUGCUCUUGAAGUCUGAUAUUGGGCUUGUAGCCAAUUUAAAUAUUUCUUCUGCAGCUGCUUAUCAGUACUGGGUCUUCCCUAAUGGCUUUUCUUACUCGUUGAAUCUCAGUGAGAGUGGCGUUCUAGCACUGUAUUCAUCACUAAAUUUCGGCCAAGAAAACGUUUUGGCAAACGGCUCGACAACUAGGAACAAAACAAUGAUUAUCUAUAGAGCAACCCUUGAUCAUGACGGUGUCUUCAGAUUGUACUCGCAUCAACUUGAAAGCAAUACUAUGUCAAACAAGUGGCAGAAUUUGGAUGAUGAAUGUGAGAUUCCAGGUCGGUGUGGGUUGAACAGCUACUGCUCCACCAGCAGGGGUAACGAUACUGAGUGCUACUGCUAUCCUGGUUUCAUAUUUAUCGACGAGAAUGCCAAAUCCCUGGGUUGCUCUCAGAAUUUCACUGUAGAUGGGUGCGAGGCUAGGAGAGAUGUAGUGAUACACCACAAUAGCACUACCUUAGACAAUGUGUCUUGGGCUGGUAAUCUUUAUUCUGUGAAGCGUAAUCUGGAGAAGGAAGACUGUAAGAAAGCUUGCGAGGAUGAUUGCUCCUGUGGUGGAGCUCUCUAUAGCCCAAAUCACUGUAGCAUGUAUUCAUUACCGCUUAAAUAUGGUAGAAAACAUGUAAAUAUAACAACCACAGCCUUCAUCAAGUUGAUUCCGGGUAGCACCAUUAGCCCCCCACCUGAAAAAAGUCAAAUAUUGAUAAGCGAAGGAAACGAAAGCCUCAUUUUAACUAUGGGAUUAAGUUUGGGUUCCGUUGCAAGUUUGUGUUUUGUGAUUGCAAUAUGUAGCUUCUUGUUAUACAGGCAUCGAGUCCAAAGUUAUGAGAAGCUUUUAGACAGUAAAAGUUCAGGAUUUGCCGAGCAAUUUACACUACGAUCAUUCACUUUCAAUGAGCUAGAUGAAGCAACACAAGGUUUCCAAGAUGAGUUGGGUAGAGGCUCAUUUGGAGCGGUUUAUAAAGGAACUUUGCCAGGGGAUGGUAAAAGUAUUGCUGUUAAGAGAUUAGGAAUGGUUAAGGAAGGAGAAAGGGAUCAGUUUCGAACUGAGAUGACAGCCAUUGGAAGAAAUAACCACAGGAACUUGGUCUGAUUGCUUGGAUUUUGUGUGGAAGGUUCAAGGAAGUUCCUUGUUUAUGAGUACAUGAGCAAUGGCUCACUAGCGGAUUUUCUAUUCAACAGGAAUGAACGCCCGGUUUGGAAACAGAGAGCCAGAAUAGCGUUGGACGUGGCUAAAGGUAUCCUUUAUUUACAUGAAGAGUGUGAGGUGAGUAUCAUCCAUUGCAACAUCAAGCCCUGCAACAUACUCUUGGAUGAUUCAUUGACUGCAAAGAUUUCGGAUUUCGGAUUGGCAAAGCUAUUGAGGCCUAAUCAAAGAAGCAGUACAAGUGGAGCAGCAUGGUACUCGGCACCUGAAUGGCAAAACAGUGCAGUGUUAUCGGUAAAAGUUGAUGUAUACAGUUUCGGAGUGAUACUGUUGGAGAUCAUAUGUUGCAGAAGCAACAUAGAAGUAGAAGGUCGCAGUGCAGAUGAGAUACUGCUUUCAACAUUUGUAUACAAUUGCUUUGUUGGGGGAGAGUUGAAUAAGCUCGUGGAAGGUGAAGAAGAAGUGGACAUGAAAAUGGUGGAAAGGUUUGUGAAGGUGGGGCUUUGGUGCAUUCAAGAUGAUCCAAAUUUGCGUCCACUCGUGAAGAAUGUGAUCUUGAUGCUAGAAGGAACAAUGAAUGUACCGAUCCCUCCAUUUCCAUCACUUCCCCAUGUUACUAAUUAGUGUUCUUAACUUUGAAGUUGGGUUUAUUUUAAUUAUGUUUUUCAUGUAAUUAAUAAUAAUUAGAGGAGUAAUUUUUAAAAUAAAAUUUUGGAAACUAUCUGGUUGUUACAAAGAAGGACAUUUUAUGUUCUAUGCAUCAAUUAUCAUGUGAUAAGUGAAAGGUCUCUAAUCUAUACAUCAAUUAUAAUAGUAAAAGUAUACAUGGUUUUUUCCUUUGUUUUCACUUAUGUGUUGUGUUGAAAAAUUAAAUGUUAACAUCUUAAAUACUUACAAAAUCAAUUUGGUAUGUUUGUUAAAUUUAAGUAUAUGAUUAAAUUGUUUGAUAAAGGAUAGCUUUCUAAUAAUUUUAGAGCUCUAAACAAAAUCUUUAAAAAAAUAUCUUUCGGUCUCACUUCCCUAGAUAUUCCUUUAGGGGCAUUACUUCCUAACUUUUUAGGCCUACUCAAUUUAGUUCAAUUUAAUACAAUUUAGUCCUUUUUUCCAAAAAUUAGCUUACCUACAUUUCCAUCAACCAAAUCCUUUUUUAGGUUUAGCUAUUUAUGCUGCAAAUAAAGAGAAUGGACAUGGAAAUGAAAAGCAAACAAAACAUUGAAGUUUAAGAAAAAAAUAUGAAAGUUUGGAUUUUUUUUAUGCAAGAAAACUUAAAGAACAUAAAACUAAAGGCAUUCAACAAGGAAAUCUAAAGCAAUAAACAGAAAAGGAAUAAACUUUAACAAAUUUAAAGUAAAAGAAACUAAAAUGCAUUAAACUAAAGUUAGAAAUGUCUUACAACCAAGGUAUAGGGAUUGGAAGUGCAAAUAAACUUAAGCUAUAGUAAUAACUAACUAACUUAACUACCACUAAGAACAACUAAGAACAACUAAAAUAAGAAAGAAAAUUGUUGGGAAAUGUAAAAUCUACUACUAAAGAAAUGAAAAUAAAAAAAACCCUAGAAAAAGAAGAAGAAAAGCUAAGAGAAAACCUAGAGAAAACUAAGGUAAAACUAAACUAAUGUGUGUCUCCUCUCCUCAGCCAAAUUUGGUUAUUUUAGGCUGAAUGCUAAUAGUACUUCGUUGCCAAAAUUGCCCUUACGUGGGCCUUGGAUGAUUGGUGGAUCGGGUAGAAAUAGACUACUCUUUUUAUCUAAUUUUGUCCCCCUCACAAUGUUGGUGUCACGAUACCUAGAAGAGGAUAUCUCGAUUCCUCAAGUAGUUUCGAACCUUGGGGUCUUCUUUGAGGGUGGAUAUCGUGAUACCACUGAAAAGUGGUCUCCCUUCUUUCCAUACUGUUGGAGGUAUUGUGAUUUCAAGGUAUGAAAAUAGCGAUACAUUUUCUUUUGGUGUCAUUUUCGCUCGUUUUCAACCUCAGCACGUUCUUACACCACUCAACCAAAUGUUAGGUCCCCCAAUAGUACUAUUGGCCAAAUUUGAUCAUAAAAUGAGUAAAAAUAAGGCAUUUACACUUAUCAACUUAAAAUAUAAAAAGUAAGAAAAAGUAUGAAAAAAAAUGCUAUUUUGCUUGAGAAUAAGGUCCUUAAGUAUAUUGGUAAAGUCUAAUUUGUCAUAUCAAAUUAUGGUAGAUAAAACUCCCCCACAUAUAACUCUUUGCUUGUACUUAAGCAAACCAAACAUGCAAAAGGAAAGACGACUGUUGGACUAAAUCAGACAAUUAAGUCAUAUAUCUAUAAAACAUCAAACUCGUACGGGAACUGCCUCAUAUGCAACUUAAGAGUGAUAUCUAGAUAACUUGUUUAUUCUUAAUACAAACAUAAUUAGUUCACUAAGUUAUAAUGUUAAUAGAUGUAGAGGCAAUGAAAAUUAAAAAAUGUACAAGUGUUAUCCAUCAAAAUAAAUUAUGCGAAUUGCUCAUAGAUAUUUUAAAAAAAUGGAUCAUAUUCGUUCAAACAAAUGUAGACUAUUUACGAAUUAUUGUAUUGGUGACAUAGAUUAUGUUAAGUAAUGCUUUUUAGAAGUACUUUUGAUAUGAAAAAUACUUUUGCAGCAAAAAGAACAAGAUAUUUUUUGCUGAAAUUUUUGGCUUUUCAAAAGUACUUUGAAAAAAAAAAAGAGAAACUAAAAUUUUUAGCUUUUCUUAUUCCAAAAACAUUUUUAGUGCUUAAUUAUUUUUUCACUUCUCCAAUAAUAUGGUACUUUCUCUCUUUUUUUCUCUGGUGCUUAAUUACAAAAAUGUUAAAAUCAUUAAUUAAAAAUAAAAAUAUAUUUUUAAAAUAAUACAAAUGUGUUAAUAUCUAAUUACAAAUAUUUAAUGGUUAUAUUUAAAUAUUUAAAAUAUAAUUUAUAUAUUCUACUAAAAUUUUAUAAAUAAAUAAUAUUUAUUGUUUAAAAUAUUUAAAAUUUAUAUUUCAUAUAUUAAAAUAUUAAUAAUAAGUUAUAAUAGUUUUUUAUUCUUACUAGAAUAUAAUAAUAUUAACUAAUUUGAACAUUACUUAAAUGCAUAUUUGUUACUUUAUAAUAUUAUGUCUAAAAUAAAUAUUUUAUUUCUCGAAAGUAUUUUUUCAUAACACUUUUUAAAAGUAUUUUUCAAAAUUAUAGCAACUAACCCUAAUUCGGAUCCCAAAGAUCUUCUAAGUUUGUAAUGUUACAAGGCUUAGGACAGUUCAAAAUUCAAAUGGGUUCAAACACUAGAAACGGUUGAGCACAUGACAUUGUUCCCUACUUGCUUCAAAUUCAUUUACAAGCUCACCUCCUUAUUUCUCAUUCUCUUGCCUACCAUAUUUUUCCAAAAUGUUAGAAGGUAUUAUGGCACAAAAUUUAUAAUUGUGAACCUAAAGAUAUUCAUUUUUGAGCUUAAUUUUGAUUUAGCUAUCAUUUUCUUUAUUUUGCACUUUUUCAUUCACCCUUUCUUUUUUAACAUACUAAUUUGCGUAAUCCCUUCAUUUUCUUUUUAUAAAUACAUAUAUCAGAAUUUAUAAACACAAAAUUCUAAGGCGAUAGUACAAUUUCUAAGGAUCUUUAGAAAUUUUGGUAUUUUGUAAUUGAGUCAUUCUAAUUUUUUUUUUCAUAUUAAAAACUUUUUAAAAUUAAAUUGCCAUGAUUAUGUUUAUUAACUAAAAUGAUAUAUAUUUUUUGGAUCCAAAUUGACAUUUUCUAACAAAAAUUAUUAGUGGUAGAAGAAGUGGCAAGAUCAGUUUCAACUAGUUCACGCAUGAAAAUAAAACCUCGGAAAAAGCUUGGGAAACCUACAUUAAUUUUAUCACCAUUUUUCCUUAGAAAUGUUGACAGUCCAUAAAGUUGUCUGUAUGUAUCAAAAUAUAAAAGAAUGUUAUUAGAAAUGUCGGUAUUUGAUUAUACAUUUUAGUACAGGAUUUAGGAAUGAGAUUUUGGUAUAUAAAAAAACCUAAUUAUUUUUCAUGAAAAUAUUGAUAUUCCGUUAGAAAUUUUGAUAUAUAACAAGAUAUAACAAGAUAUGUUUUUAGAAAUUUUAAUAUUUCGGCCGGUUGAGUCAUUAUUCGAUUGACAUACACAAUGUUAUUAAUAUAGGGUUCGAGUGUAUUUAAACGCAUUAUCCUCCUAUUUAUGGUUAGAGAGAGGCUAUGGAUAGUUCAAGCUCACCCUAUUAAGAAUAUUAAUAAGAAAUAAAUAUUAUUAAAUUAUCUUUAUUUAUUUUAAUAGUAUUAUAAAUUUAAUAUAUUUUAUUUAAAUAUUUCAAUUAAUUAACUAAUUUAAUUUUUUUAUUAUAUUAAAUAAAUAACUUAAAAUAAAAUUUAAAUGUAAAAACUAAAAAAUUAAUCAUAAUUAAUUUAAAUGAUUUCAAUAUAAUAUAAAUAAAAUUAAAAUAAUUAAAAUCUAACUAUUAAAAUAAAGGAAAUAACUUAUAUUAGGAUGAUCCUAAAAACUAAGGUUUUUAGGCACCAAUAAAAUUUUGCCACAACAUCACAAUGUAAAGAAAUUAAAUUAUUAUUAUGCUCUCAUCUAUAGAGAAAUUAUCUUAUUAAUCCUUUCCACCACAUUAUUCAUGGUCCCUUUCAACAAUUUUUUUCACGUCACUAACACAUAAUUUUGAUAAUUUUUUAAACACAUAAUUUUGAUAAUUUUUUUACUCUGAACUUAACUCUAGAAUAUUGAACCCUGAACCCUGAACCCUAAACUUGAACCUAUAACCUCAAAUUUUUAAACUCUAAACACAAACCCAAAAUCAUUAAACCUUGAACUCAUAUCAUAAACCUCGAAUAUUUAAACCAUCAACCUAAACUUUGAAUCCUGAAUUCAAAAUUGAACCUCAAACUUUAAAUUUUGAACCCAAACCCUGAAUCUCAAGGUUCAAAAUUUAAGAUUGAAGGAAAAAUAAUUAACAAAAUUAUGUGUCAAUGACAUGAGAAAAUUGCACAAAAAUUACUUCUUUUUUUAAAAUUUGGUUGCAUAAAAAAAAGAAUUUAUGAAAAAGAGAUUAAAAUUUUCAAAAAAAGAUGAUUGUUUAUAAUUAAAAAAUUAAUUAUUUUAAAUAAUUUAAUUUAAUUUAAUUUAAUUUGAAGAAAGUAUUAGAUAUACAAAUAUAUAUAAUAAUAUUUUAUUAUCUUUAAAAUUUAAUGAGGUAAUGUUAUUUUAUUAAUAUUUUAAAAUUAUACUUUUUAGUAUUAUCUAAAAGAAAAAGAGAGAAGUAAACUAAAAAAGGAAAUGCGGUGUUUGCAACUAGGGGUGUUCAUUCGGUUAACCGACCGGUUAACCGACCCGAAAUUACUAUAACCGAAUUAACCGACCUUCCAAAAAUUUUAACCGUUAACCGAACCGAUUUUUUUAAAAAAAAAUUAACCGAACCGAAAUUUUUUUGGGUUAAUAAGGUCGGUUAACCGAAUUAACCGAAAAUUAUGUAUUUUUUAUUUUUGGUUAAAAAUUACCCGAAUUACCCGAAUUAACCGAAUUAACCGAAUUAACGCAAAAUACCCGAAUUACCCGAAUUUUUUUAUUUUUUAUUUUUAAAAUUUAAAAAAUUUAUAAAUUAUUAAAGUAAAUUGGGUUUUAGACUUUAGUAAAUUGGGUUGUCUUUUAGUUUUAGUUUUAUUGGAUUGGGUAAUCGGGUAAACUUUAGUUUUAGUUUUAUUGGGUUGGGUAAUUGAGUUUUGGCUGGGUUGGAUAAUUUUAUUUAUUAAUUUUUUCAGUUAACCGAAAAUUUUUGAUUAACCGACCGGUUUCGAACCGAAUUAACCGUUAACCGAAAAAUCAUAAAAAAAUUAACCGACCCCCGACCGAAAAAAUUCGGUUAACCGACCGAUUAACCAAAUUCGGUCGGUUAACCGAAUUUUUUCGGUUUUACCCGAAUUAUGCACACCCCUAUUCGCAACUACAUCCUCCCUCCCAUUGAAAAGGAAAAAUUAUUAGAUGGAGCCUGGGAGUUCUCACCGCCUAAAUUAUAAGUCUAAUCAAUUGAAGUAAUACACAUUUUUUUUUAAAUUUUUAAUUUUUUUCUCUUAAAAAUUUUAAAUUCAAUUAAAAGUAUUAAAAGUCAAAGAGAAAAAUCUAACUUAGAGAUAAAAUAACGUGUAAUUAUAGAAUUGGAAAUCUUGCUUUAUGUCUACGAUGAUAUUAGACGUAUAGUUUAAGUGGAGAGAAGGAUUUAUGUAAUAAUUUAGUCAGGUUACCUGUCUUUUUCUGCGCAAACCCUGAUUCCAGACCUCGGCCAUUUUUAAUUUGGGUACUUGUAAAAUAAUUUCUUCAUCGGUUCCAAAAAUAGAAGACAGAAAUAAAUACAAUAAUUCCUAUGGCAGCAGUGUGGUCUCUUCUCAUGCUCCUGUCUUCUUUCUUUGUGGCUAGAGGAGUUGAAGACAAGCAUUCAAACGGCACCAUUGGGCUGGGAUAUUCGCUUUCCCCCUUAACUCCACCCACCUCAUUGGCUUCGCCUUCUGGUAGUUUCGCAUUUGGUUUUUACAGUCAAGGCAAUGGCUUUUCAAUUGGAGUUUGGCUGGAGGGCAAUAGAAAGACAGAUAACAAAGUUGUAUGGACAGCAAACCGUGAUGACCCGCCGCUCCAUGCAACUGCUACUCUGACACUAAACGAGAAAGGUUUGCUUCUUUCGAGCGGUGUGAGCGGAGAAAAUAAAGUUAUUUUUUAUCCAAAUGACUCGGCUGUCAGUGUCUUCUCUGCCUCCAUGCUAGAUUCAGGCAAUUUUGUGCUCUACAGCACAGUCAAUCAUACCAUUUGGGAGAGUUUCGAGCAUCCUACAGAUACCCUUUUAGGUGGUCAGGCUACUACUCAGUCGUUGAUCUCCUGUUCUUCAGAAAAUGAUCACUCAUCCGGAAGGUUUCUUCUAGGUAUGCAACCAGAUGGGAAUCUAGUUCUAUACCCUCUAGACGUCAAUUUUGCUGUUACAACUGCCUAUUGGGCCACAAAUACUGAUGGUGUGAAUCGUUCACUCCGAUUAUUUCUUAACUCGACAGGCUUCCUACAACUUAUCAACAACACUGAUUCCUCCAUCUACCUAGAAAUUAAUUCUAGAUUUGUUACAGAGGUGAGCUACAACGAGAACACCACCACCACCAGCAACGACGGUAUCGUUCACAGUGCAAGCCUUGAUGUUGAUGGAAAUUUCCGGUUAUAUACUCAUCAAUUUGAUCCAAGUGGUGGAUUUCGAACUUCCCGAGUGUCGCGUGCGUUGAAGGAUUCCUGUGAAAUUAUAGGCUUUUGUGGUAUCAAUAGCUAUUGCACGUUUAAUGAUGACAGAGCUUACUGUGCAUGCCUUCCCGGCACUGAUUUUAUCGAUCCUCAACGCAAUACCCUCGGCUGCAAGAGAAAUUAUAGUGAAGCACAUUGUAAAGGAGGGAAGGACAAUAUACCCCUUUAUAACAUCACUCAAUUGCAAAAUAUAGAAUGGACUACAGGUAUAUUUUACAGUGAAGAGGUAAUGUCCAUGAGUGCCUGCAGCCAAACAUGCUUGGAAGACUGUAAUUGUGAGGCAGCAAAGUUUAGCGAUGGAGUUUGCAGGAAACAAAAGCUUCCACUAUGGCAUUUGCGACGACGACAAGGUGUGAGUUCCACGGUUUUCUUAAAGAUGGGAAUCAGAAGCCUAGAAGCAGAUGAUGGUACUGUUUCCCAUGAAUUAAAGCCCCAAAUCAAACGGAAAGAUCCGACGCUGAAAAUUCUUCUUUUAACUUUCAGUCUUGUCGCAUGUUCAUGUGCUUUGCUUGCAAUCUCUGGUGUAUUCAUUUUUAAAUUUCGAGUUCUAAGAUACAAAAGGCUGUUGGAAAUUGGAAAUUUGGGCCUAACCGGAGAGCUUACGUUGACGUCGUUUUCAUACAAUGAACUCAAGAGAGCAACGAAUGGGUUUAAAGUAGAGUUGGGUAAGGGAUCCUUUGGAGCAGUCUACAAAGGGUCCUUAAACAGAGGAAGAAAUUUGAUUGCAGUAAAGCGAUUGGAGAAGUUAGUGGAAGAAGGAGAAAGAGAGUUCCAAGCAGAAAUGCGAGCAAUUGGCAGAGCUCACCACAAGAAUUUAGUUCGACUUUUGGGAUACUGUGCUGAGGACUCCAAGAGGGUGUUGGUGUACGAGUACAUGGGCAAUGGCUCCCUUGCUGAUCUACUUUUCAAGUCAAGACAGCGCCCUGAUUGGGAUGAAAGAACAAGAAUAGCCCUGGAUGUAGCUAGAGGAAUCCUCUAUUUACAUGAGGAGUGUGAGACCCCAAUCAUUCACUGUGACAUAAAGCCGCAAAACAUAUUGAUGGAUGAUUAUUGGAGAGCUAAAAUUUCAGACUUCGGGCUGGCAAAACUGUUGAUGGGGGAUCAUACAAGGACCUUCACAGUAGUGAGGGGAACUAGAGGAUAGAUGGCCCCAGAAUGGCAUAAGAAUGUUCCAAUCUCAGCGAAGGCUGACGUUUACAGUUACGGAAUUGUGCUAUUGGAAACUGUGUUUUGCAGACGAAACUUGGACACCACUGUAUCAAACCCAGAGGAGAUCAUUCUGUCGAUUUUGGUGUAUAAAUGUCUGGUUGAAAAAAAGUUGGAUAAGCUUGUGCUUGGUGAAGAAGUAGAUAAGAAAAGCUUGGAAAGAAUGGUGAUGGUGGCACUUUGGUGUAUCCAAGAUGAACCUGCACUUCGUCCUUCCAUCAAGACUGUAGUGAUGAUGCUGGAAGGCAUUACUGAUAUAUGCAUUCCCCCAUGUCCAACUGCUUCCUCCAUAUAAUUCAAGUCUUCCUCCAUAUAAUUCAAGUCUUCGUCCAUAUAAUUCAAGUCACGACCUAACAAUCAAUCAUCUCACUCCGAGUGUUCGUGUAGUUUAUGUUACGUAAGGACUGCGUCAUGUUUGUAUUUCCUCUGGCUUGUAAUAAAUUUGUAAAAUGCUUCCUGCAGCAGUGUUCUCCCAUCAUUUGUAGGUUUAAAAAUUGUGUUCGAGUUAUUUAAUCAUAUAGUUGUAUGUAAUAACUGAGUUUUACUGUAAUUCCUAAUUAAUAAUCUCCGAUUGCUCAAAAUGGUAAAAAACUUGCAAAAGGGUCAUGUAAGCAAAGCCAUCAUGUGUAUGCUAAGACUAAUAAGUCCUUUUGUCUUGGACUUGUUAUGAUCUCAUUAGACAGGAUGUUAGGAAACUGAAUAAUCAUUUUUAAGCAGAGAGAUUGUGCAUUAGAAUAACAGCAUCCAAGAGCAAAACCAGAACUCAGAGGCUGUGACUGUUGAACAUGUUCCGGCAAAGGUACAUGAGAAUUAUCAACUUAGGUGAUAUUGGUAUAUUUGCACAUAUGUGCAGCGCUAUGGUUUGAAAGACGACGACGACGACAACUACUACUACCUGCCAUACAGCUGAAGCCAUCUUCCUCUUUUUGCGAUCAUAUGAGUAUAUAUACAAUACAAGUUUGCGGUUAAGGCCCAGAAACAAUACCAACAAUGUCCAUCCAUGGCAGCCCAUCUAUAUAACUAAUAAGGAACUAAUGACCUAGAAAAAUGGUUAAAUUUCAAUUUAAUCCCUCUACUAUGCUUAAAUUUGAGAUUGAAUCUCCAUACUUUGGUCCUUUUAUUUUUGUAAUGUUAUUAAUAAGUCCAAAUAACUAAUAUAAUUAACUUUUAAAUUAAGAUGUUAUGUGUUUAUAUAUAAUUUAAAUUUCCCAAGGGUCUCAAAGACGAACAUAUGUAUUUCCAUUUCUUUUGGAUUUGUCUUCUUUCUUUUUUUGACAUUAUAAGACAAUGAUCAAACUUCAAUUUUAGCUCCUAUAGUAUGUUGAAACUUGAUAUUUGAUUUACACACUUUAAUUUUUGACAUAAUUUGGUCAUUCUAUUUUUAUAAUGUCAUUAGUUAGUCUAAAUACUUAAUAUUGUUAACUUAACGAUAUUAAGUAUUUUAAUCAGAAUGCUUACAUCAAUUUUUCUUAAGAACACCAUGCCAACAAAAAAAGUAUUAUUUUAUAAUGAUGAGUUCAAAUAGGUGUUUUUAAGAAAAAAAUUCACAUAAACAUUUUCAAUGUUAAUUUUUAUUGUUAUACGACUACCAACUGUUUUUUUUUUAAUUUCGAAAUGUCAAGCCAAUGAAUUUAAUAUAAGAAUUUUAAUUGUGGUACAACUUGACCUAAAAGCUUAAACCCGAAAAGUAUAGGGACAAAAUUUUUGAAAAUAAAAGUAGAGGGACUAGAUUUUAUAUGUAUGAAGUGUAUAAAACCUUAGAGUAUAUUUUAACUUUCAAGGUUUUACUCCAUUUUUUUGGUCGAAACCACAAUAUUUACCAUUGGUAGCCGUAACUAAUCUCCCUCACCGCAAGUGCUCUCUAAAAAAAAUAAACAGUUGGUGAUGAAAUGUGAUUCAUUCACAUUAAUUAUGCAUUUUUUUUUACUCCAUUCGAGUAUAAAAUUAAAAGGUAAACUACACAAACUAUAAUCAACUAUAAAAAAAAAUCAUUUUAGACACAAAAAAUAAAAUGUAUGUAAUUUAGUCACUCGUAUUUUAAUCACUCCCAUUAAAAUGGAAGAUGGAUGUCCACGUGGAGCUUUUUUAAAAUUUUUAUUAAUAUUUAAUAAUUUCCGACUAAUAAAUUAUUUCGACGUCUGAAAUUCUUUUAGCCUAAACCUAAGCUAAUAGUGAAACUAAGGAAAAAUUUCCUUCAUUCUAGUGCUAGAAAAAAAAUUGCAGUCACCCUUUCCCUUUCUCGCCCAAUCUCAGCCUCAACCACCUCCCUCUCUAGUUUCUCAUGCUCUGCUUUGGCUUCCUUGAUGUGCCUCAUCCCGGCUUGCCACCCCAAGCUUUUUAUAGUGGAGGUCAGUUUGGGGGUGGCUCUUUACCUCUGGGGCUUGGUUUUAAAAGUUUUUAAAUAGUAAAUGUAAAAUUGUAUUUUAGUCUUUUUAAAAAUGAUAAAAUUUUGAUUUAAUCUUUUAAAAAUUAUAAAAAUAUAAACUAAUUAAUGGUGAAAUUAUUUUUUUACUAUCAUAAAAAUUACAAUUUAAUUUUAACCCCUUAAUUUUUUUUCUAAAUUUGACCCUGUUAUAUAGAUUACCUAAAACCUAAAUUAAAUGAUAGGUUAAUUUCAAAAUAUUGUUUAUUGUUAAUACAAAAGGGUUAGGAGGAAAGGUAACAUAAAUCAUUCUCCACCUUUGCACUAUAUAUUAUACAUGCUUUCUUUAUCAUCAUAAUUUGACAGAUAUAAUACAAAGCAAGUCAAGUCUUGUGAAAUAUUGAUAGAAUAAAGCAGGCUUUGUGGGAGACUUAUUUGGUUAUGGUUUAACUUAACAUAUGCUUUUGGCUUGGAGUGAAAUAAUAUAAGAUUGAACACUGAUAUUUUAUUUUCUUGUGGAUGAUAUUAUUAACCAUAUGGCGUGGACGGUAGGCUAGGGAAUUUUUUACUCUUUAUGUCAUCCAUAUUUACCAUUGAUAACCACAAUAAUUUAUUUUUCAAUAUAAACAUGACUUAUAAAAUUUCAAAUAGUUUAUGAGACAUAGGCAAAGUGUUUGGAAGAAGUGACUAAAUGAGUGGAUAUUUUUUCAAGCUCUGGGAUAACAGAAAUAUAAUAGGAGAUAACAAAAAGUUUGCUUACGCAGCUCACGGAGUCUAAUUCAGUGAGAAGUAUCCACUAUCUUCAAACACUUACAGCAAGUGACCCUAAAUCUAUGAGACCCAAGUGACAAUUUCCUCACUUUUGUGCCUUUAAAGACUAGAACCCUUGCCACUAAAUUCACCCCUGUGAACUAAGCAUGUAAAACCACAACCCAAAGGUUUUACAAUCAAAUGCACUCUUACAAAUAAUGUUCCUCACUUGAAUAGAUUAAGUGCUCUCAAUUCUCGAACAUAAUCCUAUACAAGUCUCUCUAUUAUAUAGAGUUGUUCGAGACUUGCUAACAUAGAGAAGAUCUAUAACAAUCUCUAUAAAACAAUCACUAUAUAAGUUGAAUAAAAUAUAAUAAUAGCAAACAAGAUAAACAAGAAUUAUUGGUAAACAAGGACGGUUGGUAGAUAAGUUGAAUAAAAUAUAAUAAAUAAAAUAUAAGUCUUUAAUGUUACAAACCAAUCCAACUUCCUUAUCUAAGGGAUUAGAUAAGUGUGAUUCGAAUCGAUUCGAUCCAACCCUCUUUAUACAUUUCUUUAAGUGAUAUGAUCUUCAUUAGUGGGCUAGAUACGAUCCACAAUCUCAAUAUAACCAAAAUAUCUAGCUCAAUAAAUUGCCAACAACUCAAAUAUGGAAAUAGCCUAAUCUGUCGUAGUUGGUCAAAGAGUGGGCACUCCCUCAGACACUUAUUUAGUCUUUCUGUAUUUUCAACAAUCUCCUCAUUUGGAAAUUUUUUGAACAAAACACAAACAAAGUAGGAAGCUUAAACAUAAAUUAACAACUUGCUCCCUUUUAUUAUAUUUCCUUUUAAUCCAACAAUAAUGAAUCAUGAAAAAUAUAUGCAACCAAAGUAAUCAUCAUUUAUUGACCAAAUGAAAUCCAACUAUUAGAAGUAGCAAAAUUAAGAAACAAACCUCCAAAAACCAUAAGUUUCAAAAAGCAACAGUAACAUCAAUGAAUUUGAAGCAAAAUAUGAAUCUCCCCUAUCACCAGUAGCUUCCCCUUAUUCUCUUUUCCCCCCUUUUUGAUCAACAAGAUUGCCAACUUAUUUUUCAUUAGGAAGGGAUAUUAGAUUAGCACAAAGAAGCUUUUGCCUAUCUAUGAUCUUCUUCAUAGUCUUAGCUUCAAUAAGGAGUCUGGUAAUGUGCCUAUCAUUGGCUUCAAUAAAGGAUGUAAGAUCCUCAAUCAUCAUUUUAUGAAUGUCAUAGGGAAUAACCUUGGGGCCUGGAGAAGUUGGCACUUAUUGGGUCUAAGGUGCUUCUUCUUGCUCAACAUCAUCAUAUCAAAAUUACUUCCCCUCAACAGCAACAUUACCUCUCCCCCUUAGUAGGACCCAUCAUAUUUAGACAAUAACAAUUCAGGGCCUUCCUUAUCAUUGAAGUGCUAACUUUAUACUAUUCUCCACAUAAAAAUACCUUUUAAUGAAACUUACUAUAUUUGUUACUUAAUACUUUGCAGCAAAUUAACAUAAAACUUCAUAACAACAUUACAGACACACAACUUGACACAACUCAUUGACCUUAACAAACCACUUUUUCCAAUAAGUACAUCUAUGCCAUGACCAACAAACCCUCUAAAAAUAUGAUAAUAGGUUGGAUUAAAUGACUUGGUAUCAAAGUAUAAUUGGUAAACUGUGUAAUAUAUAUGUUUACGUAAUACUAAAGGCUAGAAAUGAGUAUAUGUAACUCGUAACUUUGCUGAAAUGACAUAAUUGAGAUAUUGGUUUGCUUGUUUAGGUGUUGCAAAAUGGUACCUUUUAGAUCUUUUGGAAACAAAAAAUUACGUGGUGACGAGGAAUCAACAAUAAGUUGCAUCAUGACCUGGAAGCCCCAAUCGUGACAUCAACUCGAUAGUUUGCAAACUUUUCAUUUUGGUCCUAAUUCGACCUCAAGUUAGCAUAUGAGCUUUCAUAAGCUUGUAUAAGACUCGAAUAUUAUUGAAAAACAUAUUGUGAAAGCGUGAUGUAGUUAGUAGCAUGUGAAAAAAGUUAACUUGGGUCGGUGUUGCUCUGACAACGAAAGUUGCAUAUAAAGGAGUGCUCCUAGAGGCUGUGCCUUGGAGUUUUAGCCAAACCAUAAAUUAUUUGAGAUUUUCAGUCAAAAUUGUAAAUAAGAUUGUUAAGUAGAAAUUUUAAAAGAUGUAUGUAUUAGUAUCAAUUGUUGUGCUUAGUUAAUCUGUUGGAAAGUGAAUUUUAAAUAAUGUUAGUCAGUUAUCUAGAAUUUCUAUCAUCCAGAACCUGGACUCAGUGAGCGGAUCAGGAAUUAGGUGUGUAAUGGCCCAUUUUCAGUGAAAUCAGAAUAGUGGUUUCGGGACCACAAAUCCAGAGUCAAAAGUUUUACUUAAUAUUUUUUAUGUGGUAUAAAACAUGUUAGAAGUAUGGUAUAAAAUUUCGUUAAGAAAUUUUACCGUUUGUUUGCUAAAUUUGUGAAAAAGGACUAAAUCGCAUAAAGUGCGAAAGUUGUGUUCUAUUAGCUAAAGGUAUUAAAUAGAUAUAGAAUGUUAAAUUACAGGUCCUUAUUGAGUAAUUAGACCAUUAAAGAAGGUAGUGGAUGUACAUGGGGUGAAAUCAUAAAUAGUCAAAGUUGGUAAGGGGUUAGUAAAUUGUUGACUAAUGUUAAAGUAAAUAAAAGAAAAACAAAAUGGCCAUCUUCUUCUUUCUUUUUCAACCAAAAAUACCAUCAAACUAAGAGCUUGGAAAGCUUGAAUUUUUCAGCCGCAAAGUCCCUUGCAUGUAAGUGAAAUUGGUGUUUGUUUUUGUUUAUUGUUAUUUUUGUGGAACCCUUGUAGCUUAAGCUAGCUAAAUAGGGACAAAUUUGCAAAAUGGUUGAAACGCUAGGGUUUUUCCAAGAAAGCAUGAUAGUUUUUUUAAAAUUUUAAUGGAAUAAAAUGAAAAUUUGGGUGUUAAACACUUUUUGUUAAGUGAUUUUUGACAUAAAAUUCAAUUAGGGGUUAAUUUGUGAAGUAUGAAGAUUUUGAGUUAUAUGUGUGAAAUUAGGGCUUAUGUGGGCUUCUAUGAGCACCUAGAUAAUUCAGUUAAGCUUUGAUGUGGAUGAAAUUGCAUAAAUUUCGUUUUACGAGCCUAGGGACUAAUUUGUAAAAAAGUUAAAAGUAUAGGGGUAAAAUGGUAAUUUUUCCCUAAUAUGAAACUGGAUUGAAUUGAAUAGAAUAAGCAUUGAAUUAGUUAAAUUUGAUUAUAUAGAUCAAGAAAAGCAACAUUUAGACAUAAAUCGAGGCAAAGAUAAAGUGGUAGAUUGAUCGAUCGAUUUAAUCCGUACAAUUACGAGGUAAGUUCGUACAAUUAAACAUUUAAUGUUUAUUUAUUUAAUUGAUGAAUGAUAUUAUGCACUUGUACAUAUCUAUUGUUGAACUUUGAAAUGGAAUUAAAUGUUCAAACAAGUAAAUCGCAGGAUUGAGUAUAAAUGUUUUAUGCAAAUGAGGAUUUUACGGAUAAGACCAUGGUUGGACCAUGGCAACAUUAGUAUGUAAGACCAUAGCCGGGCUAUGGCAUUCUGAUGAUAAGACUAUAACUGGGUUAUGGCACUACGAAUGUAAGACCAUGGUAGGGUCAUGGCAUUUCGCGUAAAAGACCAUAGUUGGACUAUGGCACAAGGAAAACAAUGUACUCAUAUCCGUAAGCCGAUCUCAGAUUCAGAAUGAUGAGGUAAAUGCAUUCAUCGAUAUUUAAAUAAUCCAAUGAGCUCAGUAAUAAUACGAGUUGAGUCGAGUUAAAGUAAAUCAGUGUAGGUAUUCGCAAGAAUUACAAAAAAUAAUUCAUAGUGGAGGUAGCUAUACAACAUUAACCUAAUUACGAUUAUGUGAUAAGCUUUGAGUCGAAUUGUAAAUUUCCUGUGUAUUAAUUUUGAUAAGUUAAAUUGUGGAUGCUUUGGAAGGUUUUUUUAAUAUUCAUACGAACUUAUUAAGCUUAAUUACUUACUCGAUUUAUGUUUCAGUGUUUUAUAGUGAAUUGGAAGCUCACUCGAUUCGGAAGUCGUCGGAGAUCGCGUCACACUAUCAAACUCUCAUUUUGGUAUUUUAAACUUUGUAUAUUUUGGGUUAAAUGGAACGUAUAAGUGUUUUGGUUAAGGUAGCCUAUAUGUUGGUUGUAUAAUUAGCUAAGUGAGUUGGCUUGAGAAUGAUAUAUGUUUUGAUAUGUAAGUAUGUAUAUAUAUGGCCUUUUGAUAUGUUAUGUAUAGUGGCUUUGUGAAUGCCUUGUUGUGGAUUGGUAUCUUGUGUAACAAAUGGUUGGAAUUGAGAUGAGCAUGUAUGCUAAGUUAGGCAUAAGGUUUAAAACAUGUAAUUGGCCAUUUAGUUAUACUUUACAAUUAUCUUUGGUAUGUUUAAAAGUGGUCAAAUGAAUGUGCUUGUGGAGAUCAUGUUGUAUGUGUGGUUUGUGUAUGGUAUAAACUUGAUAUUGGUUUGCUUAAAGUGCCUAUUUAUGCCAUGGUUGUAUGUACAUUAUUGAGUUUAGGUUGGCACCACUUUGGGUGAGGAAUAUGGCUUGGAAAAUAGCCUAUUUUUGUCCACACGGGCAGAGACACGGGCAUGUGUCUCGGCCGUGUGUCCCCUGAUACUAUUCAAAAAUCAAAGUUAAUGGCUUCACACGGUCUAGCACACUAGCGUGUGGGUUAGCCGUGUGGCACAAGUCAGUAUACCCUCCAAUUUUAGCACAGCCGAGCACAUGACCUGAAUAUGGGCGUGUAUGGCCAUUUCAUGAGGCACACGGCUUGACACACGGGAGUGUGGUUUGGCCGUGUGAGCCAAGUCAAAGAGUUGUACGGGGUCGGACAUGGGUUGGGACAUGGCCAUGUGAUCCCAUUUCGAAUGCGCAUACGGCCUGAGACACAGGUGUGUCUCUUGGCCAUGUGAGAGUCACGGUUGGGGUACACAGACGUAUGACCUCUGUACUUUGAAAAUUUUCAAUAUUUUUUCAAAACUUUCCUGGGUUAUCAGUUUAGUCCCGAAUCACUUCUAAUGCUUAUUUUGGGCCUCUAGGGCUCGUGUUAGGGACUAUAUGAUUGUAUUUGAAUGGUUUUUGUUUGGAUUGAGAAUUAAACACAAAAUGUAUGAUGGUUUGAGUUAUAAGUCCAGUAAUACUCUGUAACACUGUUUUGGCAUCGUAUACGGGUUAAGGGUGUUACAUUUAUUGGUAUCAAAGCUACGGUUUAGUUGAUUCUAGGACUAACGCAGUGUGUGUGAGUCUAGCUAUACAUGCCAUUUAUUAACCUUUGAUAUUGUGACAUCUCUUAACAGUUUAAAAUCGUGUUUUCUAAUAGUAAUGGAUCUAAAUUGAGCAAAUUUCGAUGAUGUUAAAAAUAACGCGCCAGCCACAGUUUGGGGGGUAACAUUAUUUGACUAUUUACAUGCGUCUGGGAGUCAUGGAGGAGAAGCUAAGGAAACCUUCUUCCAAAUGAUGAGCGAAUGGUACACCAAGUUUGUACGGACGAACUUGGCUAUUCAACAACCGCCACCUAUUCCCUAACAGGUUCCCGUAGCUCCUCAAGGUUUGGAACCUUUACGUAUGAGUAGACCACAUGUUGAUAAAAUUUGAAAGUACGGGGCUGAAGAGUUUAGAGCUAUAGUUGAUGAUGAUCUCGAGAGCCGAGUUUUGGCUUAAGAAUACAAUUCGAGUUUUUGAUGAUCUGUCUUGUACACCGGCAAAAUAUCUUAAAUGUGCUGUAUCAAUUCUGAGAGAUACUGCCUAUCAGUGGUGGAACACCUUGAUAUCGGUAGUACCGAGAGAAUGAGUCACGUGAGAAUUCUUUCAAGCUGAGUUUAGGAAGAAAUACAUAAGUCAAUGGUUUCUAAAUCAAAAGCAUAAAGAGUUUCUAGAAUUGAAACAAGGCCGUUUGACUGUGACAAAGUACGAAAGAGAAUUUGUAAGAUUAAGUAUGUAUGCUCGGAAGUGUGUUUCUAUUGAAGAAAUCAUGUGUAAGCGAUUCGUAGAUAGUUUGAAUGAAGACAUUAAGCUUUUAGUCAAAAUUCCAGAAUUGAAAGAGUUUGUUGUCUUGGUCGAUAGAGCUUGCAAAGCUGAAGAGCUUGGUAAAGAAAAGAAAAUAGUCGAUUCUGAGGCUAAAGAUUCAAGAAAGACGGGAAAAUCUUAUCACUCAUUGUCAAAGAAAUCAAAGGAUUUCCACAAUCGUUCAACCGCUUUAGUGGGAUAUUCUAACCUAGACCGUGGUAAACAAUACGUAGGUUCAAAAAAUGAAGCCACUUCAAUAACAAGCGUUGGUAGUGUUAAAGCCAAUAGACAAGAAUGUCAGCGAUGUGGAAGACGACAUUUUAAAGAAUGUCAAUUGAUUGACAGAGCCUGUUUUAGAUGUGGCUCGCUUGAGCAUUUCAUUCGUGACUGCCCUGAAUUAUCUGAGAAAGACAAACUUCAGACCGCUCGACCGAGCAAUACAUUUGCUAGAGGGCGACCACCCCAAAAUACUGAAAUAUGAGUGGUAGUUGAGGUACAACGAGAGACUCUACUGUAAGAUCUGAGGCAUGAGCACCAACUAAAGCUUAUGCCAUUCGCGUUCGAGAGGAUGCAUCGGCACCAGAUGUUAUCACUGGUACAUUUUCUCUUUGUAACACUGAUGUAAUUGCUUUGAUUGAUCCGGGAUCAACUCAUUCUUAUGUAUGUACAAAGUUAGUGUCUAGUAAGAGUUUACAUGUCGAGUCCACUGAAUUUAUGGUUAAAGUAUCGAACCCCUUAUGUCAGUAUGUAUUAAUUGAUAAAGUCUGCAAGAAUUGUCCUUUGAUGACUCGGGGUUACACUUUUUCGGCCGAUUUGAUGAUUUUACCGUUUGACGAGUUUGAUGCGAUAUUCGGUAUGGAUUGGCUGACAAUGCAUGAUACGAUUGUGAAUUGUAGAUGAAAGACCAUUAUAUUAAAAUGUUAGAACGGUGAUACUCUUCGUAUCGAAUCCGAUAAUUUUAAUAGUUUGCCUAUUGUGAUAUUGGCUAUGCUAGUAUAGAAAUAUGUGAGGAAGUGUUGUGAUGCUUACCUUGCGUACGUGCUCGAUAGAAAAGUGCCUGAAUCGAAGAUUGAAUCAGUACCAGUGGUUCCAGAUGUGUUUCCGGAAGAGUUACCUAGGUUACCACUGAUCAGAGAGGUCGAGUUCACUAUUGAGUUAGUACCGGGAACAUCACCAAUAUCGAUAGCUCCGUCCAGAAUGGCUUUGACCGACUUGAAAAAAUUGAAAGCUCAGUUGCAGGAGUUAACAGAUAGAGGUUUUGCACGAUCGAGUUUUUCGCCUUGGGGUGCACUGGUAUUAUUUGUAAGAAAGAAAAAUGGAUCAAUGAGAUUGUGUAUCUACUAUCGAGAGCUUAAUAAGGUUACGAUUAAGAAUAAGCAUCAUUUGUCGAGGACUGAUGAUUUGUUCAAUCAGUUGAAAGGAGUAGUAGUAUUUUCAAAGAUUGAUUUAUGAUCCGACUAUUAUCAGUUGAGGGUUAAAGACUCUGAUAUGUCGAAAACUACAUUUAGGACUUGGUAUGGACAUUAUGAAUUUCUUGUUAUGCCAUUUGGAUUAACUAAUGCUCCUGCAGUUUUUAUGGAUUUGAUGAAUAUAAUUUUUAGACCUUAUUUAGACAGAUUCAUGGUUGUAUUCAUUGAAGAUAUUCUGAUCUAUUCGCGAGAUGAGUCUGAACAUGCUGAGCACUUGAGGAUUGUGUUACAAACGUUGAAAGAUAAGCAACUAUUUGCUAAAUCUAGCAAGUGCAAGUUUUGGCUCCGAGAAGUUGGAUUUUUGGGACACAUUGUUUCGGCUGAAGGCAUUAGAGUUGAUUCGAGCAAAAUUUCAGCAAUUGUUGACUGGAAACCACGGAGAAACAUAUUCGAAGUCAGAAUCUUUCUGGGUUUAGCAGGCUAUUGUUGGAGAUUUUUUAAAGGUUUCUCUAUUAUAGCUACACCAAUGACUCGGUAAUUACAAAAAAGAUGUGAAAUUCGUGUGGUCUAAAAAAUGUCAAUAGAGUUUUGAGCAGUUGAAAACAUUGUUAACUGAGGCACCAGUUCUGGUUCAACCUAAGUCGGGUAAAGAGUUUGUGAUUUUCAGCGACGCGUCAUUGAGUGGUUUAGGUUGUGUUUUGAUGGAAGAGGGAAAAGUGAUAGCUUAUGUUUCCAAGCAAUUGAAACCGCACAAAAAGAAUUAUCUGACGUACGACUUAGAGUUGGCCGCUAUUGUUUUCGCAUUGAAAAUUUGGUGACAUCAUUUAUACAGUGAAAAGUGCCAUAUCUUUACCGACCACAAGAGUUUGAAGUAUUUAAUGACUCAGAAAUUUUUGAAUUUGUGACAACGAAGAUGGCUCGAGUUGUUGAAAGAUUAUGAAUUGGUGAUUAUCACCCGGGGAAAGCGAAUGUAGUAGCAGAUACCUUGAGUAGAAAAUCUUUAUUUGCAUUGUGAGCAAUGAAUGUGCGAUUGAGCUUGUCCAAUGAUGAUUCGAUUUUACCUGAAUUAAAAGCUAGACCGAUGUUCUUACAACAAAUUUGUGAAGAUAAAAAAUGAGAUAGCAAAUUGCAAGCUAAAAGAGUACAGUGUGAGUCGAUUUUUGAUUCAGAGUUUCAGAUCAAAUCCGUUGAUUGCUUAUUAUUCCGAGGUAGAGUUUCAGAAGUGCACAGUGGUAGCUUGUCUGUUCCAUCGGAAAGUACUAAGAUGUGUAGUGAUUUGAAACAAAUGUACUGAUGGACGGGUAUAAAAUGUGACAUUUCUGAGUUUAUGUCGAAAUGAUUGACUUGUUAGCAAGUCAAAGCUAAACACCAAGUACCUUCGGGGCUAAUAAUAAUAUCCCCAAACCGAUGGUCAGUCUGAGAGAGUGAUUCAAAUUCUCGAGGAUAUGCUUCGUUGUUGUGUUUUGGAGUUCGAAGGUAAUUGGGAAAAAUAUUUACCUUUGGUUGAAUUCACGUAUAAUAAUAGUUUUCAAUCGAGUAUUAAGAUGGCAUCGUAUGAAGCUUUGUAUGGUCGAAAAUGUCGAACUCCAUUGUAUUAGACUGAGCUUGGUGAGAAAAAGAUACACGGGGUUGACUUGAUCCGAGAAAUCGAAGAGAAGCUGAAAGUGAUUCGCGACAGCUUAAAAGCUGCUUCAGAUCAACUGAAAUCUUACGCGAAUUUGAAGCAUAAAGAUAUUGAAUUUCAGGUUGGCAAUAAAGUGUUUUUGAAAGUAUUUCCUUGGAAAAGAAUUCUUCGAUUUGGUUGCAAAGGAAAGUUGAGUCCACGAUUUAUUGGACCGUAUGAGAUUAUCAAGAGAAUUGGGCCAGUAGCUUAUCAACUUGAGUUACCGUCUAAGUUGGAAAAGAUUAAUAAUGUAUUCCAUGUAUCUAUGGUACGACAGUACUGAUUGGACCCUUCGCUUAUAAUUUCUCCAACCGAGGUUGAGAUUCAACCAAACAUAUCAUAUAUGGAAGAACCGAUCUGAAUUUUGGCAUAUAAGGUCAAUAAAUUGAGAAAUAAAAGAAUACCCUUAGUGAAAGUUCUUUUGCAUCGUCAUGGGAUUGAAGAGGCCACUUGGGAACCCGAGGAAACUUUGAGAAAAUAAUACCCUAACCUAUUUUUCGGUAAAAUUUUCGAGGACGAAAAGUCCUAAGGGGGGAGAGUUAUAACGGCCCAUUUACAGUAAAAUCGAAACAGUGGUUUUAGGACCACAAAUUUGAAAGUCCUAAGGGGGAGAGUUGUAACGGCCUAUUUACAGUGAAAUCGAAACAGUGGUUUUAGGACCACAAAUUUGGAGUCAAAAAUUUUAUUUAAUAUUUUUUAUGUGGUCUACAACAUGCUACAAGUAUGGUAUAAAAAUUUCGUUAAGAAAUUUUAACGUUUGUUUGCUCAAUUUGUGAAAAAGGACUAAAUCGCAUAAAGUGCGAAAGUUGUGUUCUAUUAGUAAAGGUAUUAAAUAGAUAUAGAAUGUUAAAUUACAGGUCCUUAUUGAGUAAUUAGACCAUUAAAGAAGGUAGUGGAUGUACAUGGGGUGAAAUCAUAAAUAGUCAAAGUUGGUAAGGCGUUAGUAAAUUGUUGACUAAUGUUAAAGUAAAUAAAAUAAAAACAAAGUGGCCAUCUUCUUCUUUCUUUUUCAACCAAAAAUACCAUCAAACUAAGAGCUUGGAAAGCUUGAAUUUUUCAGCCGCAAAGUCCCUUGCAUGUAAGUGAAAUUGGUGUUUGUUUUUGUUGAUUGUUAUGUUUUUGGAACCCUUAUAGCUUAAGCUAGCUAAAUAGGGGACUAAUUUGAAAAAUGGUUGAAACGCUAGGGCUUUUCCAAGAAAGCAUGAUAGUUUUUUUAAAAUUUUAAUGGAAUAAAAUGAAAAUUGGUUGGGUGUUAAAUACUUUUUGUUAAGUGAUUUUUGACAUAAAAUUCAAUUAGGGGUUAAUUUGUGAAGUAUGAAGAUUUUGAGUUAUAUGUGUGAAAUUAGGGCUUAUAUGGGCUUCUAUGAGCACCUAGAUAAUUCGGUUAGGCUUUGAUAUGGAUGAAAUUGCAUAAAUUUUGUUUUACGAGCCUAGGAACUAAUUUGUAAAAAAGUUAAAAGUAUAGGGGUAAAAUGGUAAUUUUUCACUAAUAUGAAAUUGGAUUGAAUUGAAUAGAAUAAGCAUUGAAUUAGUUAAAUUUGAUUAUAUAGAUCAAGAAAAGCAACAUUUAGACAUAAAUCGAGGCAAAGAUAAAGUGGUAGAUUGAUCGAUCGAUUUAAUCCGUACAAUUACGAGGUUAGUUCGUACAAUUAAACAUUUAAUGUUUAUUUAUUUAAUUGAUGAAUGAUAUUAUGCACUUGUACAUAUCUAUUGUUGAACUUUGAAAUGGAAUUAAAUGUUCAAACAGGUGCAUCGCAGGAUUUAGUACAAAUGUUUUAUGCAAAUGAGGAAUUUACGGAUAAGACUAUGGUUUGACCAUGGCAACAUUAUUAUGUAAGACCAUAGUUGGGCUAUGGCAUUCUCAUGAUAAGACCAUAACUGGGUUAUGGCACUACGAAUGUAAGACCAUGGUAGGGCCAUGGCAUUUCGCGUAAAAGACCAUAGUUGGACUAUAGCACAAGGAAAACAAUGUACUCAUAUCUGUAAGCCAAUCUCGGUUUCAGAAUAAUGAGGUAAGUGCAUUCAUCGAUAUUUAAAUAAUCCAAUGAGCUCAUUAAUAAUAUGAGGUGAUUCGAGUUAAAGUAAAUCAGUGUAGGUAUUCGCAAGAAUUACAAAAAAUAAUUCAUAGUGGAGGUAGCUAUACAACAUUAACCUAAUUACGAUUAUGUGAUAAGCUUUGAACUGAAUUGUAAAUUUUCUGUGUAUUAAUUUUGGUAAGUUAAAUUGUGGAUGCUUUGGAAGGUUUUUUUUAGUAGUCAUACAAACUUACUAUGCUUAAUUGCUUACUCGGUUUAUGUUUCAGAGUUUUAUAGUGAAUCAGAAGCUCACUUGAUUCGGAAGUCAUCGGAGAUCGCGUCACACUAUCAAACUCACAUUUUGGUAUUUUAGACUUUGUAUAUUUUGGGUUAAAUGGCACGUAUAGGUGUUUUGGUUAAGGUAGCCUAUAUGUUGGUUGUAUAAUUAGCCAAGUGAGUUGGCUUGAGAAUGAUAUAUGUUUUGAUAUGUAAGUAUGUAUAUAUAUGGCCUUUUGAUAUGUUGUGUAUAGCGGCUUUGUGGAUGCCUUGUUAAGGAUUGGUAUCUUGUGUAGCAAAUGGUUGGAAUUGAGAUGAGCAUGUAUGCUAAGUUAGGCAUAAGGUCUAAAGCAUGUAAUUGACCAUUUAGUUAUACUUUACAAAUAUCUUUGGUAUGUUUAAAAGUGGUCAAAUGAAUGUGCUUAUGGAUAUCAUGUUGUAUGUAUGGUUUGUGUAUGGUAUAAACUUGGUAUUGGUGUGCUUGAAGUGGCUAUUUAUGGCAUGGUUGUAUGUACAUUGUUGAGUUUAGGUUGGCACCACUUUGGGUGAGGAAUAUGGCUUGGAAAAUAGCCUAUUUUUGUCCACACGGGCAUGUGUCUCGGCCGUGUGUGACACAGGGCCGUGGUACACGGCCGUGUGUCCCCUAAUACUAUUCAAAAAGCAAGUUAAUGGCUUCACACGGUCUAGCACACAGCCGUGUGGGUUAGCCAUGUGGCACAAGUCAGUAUACCCUCCAGUUUUAGCACGGCCUGAACAUGGGCCUGUGUGGCCAUUUCAUGAGGAACACGGCCUGACACACGGGCGUGUGGUCUGGCCGUGUGAGCCAAGUUAGAGAGUUAGACGGGGUCGAAAACGGGCUGGGACACGGCAUGUGAUCCCAUUUCAAAUGCCCAUAUGGCUUGAGACACGGGCAUGUCUCUUGGCCUUGUGAGAGACACGACUGAGGUAUACGGGCGUGUGACUCUUGUACCUUGAAACUUUUUAAUAUUUUCUCAAAACUUUCUUGAGUUAUUGGUUUAGUCUCGAAUCACUUCUAAUGAUUGUUUUGGGCCUCUAGGGCUCGUGUUAGGGACUAUAUGAUUGUAUUUUUGAAUAGUUCUUGUUUGGAUUGAGAAUUGAACAUGAAAUGUAUGAUGGUUUGAGUUAUAAGUCUAGUAAUACUCUGUAACCCUAUUCCGGCGUCGAAUACGGGUUAAGGGUGUUAUAAGGUGUUACACGAAGUCCAUGACGAAUGCGCAAAUAGCGUCCCAUGGAGGUCAAUUGAUGAAAUAGGGCUCAUUCGACCCAUUUGAACUGGCCCAAUUCGUAGAACACGUGGAGAAGCCUAUAUACUUGAAGCAUUGGUAGUCUAGUGAAACACUUAAUGAAAAUUAGUUACCUUGGUAAAUAUGACAAGUAAUCUUAUAAGAUGUGUAAUUCGAUAAAACUUGAUUAUGUAAUAUUAAGGGAUUGUGUAAAACCUUUAAGAAUCUCAAUUUUAAGUAGGCUGUAAUCUUGAUCGUCAAUGUAAUUUAAUUUGUACCAUGGGAUUUUGGGGAGUUUAAAUAUAAAUAGAGGCCUCCCCCCUCAUUUUUAAUCACUCAAUUGUAAUUCUUCAUAGUAAUUGAAUACUAUUGAGAGCAUUUACUCAAACACUUGACGUGCUUUUUCUUUCUUGUGACUUUUCUAUUUUUUUGUUACUUUUUUGUUUUGAGUUGCUUCCACUUUAUUUUCAGUGCGUUGGAGAAUUUUAUCAAGAAUUCUCACUUUGUGAGAGAUUGGUUGACUUAGGCAAAUUUGAAGAAAAGAAAUCACCUAAGGUCGCAUAGAUUGCGAAACUAAAGUUCUAACCCCAUGAUAUAGACAAGUACCCUAAACAUCCUUCCAAAAUUUAGUGCUACACCCAUUGCCAAUUGAUGAAUGAAUGUUGCACAUAAUAUCAUCUCAAACCCUUGCAAUGGACUGCCAAACAUGAGAAGCAACUGGUUGAUUAAUACUGGCUGGACAUGUUUCCACCAUGUUAUAUUUAGAUUGCAAAAUUCGAACCCAUAAAGCUUAUUUGUUGGUCAAAAUUGUGAAGCCUAAUUUCAUUAGGAAAGAAUGGUUAUUCACAUUCAAUUUUCGAAUGCCUAAACCUCAUGCUCAUAGGGUUUUGGCAACAUGGGUUCCAAGACACAGGAGUUGGCUUCUUCGAAUCAAUACCCCCUCAAAUAAAGCUUCUAACAAUGUUCUCGAUUUCCAUACAAAUGUCUAUAGGGAUCUUAGUAAUUCGCAUGUAAUAAGAAGAGAUUGAGAAUAACACUGACUUAGCAAGCAUAACACAAUUCGGUAACGAAAUAACUCUAACAUCCCAUCCAUUAACUGCUCACGAACUUUCUCAACAAUAAAGCGGAAUGUAUCUUUGGUGACCCUUUUAUGAAAAAGUGGAAUACCCAAGUGCUUUCUCAAAUUUGAAACUCGUUGGAAGCCCAGGGUACUUCACCAUGUUUUACUAUAUGAGUUAGUGAUAGACUAAUUUCAAUUGGUAAUUUUUAGCCACUCACAUGGCUUGUUUCGAGAAAAAAGGAAAAUUUUCUGCUUAUUUUGAAGAUGCAUUUUUUUUACUAGAGUUUUUACUCAUCUUUCUAAUUUCAAGUGUAAAUUUGCACUAGCUAUUCUUUAUUUUAUGUCUAACUAUUGUAAUACAUAUAGAAUAAAUGAGUCUUUUCCUCAUGUUCUUACAUGAGAAACCAAACAAGUCAUAAAUGAUAAAUAUACUAUUUGAUACUUUAUUUUGGCUUCAAUGUUCAAUUUGGCACCUCAAUUUUUUUUGUCUCAAUUUGGUAUCUAAGUUUGGAUUUGAUUUUCACUUUAGUACGUACUUUUUUUUAAUUUCAUACUUGAGUUUUUUUUGUCAUACACCAAAAUUCCAUUAUAUGUCAAAAUUUUGGAUCCAUGAAUUUGCAUAGUUUUGAGUAGUUUGAAGGUUGGGAAUUAUUCUUAAAUAUAUAAUUAGAUUAUUAAAAUCGAUUAUAAGUAAUGUGAAUGAGUAAAGAUUAAGAUAUUUUAAUUUCAAGUUUGUUAUGUCGAAAGUUUCGAUUUCAAGAGAAUUUAGCUUAGGCCUAUGUUUUUAGAUAAUUUUGGUGAGUCCUUGGCUGAAUGUUGAUUGUGUUGUUGUGUGAAUUAUUUGGUUGAAGCUUUGGAAUCGUUAAGACCUUCUACGAGUAAAGAGAAAGGUAAGGAAAAGAUAGUUUGAGCUUUCGGCGUCUAGGUGAAAGCGUGAAUGGUGAGUGUUUGGAAUCGCUACUUGUAGACACGAUUAAUUGCGUUAAUUGGGAAUUUAGAAGUAGCCUAAACCUCUACUCUAAAUUCCGAGUGUAAGCUUUCUCAUACUAUUGAUUUAAUAUGUGAUUGUGUGUUGUGAAUUUGUGGAUUAAGAUAUGAUAUUAUAACAUGUGAAAUAAGCUUAUGAUGGUUAUUGUGAAAGAGUUGAUUGUGGGCAUGUUAUACGUGCCAAAUAACAGUGAUUAUGUUGUGUUUAUAAUGUGAAUAUGUGGUGAAAAGUGCAAAAAAUGGUAAGUAAUAUGUGUGUUUAAUAACGAAUAUUUUGGCCUUGUGAUUUUUGAGAUCGUUGGAUAUAGUUGACAUGCCAUAGGAUUGUGAGUACUCACCUAUAUAUGUUGUGUUUUGGGGGUGUUAAGGCCUGGGACAUUUUAGAAGAGAUAAGGGAAUGUGAGCUAAGCUCCAUUCACUGGGAUAUGUUGGUGUGUUGGAGAGUUUUAGCUAUAUGCUUCACUUUUGGGAUAUGUUCAACUCUACGAGUCAUUUGGUGUGUUGGAGAUCUAUGUAUCCGAUGUAUGGUGAUAGAGCCCACUUUUAUGUUUCAUAGCUCAAGUGCCAAAUUAUCAUUAAAUGUGAUUAUGUGUGAUGUGAUAUAAGCUUAAAUGAGUUUGUGACUUCUAUGUAAACGACCAUUUGAAUAAUGCAUGAUUAAGUAAUAUGACGCUAAAGUUGGAAAUGUUGUAAUUGGGCUAUAUGAAUGCUUUGUUAAUGCAUGAUGACAUGUUUGCGUAAUAGUUAUUCUGAUCAUUCACUGAGCUUGUUUAAGCUCAUCCACUCCUUUUUAAACCUUUGCAGGCUGUUAAGCAUUGCGGUGUGAGCGGUGCGAAAUAUUUUCCAAUGGACUAAUCUAAGUAGUUUAGCAUUUGAGUAGGUGAAUUAUAGUAUUAUUCUGAACUGUGGGAAUAAGGCAAUGUAGUAGACUUGUUGCUUGAAUGCUGCCAUGAUGUUUUGGGAUGAUUACUUGGACUUGCUACUCACAGAAUUUAUAGACGUUUGACAUUGGUUUAUUGGUAUUACUUAGCUUAAACUAUUGUUGAUGCUUUGAGUUGUAUUUCCGGAUCAUUUUGAUGCUAAACUUUGAGCUUAUAAAUGCAUGAUUAGUUGGUAUGUUAGAUGUUCUAGUUUGAUGUUAUUUUUGUUGAAUUAUGCAGAGGUAUCGAUAACUAGGACAUAUGUAUUGAUACCUGUGUAAUUUAGUCGGUGUCGCAACAUCUAGUGCUUGUGUCGCGAUACUGAAGACAGUAUGCUCGAUUCCUGAUUCAGCCCCAGUAGUGUGUCGCGACAUCAAAGGCAGUCUUGGUAUAUGUGUAAAGCUUUGAUGUUUGAUGUAGCUUCCUGUUACUUGGGUUUGACAAUUGGGCUGAGUACGGGAUGUUACAUUUUUUUGUCCUGGUUAAGUACCUUAAUUUGGCUUCAAUUUUCAUUUUAGUAUUUGAGCUUUUUAUGUCCCAAUUAAGUGCCUAUUUUCUUUUUUACUAGAGCACACAUGCCAAAUAUUAGUUGGGCCACAUGAUAUUUGGCUUAGGUACCAAAUUGGACAUUGAAGCCAAAUUCUAGUACCAAAUUGAAAAAAAAAACCUCAAGUGUCAAAUUAAAUAUUAAAUUCAAACUUAGGUACCAAAUGAUAUUUUAAAGCAAUAUUAAAUCCAUGACCUUAAAGUAUUUAUUAACCCAAUUACCCAAACUUCAUUGGUAUUGAACUUAAAAAAACUUAGCCUUUAACAUUUAUAUUUUAUAUUUCUUUUUGUCAAUUUGACCCUUAUUUUAUUUUUAAACUAAAUUUGACCUUCAACCUUUUAAAAAGAGUAAAAUUUGACCAUCAAUCUUUCAAAAAGAGUUGAAUUGUUUUUUUAAUGGAAAAACUGACUAAAACAUUAAAUUUUUAAACAUUGUAGAUUAUAUGGCAAUUCACGUGUACUUCAUACUAUUUUUUAAAAUUUUAUGAACUUUUUAUAUUCUUUAAUUUUAAUUUGUUUAAUAUUUUAUAAAUUUUAAAUUAUUUGUUGAUGUAACAUAUAAGAUAAAUAUUGUUAUGUUAGCAUGUAGUACACAUGGAUUGUCAUGCAGGUUGCCAUACCAAUAUUGUUACAAAAAGUUAAUGUUUUAGUCAAUAUUUUUGUUAAAAAAAGUGAGUUAACUCUUUUUGAAAUAUUAAUGACCAAAUUUAGCUAAAAAAUAAGACUAAAAUUAAUAAAAUAUAUAAACAUUGAGAAUUAAAUUUAGGCAUAAUAAUUUUUUGGGCCUUCCAACUUUACAAAAGAAGUCAUUGUAGCUCUUCAUUUAUUUUUCGUCUUUUUUAACACUUGAACUUGCGGUUUUUUUUUUUGUCAAGUCACCCAAAAAUGAAUGGAAAUGUUAACAUUUAUUUAACAUUGUUGACAUUGCAUAUAUGUGGAUUACCAAGUGGAUAACACAUUAACAUUUAAUUAUUUUUUAAAAUUUUUAAAAAUAUUUUUAAAAAAUUAUAAUUUUUAAUAAGUUUUAUGAUUUUAAAUUUAUGAGGUGAUAUAGAAAGAAACCUACCUCAUUUGGACUUUCACUUUGUAUGCAAAAUCUUGGCCAAGUCGCCGUACAUAAGUUUAACAGUAGGUUAAAAUAACGAUCUUGGAAGAAUAGUAACUUGUUGUCAUUAAGGCAUAUCUUGAAAUUUUAUGGAUAUUAUUAAGAUUUCAAUAAAGUAGGCAAAACAGUACAAUAUGACACAUAGUUUAGAGUCGUCCAAAGGAAAUUCUACAGAGCUUAGGGAUAUUUUAGGAAGAUAUGGGAAUGAUAGGCUUUUAAGUUGUUAGUUUAGUUAGUGUUUUUCAACAUUAUAUUUCUAUUUUGGUGAAUUACAAGAAGAGAGUAAAGUCCUAAUAGCAACGCGACUAACACGAUUCAAACCCAGACCAUACCUGCGGCAGUAAACACUUUGAUCAUCAAGUCAACACAUUAGGUUCUCAACAUUGCAUCUUUACAUUUUGUAUUAGAGUUAACAAACUGGUUGAAAAAAUGUCCCUAAAAGUAUAUCAAAUGCCAACACUAUAAUUAGUAAAUUAGAUAAAAAAAUUUCUAUAGCAAGAACUAUAAAAAUUUAUAUUUAUCUACUGUGAGAUAGAAAAAAAAAAGCAAGAAUCACCAUUUCCAUUUUUUAAAAUAAUUUUUACCAUGUUCUAAUAAUUUCUUUUAUUUUUUAUAUUUUAAAAGAAUUAUGCCUACAAAUUAUAAUGAAACAUGGAUAAAAAGAUGUCCAUAUUUAAAUAAAUUUAGAUGUCUAUUUAUCUAUAUUCAUUUUCAAUUUGAAUUUUUAAUAUUUUUUUUUGUUAAAUUGAACUGCUAUGUCAAUAUCAUGAUGGUUGAUUAACAACCAUAUUAAUGUGGUAAUAAUUAAUGGUGAGAUUAAUUAGUCAACACGCCUAAUGAAGAUAAUUAAUAUUUUUUUAGAGAAAAUUUCAACUUGUAGGACCAUUUACCUUUAUUUUUUUCUUGGGGUGGUUGAUUAUCUUUUCUUCUUUUGUUGCUUUGACUUGUAUAAAUUUUCGGGUAAUAUACAAAUAAAAGCCCUUUUUUUUAAAAUUUACUAAAAUAGGUCAGGUAAAAAAUUAAUUACUGGAAUUACUCUAUUUCCCCGAAAACGCGUCCACGUCAACGCGUUGUCAGGGUUUUGGGUUUUGGGUUUAGGGUUUGGGUUUUUGGGUUUUUAGGUUUAGGUUUUUAAAGAAAAAAUUAAAUAAAUAAGGGAUUAGGGUUUAGGGUUUCUUAAUUAAAUUAAUUAUAAAUUUUUCAAAAUUAGAUUAGGGUUUCGCGUUUAUGGUUUUUAAAGAAAAAUCAAUUAAAUUAGGGUUUAGGGUUACUUGAGUAAAUUAAUUAAAAAAAUUUUAAAAAUUAGAUUAAGGUUUAGUGUUAAGGGUUUUUAAGGAAAAAUCAAAUAAGUUAGGGUUUAGGGUUAUUUAAGUAAAUUAAUUAUAAAUUUUAAAAAAAUUAGAUUAGGGUUUAGUGUUUAAGGUUUUUAAGGAAAAACUCAAAUAAAUUAGGGUUUGGGGUUUAGGAUUACUUAAUUAAAUUAUUUGUUAAUUGAGAAAAGCUCCCACGUGGACGCUCUUUUGCUACAGUAGCUCCUGAAAAAAUAAAUUCGAGGAGACGUUUCUGAGCAAAUAGUGUCAAAAACGCUUUAAGCAGGAUGCAUUGUCAGCAAAAGUAUUGAAAAAAGCUCCCACGUGGACGCGCUUUUACUACAGUAGCUCCUGAAAAAAUAAUUUCGAGUAGACGUUUCUGAGUAAAUAGUGUCAAAAACGCUUUAAGUAGGAUGCUUUGUCAGCAAAAGUAUUGAAAGAAGCUCCCCCGUGGACGAGCUUUUGCUACAGUAGCUCCUGUUUGGCCUGAGGCUAUAAAUGAGGCAAAAUUUUUUCUCAGAUUGCAUAAGUUACAGCAAAAAAAAUUAGAGAGCCUAAGAAGGAUAGAAAUUGAAGAUGAGUGAAUGUAUUAGUGUUGUUAUUUACUAUGAUGGUGAGGUUCGUCACACUGAGAACGGUGUUAUUUUUUUAUCGGAGAAUACAGUGCGACUGGUUUUUAACCAGAACAUAGAUUUGAUAGAACUUCAUAAAAGAAUUAGGCGUAAAAUAUUAGAAACGACGUCAAUGAAAGUUUUAUCUAUUACGUAUCGGUUUUGUUCUUCUGUUGAUCCGGUGACAUAUGACUCGUUCGACAUAAAAUGUGCUCGUAGCUUGGAGGCAAUGGUAUAGACACAUCUCGCUAGUGGAGCACACUAUAUUGAGUUAUAUGUACAAUUUACAUCGCCAAAUGAUGCACUUGCGACUGCUGUUCGAGAGGUAUACACGACUCCUGCCUGACACUCGGUUAGUGGGUUACAAAACACGAAACAACCCAUGUUUGGCAGCGGUAUGGUAUACACAACCCUUGUUUGACACCCUGUUAGUGGAUAGGACAUGCACCACGGUAGGUCGAUGUUUGAUGCUGGAAAUACGUACUGGGGAACGGCAUCAACUUCUAGUGGUUGGCAAUCUACAUUCAAUUGGGGACGUUAUGAAAUGCCCAGAAGAAUGGAUAAUAUACUCCCUACGAUGUCCACCGGUGAGGAGACCUCGUACGUUGCAGAUGAUGGUGGGUUAGAAGAUGACUCCAAUGUGGAUCCACCUCAAGAGCCCGGGGUUUGCGAUCGAGACAACUUAUGGUUUCGCGUGACAGAGUUUGACAGACCGCACCAAGGUGUUAUUGGCAGGCAAUAUCGUGUACACUUGCGAAAUAGGACUUGCGACUGUGGGAUGUUUGACGCACUUCGUUAUCCAUGCGCUCAUGUAAUUGUAGCUUGUCAUAAUCUCCGUCUGAAUUCGAUAAGUUAUGUCGACGAAGUGUACAAAUUAGAAAACAUGUACAACGUCUGGAGACACGUAUUCCAACUGAUCCCAGAUGAACGUAAGUGGCUGUCUGUAUUGCUUGCUCCCUUUAAGCUGUUACCGGAUAGAGAAUUGCGUCGCAAACCAAAGGGUCGAUCUUGCUCGACAAGAAUACGUAACAAUAUGGAUAUUCGAGAAACAGCCAGUCAACAGACGUUGUGCGGAUGGUGUAGGAACCUAGGCCAUUCAUGCCGAUCAUGCCCAAAUCACAAUAGUUGAACGUUAUUGUAAAAAACUUUGUAUUAUUUAUAUUUUUUAAAUCAAAUAAUAUAGAAAUAUUCAGAAUACUGACUUAUUUAAAAGAAAAUCUAUUUUAUUAAAAAUAAUAAAGUAAAUUACAAAUACUUUAUUCAAAACAAUGUUUUAUUUUAUUAAAUGAAAUAAUAUAGAAAUAUUCAAAAUAUUGUGUUAUUUAAAAGAAUUUCUAUUAUAUUAAAAAUGUAAAUGUAAAUUUCUAUUUUAUUACAUGAAAUAAUAUAGAAGAAUUUCUAUUUUAUUACAUCAAAUAAUAUCAAAAUAUUCAAAAUAUUUGUACAAAUAUAUUAAAAUAAAAAUCAAUCUCCGUGCCCACCGAAUUCAGUGCCACAUGGUGGCCAUCGAUGGUUACGCGCUGGAUUCCUCAUUUGUCUAGCUUCCGGUGGGGGUUAUGGUUGUUCCCACGGGGAUUCUGGUUCCUCCGGUAGGGGAUAUGGUUGUCGGUGUUGGGAUGAUGAGCCACCUUGAGAGAAUAGUGAUUGUGGAGGUGUUUGCAUCACCAACGGCAAAGCUGUUUGAAACCCAUAUGGUGAUGGGGAUUGGUAAAAAGAAGAGCUCCCCGACGGCCCCUCCUACGAUCCCUCGUGCGACGGUGGCCUAUACAUCGGUGGCCCACUCGGCGUAAUCGAAAAUGGAGAUGAACCGGACCAUGAACUUUAACCUGUCAUAGGACUAAAAAAAGGAAACAUAUAAGGGUUAGGAUAAAUAAAAGGGCUAGGAUACGCACCUGGCAUCAUCUGAAAAGGUUGUGCUGUGGGUGUCGUCAGUUGAAGUGUUAGGCUGGUGACUGUGUGGAUGCUGUUGCUGGGCCUGGUGAUGGGCCGUGUGAUUGUGAUAGACCUACGUCGUCAUCCCUUCUUCUUGGAUUUAAAGGGCCACGUCGUUCCCUUUGAACACGUAAUUUCUGCUGCCUUUCCUCUGUCGACAGUAAAUACGGCUUGCCAUGGAUUCUAAACCAUUGCAUGUAUUCUGGCACGCACGCUAACUCUAGAAGGAUGAUCGGUUCUCAAGUAGGUAUAUAAUCAUAUUGAUCUUCCUAUAUUUGGAUGUAGUGUGACCAGAAUCUCGGUCAAACCGUAUGCAAUUGCCAUAGGUCGAUUUUGUGAUGAUCAUCCAACACCUCAGGUGCCACGGGAAUCGGUUGUCAUAAUCCAAAUUGUUGUAAUACUCUGUCCGACUGGUGUAUCUCCACGGUCGCAAAGUUGACCAAUGAGACUUUUACAUACCAAGCGUUUGGAUUUUGGAAAUACUCAUUCGGAAUUACAGCUCGAAUUGCCGGAUCCUUGUAUGGUGUCCAUUGGAACUAUAUGAACAUGAUGGAAAUAUUAGUUAUAUACAUAAUACUAAAUACUAAAUACCAAAUACCAAUCGACUAUCUCAUGAUGGAAAUAUCUAUUUGAUUUAAUACUUACUUGUGCUUCCGACAGUUGGUCUAAUAGAAGCCGUAUAUCUUCAAGAAAGGUAGGUAAUCCAACAUAACUUGCCGAAUAGUUCCACCUAAUUAAAUAAAUUUUUAGCAUACGAUUAUAUUUUAAAUCUACGUAAUAAUUGUAAAAUAUAAUAUAAAAUUUACCUCGUUAUGAGUGCGAAUGUAUAUUGGUGGUCCACUUGAGGACGUAAAAGUGGAAAGCGAAACCGUGCCCAUGACUGCAGUAGUGAUAGGCAACCUCCAAUUUUCAUUUUAUUCGGUCGCGUCACCCCGCACAUCUUCCGGUACAAUGUUGCCUACAUGGUAGACCCCCGACUAAAUUCAACAGCUGCUCUAAAAUCAACGAGUUUUAGCAGCCAUCUCAGAUGUACAAGGCUCCGUGACAAGUCCGGUAUCAGAUAACCUCCAAUUAUCUGAGGAAUGUUUGCCCGAGCAUAUCAGAUUCUUUCUAGUUCGGUAGAAUUAUCAUUCGGCUCCGGAAAUGUGUCUCGUAGCCUGCCCAUCUCAAUCCGACCUCUGUUAAUAUUAUCCGGAAUAGCACCCAAAAGCUCGUAGCAUACCGCUCCCCAAUCACCAGAUUGAACAGACCCAGUGACUGCGUACCUGUCCACCGGCAAUCCCAAUUGCAAAUUUACGUCUUCCAAAGUAAUAGUACACUCUCCACAUGGAAGAUUGAAUGUGUGCAUCUCGGGUCUCUACCUCUCAAUCAACGCACUGAUAAGUUUUGGGUCCAACUUGCAUCCCUAGUCUACCGUCGCCACGUGCCAAAAACCUGCUUCCCAUAGGUAAUUCUCUACCAACGGUGAUGGAGGACCAUGCAUAUUACGAAUAUAGCAUUGCAAUAUCCGAUCUAUAGACUUUUAUAAGAAAUAAUAAAAUAAAAAUUAUUUAAAAUUGCAUAAAUCAAAAAAAUCUUAAAUAAUUUUUAAAAAUUAAAUUUAACACUUACCAUUUUCAUUUGUUCAACGGAUAUGUGAUUGUUAUCGAGACGAAUUAAUUUUCUGGCCAUUGCUAACACGAUCAAAUUUUUAUGAUUUAAAAAAAAUCAAAAAAAAUAAAACUAAAUAUUUUUUAAAAAUAAUUAAAAAAUUAAAGUUUUUUUUAGAGGAAUUUGAGAGAAUAUUGGAGAGAAAUUGAGAGAAAGGAUUUAGGUGUGAAAAAAAUAGAAGGGGGUUUUAUAGUUUUUUUUACCGUUGGGGGGUCACCAACAGUCAAAAAGUAGCCGUUGGUAUUGAUCACGCGCGGGCAAGGACGCGCUUUCUGUCCACGUGGACAAAGCGCUUCCUUGAGGAAGUGUUUUCCUGCCUCGUCACCUGACAACGCGCUAACGUAGAUGCGUUUUCGGGGUUAUUUCGGUAAUUAAUUUUUUACCGGGCCCAUUUUAGUAAUUUUUUAAAACAUGGGCUGUUAUUAGUAUUUUGCCUUAAAUUUUCAUUUGUUAUCAUAAAAUUAGUGUUAUAAUUAUUUUGUCACUGUCAAACAUAGAAUGGCGGUCUCUUUUUUCUCUUUUACUAUGUGCAAUUGGGGCAAAUUACCAAUAAAAGUCCCUUUAUUUUUAAAAUUACCGAAAUGGGCCAGGUCCUGAAUUAAUUAUCGAAAUGGGCCAUUUCCCCCAAGAAUGUGUCCACGUCAGCGCGUUGUCAGGGGAUAAAGCAGGAAAACACUUCCUCAAGGAAGCGCUUUGUCCAUGUGGACAGAAAACGCGUCCACAUGGAUAGAAAACGCGUCCUUUAGGGCGCGCUUUGUGUCCACGUGGACAAAGCACUUCCUUAAGGAAGCGUUUUCCUCGUGUCUGCUACAGUACCAACGGCUAUUUUUUUUACCAUUGGUAAUCCUCCGAUGGUAAAAAAAAAAAACUAUAAAACCCCCCUUUCUUUUUUUUUUCACACUUAAAUCAUUUCCAUCUUCAAUCUUUCAAUAUUCUCCCAAAUUUCUCUCAAAUUUCUCUCAAAUUCCUCUCAAAGCUCUGUUUAAUUUUUUUUUAAAAGCUCUAAUUUUAUUUUUUUGGAUUUAUUUUUUUAAAUAAAAAAACUUGAUCGUGUUAGCAAUGGCCGGAGAAUUAAUCGUCUCGAUGAUAAACACAUAUCCGUCGAACAAAUGAAAAUGGUAAGUGCUAAAUUUAAUUUUUAAAUAUUAUUUAAGAUUUUUUUCAUUUAUGCAAUUUUAAAUAAUUUUUAUUUUAUUAUUUCUUAUAAAAGUUUGUAGAUCGGAUAUUGCAAUGCUAUAUCCGUAAUAUGCCUGGUCCUCCAUCACCGUUGAUAGAGAAUUACCUGCGGGAAGCGGGUUUUUGGCACGUGGCGACGAUAGGCCAAGGGUGCAAGUUGGACCCAAAACUCAUUAGUGCAUUGAUAAAGAGGUGGAGACCGAGACGCACACAUUCCAUCUUCCAUGUGGAGAGUGUACUAUCACGUUAGAAGACGUAAAUUUGCAAUUAGGAUUGCAGGUGGACGGGUACGCAGUCACCGGGUCUGUUCAAUCUGGUGAUUGGGGAACGGUAUGCUACGAGUUUUGGGUGCUAUUCUGGAUAAUGUUAACGGAGGUCGGAUCGAGAUAGGUAGGUUACGAGACACAUUCCUGGAGCUGAAUGAUGGUUCUACCGAACUAGAAAGAAUAUGAUAUGCUUAGGCAUAUAUUCUUGAGAUAAUUGGAGUUUAUAUGGUGCCGGACUUGUCACGAAACCUUGUACAUCUGAGAUGGCUGCUGAAACUCGUUGAUUUUAGAACAGCUGGUGAAUUUAGUUGGGGUCUGUCGUGUUGGCAACAUUGUACCGAGAGAUGUACGGGGUGACGUGACCAAAUAAAGAGAAAAUCGGAGGUUGCCUAUCACUACUGCAAUCAUGGACACGGUUUCACUUUCUAUUUUUACGUCUUCGAGUGGUCCACCCUAUACAUUCCCACUCAUAACGAGGUAAAUUUUAUAUUAGAUUUUACAAUUAUUACGUAUAUUUAAAAUAUAAUCAUAUGCUAAAAAUUUAUCUAAUUAGGUGGAACCAUUCGGCAAGUUAUGUUUGAUUACCUACCUCUCUUGAAGAUAUACGGCUUCUAUUAGACCAAUGGUCGGAAGCAGAAGUAAGUAUUAAAUAAAAUACAUAUACAUAAUGAGAUAAUCAAUUCGUAUUUAGUAUUUAGUAUUUAGUAUUUAGUAUUAUGUAUAUAACUAAUAUUUCCAUCAUGUUCAUAUAGUUUCAAUGGACACCAUACGAGGAUCCGGCAAUUCAGGUAGUAAUUUUGGAUGAAUACUUGCAAAAUCCGAACGCUUGGCUUGUGAAUGUCUCAUUGGUCAACUUUGUGGUCGUGAAGAUGCACCAGUCAGACAGAGUACUACGAUAAUUUGGAUUUUGACAACCGAUUCCUGCGGCACCUGAGGUGUUGGAUGAUCAUCACAGAAUCGACUUAUGACAAUUGCAUGCAGAUUGGCCGUGUAACAGCCCGAUUCUGGGCCUAGUCGGAACAGUGGUUUCGGGACCACAAAUCCAACGAGGGAAAACAUUAUUGUCAUUAUAUUUUUAUGGUCUACAAUUUCAUAGAAAAACUUUGUAAAAAUUUCGUUCGAAAAUUUCGACGUUUGGGCACUCAAUUUAGUCAAAAGGACUGAAUUGUAAAAAGUGCAAAAGUUGAUUUCUACAUGUUAGAAGUGUCUAAUUGUUAUGAAAUUAUAAAUUGGGGGUCCUUAUAUGGUAUUUAGACCAUUAGUUAAUUGAUGGACAAAAAUAGACAUAAGAAAUGGGUGAAAUAGAUUUUUUUAAAUGGAGGCAUUUUAGUCAUUUGGUAAUAAAAAGAAUAAAAAGGGAAAAAGAUGGCAAAAAAUCAUCAUCUUCUCCAUAAGUUGCUACCGAAACUUGGAAGACACCAUAGCUAGGGUUUCUUCACUUUCUCAAGCUCAUAGUAAGUGCAUCCUAGCCCCGUUUUUAAUGUUCUUCUCAUUUUUGAUAUCCUCGUAGCUCGGUUUAGCUUAUUCUACCAUUAAUUCAUGUUAGGGUGCAUAUUUGGAAAAAUACCCAUAGGUGAAAUAUGUUUAUUUUACUGUUUUAUGGUAGAAUAUGGAGCUACAAAUUAUGUUAAACAACUUUUGCUAAGCGAUUUUAAGUAAAAACGGGUAAAUUGACAUANNNNNNNNNNNNNNNNNNNNNNNNNNNNNNNNNNNNNNNNNNNNNNNNNNNNNNNNNNNNNNNNNNNNNNNNNNNNNNNNNNGUAAAACAUAAGAAUAAGGUGUGAAAUUUAAUUUUCGAGCCUAGGGAUGAAAAUGGAAAUAUGCAAAAUUUUGGGGGUAAAAUUGUAAUUUUUCAAAAAGUUGAGUGGAGGACUAUUUUAAUAAAUGUGAACAUUAAAUGAGUUAAAUUUUUUAUUAUAGAUCAAGAAAUACGAGAAGAUAAUCUCAAACGGGGAAAAGAGAAGGUUGUGGAGUAAAUUGCAAAAUUACGAUAUUUUGCACCGAGGUAAGUAAACAUGUGAAUUAAUGUAUUAUUUUGUUAUGAUUUAAUAUAUGUUGAGAUUUAAUUGAACAUAGAAUAAAUAUUUGGCAUAGAUCCUAAAAAUGUGGUUAAGUUGGGAAAGGUGGCAAAGUAUUGAAAAACGAGGUUUCCGGUUGAACACUCGGAUUAAGCCGGAGUAUAUUGAAUAUAAAGGGGGUUGCUGAGUGCUGAUUCCCCCAAGGGGUUGCUAAGUGCUGAUUCCCCGAACCAUUGGUGGUUGUUAAGUGCUGAUCCCACCGUAUCUUAAAUGUGAAAGGGGUUGCUAUGUGCUGAUUCCCCGAAUCAUUGGUGGUUGCUAAGUGCUGAUCCCACCGUAUCUUAAAUGUGAAAGGGGUUGCUAAGUGUUGAUUCCCCGAUUCAUUGGUGGUUGCUAAGUGCUGAUUCCACCGUAUUUUUGAAUGUGAAAGGGGUUGCUAAGUGCUGAUUCCCCGAAUCACUGGUGGUUGCUAAGUGCUGAAUCCAUCGAUAACGGAUAACAUUCCGAGUGUUCAAUGGGAAACUGGAAAGGUGAAUAUUUAUAUAUGGUGGACAAGGUUAUGUGAGGAAUAUUGGGUUUGAUACUUAAUCAACCCAUGUGUAAGGUGAAAGGAAAUACCAAAACUUCAAAAGAACAAAUUUAAAUAUAAAACUGUUUUGUAUAAUAACAGUUGGGCAAAUUUGAAAAAUCACCAUAAAUGGUGGAAAAAAAAUUAGAGGCUGGAUAAUAUAUGAAAUUGAAUCUGAAUAAGUCUAUUUUUGUAUGAAAGAAACAUAGCAAGCAAAAGAGUUCUGUAUUUGGGGAUAUUUAAAUUUUAUUGAGACAGGAUUAGAUUGAUUUCGAAAUCCCCUGUUUCAACUUCGGAAAAUCACCAAAAAUUGUAAAAAACUUAUUAUGGCUUGAAAUUUACAUGCUUGAACUCCUUGGUGAUUCUUUUUUUAAUAGAAACAAACAAGAACAUUGUUUGAAUUUUUUACAGAUAGUUAAGUGAAUUUUAGUAAGGAGAGGUCAGAAUUGUUAGGCACUGAAAUAAGGUAAUAUUUAGAGAAUAAACUGUACUAAUUGGAUAAACUAAAAAUUCUAAAAAUUUUAUGGUGGAAAGAUAUAUGAGUCUAGUUUUGGGGAAAAUUUACGGAAUUCAAUUUGGAGCCUUGUAACUCCAGAUAAAAAUAAAUUAGUGACCAUGACGCAGAAAAACAGUUUGCUUGAAAUUGAACAAACAAUGAAAUUUAUGUGUGAUAAAAAUUAUGUCACUAUGUAAUCUUGUGAGAAAUUUAUUUAUUUGUCAUAUGUUUACUUACUAAGCUAUAUGCUUACUCAUCUUUAUUUUUCCCCUGAUUAUAGUGACAUCAGCCAGCUCGGAAUUUGAACGAAGUUUAAAAUCAUCCACACUGUCAUCAACUUUUUGAGGUAUUUUGGCAAUCAACACUUUUGAAACAUGGCAUGUAUAGAUGACUUUAUGUAUUGUGGUAUAAAUAUGUAUAUAUAGUAAUGUUCGGUUCAAUAUGUUGGUGUUUAUUAAUGGAUAAAUUAUGUCUGAUUAUAUAAUUGUAAUUGGUUGGAAAUAUUGAAGUUAUUUGAAGUUGUCUUUGGAAAUUUACAGGGGGUUUUAUGUAAAAAUAAGCAGAAAUGCUGCCGAAAUUUUUAUAAAAAAAAUUUAUAAGUAUUUGAGUUCUAGUAAUACUUCAUACUCUGUUUUGGUAAGGAACAUGGGUAAGGGGUGUUACAGGCCGAGAUUCUGGUCACACUAUAUCCAAAUGUGGGAAGAUCAGUAUGAUUAUAUACCUACUGGAAUACAUGUCAUAGUAUAGGAUCCAUGGCAAGCCAUAUUUACUGUCGGAAGAGGAGAGGCGGCGACAAUUGCGUGUCCAAAGGGAACGACGUGGCCCUUUAAAUCCAAGAAUCCAGCGCGUAACCGUUGAUGACCUCCAUGUGGCACUGAAUUCGGUGGGCACGAACAUUGAUUUUUAUUUUAAUAUAUUUGUACAAACAUUUUAAAUAUUUUUAUUUUAUUUCAUGUAAUAAAAUAAAAGGUUGUUUUGAAUAAAGUAAUUGUAAUUUACUUUUAUAUUUUUAAUAAAAUAGAAAUUCUUUUAAAUAAGGCAAUAUUUUGAAUAUUUUUAUAUUAUUUCAUUUAAUAAAAUAUAAAUAAUACAACAUAGUUUUUUACAACAACUAUCAACUAUUGCGAUUUGGACAUGAUCUACUUGUAUAGUCUGGGUUCCUACACCAUCCGCACAAGUUUUGUUGAUUGGUUGUUUCUCGGAUAUCCAUAUUGUUACGUAUUCUAGUCGAGCAAGGUCGACCCUUUGGUUUGCGAUGCAAUUCUCUAUCCGAUAACAACUUAAAGGGAGCAAACGAUACAGACGGCCACUUACGUUCAUCUGAGACUGGUGGGAAUACGUGUCUCUAGAUGUUAUACAUGUAUUCUAAUUUGUACACUUCGUCGACAUAGCUCAUGGGAUCCAGACGGAGAUUCUGACAAAUUGCAAUUACAUGAGCGCAUGGAUAAUGAAGUGCGUCAAACAUCCCAUAGUCGCAAGUCCUAUUUUUCAAGUGUACACGAUAUUGCCCGCUAGUAAUACCUUGGUGCGGUCUGUCAAACUCCGUCAAACGAAACCAUAAGUUGUCUCGAUCGUGACACACUGUGUGCAUGGUGUUCACUCGCGCAUUCGCCUUGUUAAUUUCUUGCAAUCCCUUCCUGCACCAUACAUGGGCUCCCUGUAUUUGGCUUGCAUAACUCGCUGCUCGCUUUGGAAAUAGCACUGCUAAACGAAAAUAUAUCUCUCGCACAAUCGAUGUUAUCGGUAAAUGACCCAUUUUUUUUAGAACAUAAUUUAUGCAUUCAGCUAGGAUUGAGGUCAUAUGACCAUAUUGUAGGCCGCUGUCGUAUGCUUGUUUCCAUUGUUCGAAAGGUAUGUUACAGAGGUAGUCUGCGCCUUCGUCGUUAACUGAACGCAAAAUUGCCAACAUCUCAUGAAAACGGUUUUUACUUAUUUCAUACCCUGCCAAUAUAAAUUUAUAGCGAAUAUUACAUACCACUCUUUCAUUUAGAAUAAAUUCAAAAUGACAAAAGAUAAUUAUAUUAAUAGAGACUAAAUACCCAUGUUGGUCACUUGUCGUUAUUCACUUUUAGAUGGAUAUUGCCUAUAGUAGUUGGAAGCAACGUGCCUUAGGCAAUACCGAUGGUGUGUGCGCUGCCAUAGGCUUUCCUGUCGCUCAAUAGCAGCUAGUAUUUCGGUGCCCCGAUCUGAAAUAACACAGAUAUCAGGUUGGGGGCACACAUGUCUCCUUAACCUAGAUAGAAAAAAAUUCUAGUCAUCAGCUGACUCUCCCGGUGUUAUUGCAAACGCAAUUGGAAGAAUUCUCCUACUACCAUCCUGUUCCACUGCUAGCAAUAGUCGAUGGGUAUAUCUACCAAACAUAAAGGUACUGUCAAUUUGUACCAAUGGCUUGUACUAUAGAAUUACGUCUCGGCAUUGCUUAAAGGUCCAUAACAGACGUUUGAACACUUGGCAUCAAUAGAACAAUCAGUCGUUGUAGUACGCACGUUUCGUUUCAAGGUCUGUUAUGCAACCUGGGACGUAUCUCUCUAGCACUUGACACCACUGCCAUAUUUCAUUAUAUGAAGCGUCCCACCCACUAUGCAUCUUCUCCAACGCCUUCUGCUUAACUAUCCAAGCCUUGAGGUAAGAGGGCGUGUACCCCAUUUGGCUACGAAUAUUGGCAAUUAAGACCGACACUGAAGUCCUAGGAUCUGCCUUCAUCGUGGGUAGUAUUAAGCUAGCUAACAUAGCUGAAUCCAUCUUGGGAUGAUCUUGUGAAAUACCUGUCAACGAAGUACAUUAAAUAAUACAAUAUUACAUAAUAACAGUAUUAUUCAAAAACCCUAAAUACUAUACCUGUAGCACAUAUAUGUAGACCUUUGUACUUUUUUAUCUCCCACAAACUUGUCCUUUUCCUCAACGAGGCAUAGAUUUUCCAUGAACAUGUACCAUCUUACACUACACACUUCACCUCAAACUUAUCAGAUUUGGAUUUAACCACGUGGUAGUUAACGCCAUUAUUGAUGAUAUGUUGUUUCAAUGCACCAAGAAAACUAUACUUAUUGGAAAACUCCUAACCAACUUCAAAUUCACCCGAAUCCAAUAAUGAACUUGUACGAUCACGCAUUUUGUGUUGUAGAUCUGGAAACUCCAACGCAUCAUCUGCAGAUAGAUCGACAUUAUGCAUGUGGGCUGGAGGCGAGUAUGCCCUGAAUCGUGGAUCUUCUUCUUCAUCUAAACACCUUUCAACAUCUUCAGGUUCGGUUGGAAUAUGCUCCGGUUCAAAAAAUAAUACAACUUCUGCACUAUCAGGGCUAGGCUCUCGAGGUGGAUCUACAUCAGACUCAUCUUCUAACCCACCAUCAUCUGCAACGUACGAGGUCCCUCACCGGUGGACGUCGUAGGGAAUACAUCAUCCCUUUUUCUAGGCAUUUCAUAACAUCCCCAAUUGUUUGUAGAUUGCCAACAACUAGAAGUUGAUGCCGUUCCCUAGUACGUAUUUCCAGCAUCAAACAUCAAAAAUCGAUACCUAGUGUCGAAACCAUUUUUUUUUGUAAAAAAGGGUCUACUUUUAUCUUGAAAAUGAAAACGAAAAAAGGGGAGUCGCCACCAAUCCUUUUUAUUUAGGUGUGAUCGGAUCACCUCAUAAUUUAACCAUUUUAAUAAAAGUUUAAAUUUACUAAAACGAUAAUUUUUGGUCUACAAAAUUCAUAAGACGGGUUCGGGAGUCGAUUACGCAUGACGAAGGAUUAGCACCCUCGAUACGCCCAAAAUUGGUACCUAGUUGAUUACUUAAUGUCUUAAUGUCGAAAGUUAAAAUUUUGAAAAAGAUUUUAAAAUAUGAUUCCUUUUUUUAAUGAUGUUAAUUUUAAAAACGCUUGAAUUAAAUCGAAACGAAUGUCAAAGACCUCUCGUCUCGAGAUAAUAAAUGUCACAUCCUGUAAGUUAGGACACGACACUUGGAACCCUCGAGAAUAAGCUAGCCUUUAACUUUUAUUGGAAUUUCGUAAACUUUGAAAAUUAGAAGGAUAUUUUUCUAUUUAGGUUCAACAAGAAAAUUAAAACCCCGUAAGUUAGGGUAUAAUUUCUCAAAUCUCCAAAACACGAAAUAUUGCCUUAUUUUAAAACUUUUCCUUUUUUGAGUAAUUGCAAGUACAAUACUUGAACGAGGUGCAUUUGUUUUAUUUGUGACAAAAUAGAACGGUUUAUUAUGGUAUUUACAAAUCGAACGAAACUUUUUAAAUGAUGCAAUGAAAUGGAACGAUAACAUAGAACAUAAAAUAACAAUUUGUGAAUAAAAUGUUACGCUAAUGAGUGGCAAUAAUAUGAGAAUAAAUAAACAAGUUAUGGUACACAUAAUGAUAAUAACCACACAACAUGCAUCAUUUUAAAAAUACCAAUAUUAAUAAUCAAAGUAAACGAAGCAAAAUAAUAUAGAAAACAAUUUCACGUAAAUAAUAGUCUAAAUAAAUAAUUUACGAGAACAAUAAAUGAUAAAAGAUUUCUAAUAAAUGAUAUAUAAAAACUUAGAAUGAAUAAUAAUACAAUAGUUUAAAGUAAAUAAUCAAGAAAAGAAAAAAAAUAUAAAACAAUUUUCCUUAAAACAAAUAAAUAAUAGUUUAAAAUAAAUAAUAUAAUAAAAACAUAUAUAAUAGUUUAAAAUAAAUAAUAUAAUAAAAACUUUUAAACAAAUAUUAAGUAAAACAGUUUAGAAUAAAUGAUAAAUAAAACCUUAAAACAAAUAAUAGUAAAAGAGUUUUUUUAAAUAAAAUAAACAAAUAAAUUAAAUAUACUAAGGAUGAUACUGAAAUCGAUCCAGAAUUUGGGGUUCAAAUUGAAAAUAAAUAAAAAAAAUGGGCUACUAGGGACUGAAAUAGAGCGCGCUUAAGGAAUGAAAGAUCGACCGGGCAAUAUUUCCAGCCCUCAUGCGCAGUAUUUCAGCGCGGACUAAAAUCAAACAAACUGAAAAUUAUGCAGCUAAAAUAAAAGGAACAAAUGGGGUCAAAUUGCACCACGUCAAACAAAUAGAGGGACCUAUUGCGCAAAUAGCCCCUUUACUGCAGAAACACACAGAUCCUGAGGGAAAACAGGUCGGUUUUCGGGUCUGAAGCCUAAACGACGUCGUUUUGGCCUCUAAGCUCACUCCUCAAAACGACGCCGUUUCAUGUUGCUAUAAAGGCCAAAUAUUUUUAAAAAUCCUUCUUUUUUCCCUUCUCUCUAAAAAAACAAAAUAGAAUUCUCUCAAGCCCCUUUUCCCUUCCCAAAAUCUAGCCAGGGGUCUGGCCAUCGGCCACCGUGCCGGCCGCCGAUCGCCGACAAUGGCACCACCAUCCGCGGUGGCCAAAAAAAGCCAAAGCCGCCCCUUUCGCUCCUCUUUUCGAGUAGAGCCCGGAUUUAGAGUUAAAAUAACCCAAAAGACCCUUAAAGUUCGAAAAAAAGAAGAGAAAAGGAAAAAAAAAAGGGACUUUUCAGUUUCCCAUUACUGCCGGUGGGGAUUCGGCGAGCCCACUGGCUCAAUCACCCUCAACACCGGGGAAACCUCCGACUACGGCCACAAAGGUAACAAAUCUCGCUCCUUUAUUUAUUUUAUAUUUUAUAUUAUUUAUUAUUUCGAAUAAAAAUAAAUAUAUAUAAAAAGACCUUGAUUUUCUCUGUUUCAAACUCCUUUUUGUAUUCAGAAUUAGUGUGUAACCGAAAAAAUUACAAAGAUGAUGCUCGGGCUUUUAUAGCCGAAAUUCAUGAUUCGUUUUUGUUCUUUUUCUUUUGUUUGCUUCCAUUUCUUUUUUUUUUUCGUUGUCCUCUUUUGCUUGCAUGUUGCAGGUGGUGGCAGAGGGCGUCAGACGCGUGAGGGAGCCUGGUGCGCAUGUGGCGGUGGCAGCGUGCUGACGUGGGAGGAGCGGUGGCACUAGGGGGCUAGGGUUUCUUUUUUUUUUCCUGAAAGUGUGUUUAGGCUAUUGGGCUUAUCGGGCCAUUAGGGUUUUUUUUAUUUGGGCUUGAUGUUUUAAAAUUGGACUUGUAAUGGACUGUAAUUUUGGACUCUUAUUUUAUUUAUUUGGUUUGGUAUUGGGCCCGGGUAAAAUUGGGCUAUUACACCUAAUAGACAAAACUUUCAUUGGCGUCGUUCUGAAUAUUUUACGCCUAAUUAUUUUACGAAGUUCUGUCAAAUCUAUGUUCUGGUUAAAACCAGUCGCACUGUAAUAUCUGGUAAAAAAAACAACACCGUUCUCGGUGUGACGAACCUCACCAUCAUAGUAAAUAACAGCACUAAUACGUUCACUCAUCUUCAAUUUCCAUCCUUCUUAGCCUCUCUAUUUUUUUUUUGCUGUAACCUAUGCAACCUGAGAAAAAAAUUUGGCUCAUUUAUAGCCUCAGGCCAAAUAGAAACUACUGUAGCAAAAGAGCGUCCAUGUGGGAGCUUCUUUCAGUACUUUUGCUGCCAUUGCAUCCUGCUUGAAGCAUUUUUGACACUAUUUGCUCAGAAACAUCUUCUCAAAAUUAUUUUUUCAGAAAUUACUGUAGCAAAAGAGCGUCCACGUGGGAGCUUCUUUCAGUACUUUUGUUGACAAUGCAUCCUACUUAAAGCGUUUUUGACACUAUUUGCUCAGAAACGUCUUCUUAAAAUUAUUUUUUAGGAACUACUGUAGCAAAAGAGCGUCCAUGUGGAAGCUUUUUUAAAUUAACAAAUAAUUUAAUUAAGUAACCCUAAACCCCAAAUCCUAAUUUAUUUUAUUUUUCCUUAAAAACUCUAAACACUAAACCCUAAUCUAAUUUUUUAAAAUUUUAUAAUUAAUUUACUCAAGUAACCCUAAACCCUAAUUUAUUUAAUUUUUUCUUAAAAACCCUAAACACUAAACCCUAAUUUGAUUUCUUUAAAAUUUAUAAUUAAUUUACUCAAGUAACCCUAAACCCUAAUUUAUUUGAUUUUUUUCCUUAAAAAUCAUAAACUAAUUUUCUAAAAUUUAUAAUUAUUUUAAUUAAAAACCCCUAAACCCUUAUUUAUUUAAUUUUUUUCCUUAAAACCGUAAAAUCUAAAAACCCCAAAAUCUUAAAACCCUAACUCUAAUUGUAGAAAACCCUAAGCCUAAAAAAUGGAGAAAACGCUUCCUCAAGGAAGCGCUUUGUGCACGUGGACACAAAGCGCACCCUCAAGGACGCGUUUUCUAUCCAUGUGGACAAAGUGUUUCCUUCAGGAAGCAUUUUCCUGCUUUAUCCCCUGACAAAACGCUGACGUGGACUCAUUUUGGAGAAAAUUGGCCCAUUCCGGUAAUUAAUUUAGGAGCUGACCCAUUUCGAUAAUUUUGAAAAUAAAGGGGCUUUUAUUGAUAAUUUUUCGGUACAAUUGUCACCCAAAAAUAUAUUAUUUUCAACAAAACUAAAGACUUUAUUUAAGAAAUAUAUUAUUUUAAAAUUGUUAGUUAAAAAACUUAAUUGAUCCAUUCUCUAAGAAAGGGUUUAAUUUCUUUUUGGAGGGGAGGAUUUAUUAAUAAGAAAGGGUUUUUUUUUAUUACAAAUUCACCCGUUCCCAAAGACUAUUUUUAAUAUAAAAAAUAAAAUGUGAAUUCAAUGAAGUCAUGUCAAGAUUUUAGAGUAAGUUUAAGUAGGCGGUGUAUUUACUUAUAUUAAGUAUAAAAUUAAAAUGACAAUAAAAUAAAAUUAGAUAUACGAUAAUAAAAGAUAAAAAGUAAACUAAACACAUCGCAUUGGACUGUUCACCCAUCCAAACGCACGCUAUAUUGGUAUCAUAGUGAAAUCUGUGUCAGGUUAACAGCCGCAUAACAGCCAUAGCUAGGUUUGGUGAUGUAAAGAAAGGAGAAUGAAUAGAAAGAGAAUAUCUGACUGUAGUAAAUGAGUCAUAGUUAGGUUUGGUGAUGUAAGGAGACGAAUAAACGAGUUAAAGAGCAAAUUGGAACACUGUUGCUGGACGAAUCCAAAUGUUCUGUGACUAUUAGAGCUUAGCUUUCCAAUUUUCUCUUUAACUUGUUUACUCAUCUCCUUACAUCACCAAACGUAACUAUGGCUCAUUUACGAAAGUCAGAUAUUCUCCUUGUACUCCUCCUUUCUUUACAUGUUAUUAUUAUAGCUCAAGAAAACGAGUCGAGCAUCAUCCAACCAGCUUCUUCACUUUAUGCCGGAAAACACCCUAGUUCAUGGCCCUCAUCUUCAGGGUAUUUCCGAUUUGGUUUCUAUCCGCAAGGCAAUGGAUAUUCGGUCGGAAUCUGGCUUGUUGGCCGGUCAGAAAACACCACUGUCUGGACCGCAAAUCGAGAUGAUCCGCCUGUCUCCUCAAAUGCUACUUUGGAAUUCACAACACAAGGCAGGUUGCUUCUUCGGACUGAGGACGGCAUGGAAAAAAUCAUUGCGAAUCUGACCAUGUCAGUAUCUGUUGAUGCAGCUUCUAUGUCGGACACCGGGAAUUUCAUGCUCUACCAGAACAGGACUGUUGUUUGGGAGAGCUUUAAUUUUCCAACGGACACAAUAUUAGGAGGCCAGAAUUUAAGCGGUUCUCAUAACAUGUUGAUUUCCAAUGUGUCAAGGUCAAACCAUUCAUCUGGGCCAUAUUUGUUGAGAAUGCAGGAUGAUGGUAACCUUGUAGCCUAUGCAAAUAAUCCUGCUGAACUUGAUCCUAGUGAUGCAUACUGGGCCACUAUGACUAAUGGUUGGUAUUUUUCUGUGUUGAAUCUCAAUGAAAGAGGCGUUCUAGCAAUGUAUUCAUCACCAAAAUUCCACCAAGAAAAAGUUUUGGCAAACCUCUCCGCAACUGGGAACGAAACAAUGAUUAUCUACAGAGCAACCCUUGAUCCUGAUGGAAAUUUCAGAUUGUACUCGCAUCAACUCGAACGCAAUACUAUCUCACACAAGUGGCAGAUUCUGAAUGAUGAAUGUGAUGCUAAAGGUCAAUGUGGGUUGAACAGCUACUGCUCCAGCAGGGGUAAGGAUACUGAGUGCUACUGCUAUCCUGGUUUCACAUUUAUCGACGAGAAUACCAAAUCCCUGGGCUGCUCUCAGAAUUUCACUAUAGAUGAGUGCGUGGCAAGGAAAGAUCUAGUGAUACAUUACAACAUCACUACCUUAGACAAUAUUGAUUGGGCUGGUGAUCCUUAUUCUGUCAAGCAAAACUUGGAAAAGGAAGACUGUAAGAAAUCUUGCCAGGAGGAUUGCUCCUGUGGCGGAGUUCUCUAUUCUAACCGAAAAUGCUGCAGCAUGUAUAUGCUACCGCUCAAAUAUGGUAAAAGACAUGGAAAUAUAACAACCACAGCCUUCAUCAAGUUGAUUCUGGGUAGCACCAUUAGCCACCCACCCGAAACAAGUCAAAUAUUGAUAAGCGAAGGAAACCAAAGCCUCAUUUUAACCAUGGGCUUAAGUUUGGGUUCCGUUGCAAGCUUGUGUUUUGUGAUUGCAAUAGGUAGCUUCUUGUUAUACAAGCACCGAGUCCAAAAUUAUGAGAAGCUUUUAGAAAAUAAAAGUUCAGGAUUAACCGAGCAGUUUACGCUACGAUCAUUCACUUUCGAUGAGCUAGAUGAAGCAACAAAUGGUUUCCAAGAUGAGUUAGGAAAAGGUUCAUUUGGAACAGUUUAUAAAGGAAUUUUGCGGGAUGGUAAAAGUAAAACUAUUGCCAUUAAAAGACUGGCGAAAGUUAACGAAGGAGAAACAGAUCAGAUUCGAACCGAGAUGACAGUCAUUGGAAGAACUAAUCACAGGAACUUAGUCCGAUUGCUUGGUUUUUGUGUGGAAGGUUCAAGGAAGCUCCUCGUUUAUGAAUACUUGGGCAAUGGCUCACUGGCAAACUUUCUGUUCAACAUGAAUAAACGCCCAGUGUGGAAAGAGAGAGCCCGAAUUGCAUUGGACGUAGCUAAAGGUAUCUUUUAUUUACAUGAAGAGUGUGAGGUGUGUAUCAUCCAUUGCAACCUCAAGCCCCAUAACAUACUCUUGGAUGAUUCAUUGACUGCAAAGAUUUCAGAUUUUGGGUUGGCAAAGCUAUUGAGGACUAAUCAAACAUGCAGUACCCCUAGGACCAAAGGGACUGCAUGGUACUCGGCACCUGAAUGGCAAAGCAGUGGAUUGGUGUCGGUAAAAGUUGAUGUAUACAGUUUCGGGGUGAUACUAUUGGAGAUCAUAUGUUGCAGAAGCAACAUAGAAGUACAAGUUUGUAGUGCAGAUGAGAUACUGCUUUCUACAUGGGUAUACAGUUGCUUUAUUGGCGGAGAAUUGAAUAAGCUUGUGGAAGGUGAAGAAGAAGUGGACAUGAAAAUGGUGGAAAGAUUUGUGAAGGUAGGGCUUUGGUGCAUUCAAGAUGAUCCCAAUUUGCGUCCAUUGAUGAAAAAUGUCAUCUUUAUGCUGGAAGGAACAAUGACUAUACCAGUCCCUCCAUCUCCAUCACUUCUGUUAUAACUUUGAUUUAGUAUUUACUUUAAUUUUGCUUUUCAUGUGAUGCAUGAUGAUGUGCUUAUUUUUCUUUUCUUUAAUGUAAUGCAAUUAUGUAAGAUAAGAGAGUUUAAUUCUAAAAAAAUAAAAUUUCAGUAGUUAAAAAAAUAAUAGUGUUAAUUUUCUUGCCUUCAAAAUCUGUAUAUAUGGGGCAGCUCUUCACCGAAAAAAAAAAUUCAUUCUUGCCUUAAAAUUUUUUUCUUUUGAUUUCAUAUUUAUUUAAAUGAAUUGAUGUCUAAUUGACUUUUAAUAAAUAAUUAAAAUGUCAUUCCUAUUAAGAAAUGCUAACAAAUAUUAUUAUGAAAUAAUUCAAUCAAAUUGUUGGUGUGUAACUAUAGAAGUAAAAUUAUAAUUAACAAAUGAUAAAAUUGAUGAUCACAUGUCCAAUCGUAUAUGAUAAAACUUAAACUUGAAUACUUAAAAAGUUUAAAUCUCUCUCCUAACCAACAAAACAAAAUUGGGGCUAAAUUAGCCAUAUAUGCUAAUUUAUUUUUUAAAUUGGCCUUUUAAGCUGGAUUUUUGAAAAAUUAGGAAAAUAAACUAUUUUUUUGGAAAGAGGAAUGAAAAAUGUGUCCAAUUGGGCGUACUUUCUACACAGUUGGCAGGAAAGUUCGCAUAACUGGUCGCACUUUCCUGUAAAUUGGAUAGAAAGUGUGUCAACUAAGCGCACUUUCCCCCAACUAGAUACUCCAACGACUUUUUGAAAGUUGGUCGAGCAACGGUAAGAAAAUUUAAAAGAGGGCAACGAUAAAAUUUUUUCACUAUAAAUACCCCCUAUUUUAUUUUUUCACUCACAUCCUAUUCCUUCAAUUCUCUUAAUUCUCUCAAAUUUCUCAAGCUUUUCUUCUAAAUUUUUUGAUAUUCUCAUUUAAAAAUCUUAGUUUUUUUUAAUUAUUCCGUAUUUUAUUUGUUCGGAUUAAAUUUUCACGAAAUAGCAACCUCCCUAAUUCAUUUCGACAACAAGCACAUUUCCGUCACUCAAGUAAUAAUGGUAAGACGAAAUUUUAAAUUUAGUUAUUUUUAAUUAAGUUAAAAUUAAUUUUUUUAAUAUUAUAUUUUUUUGUUAUUAUAAAUAGGUGGAUGAUUGUGUUUUGGAGGGGAUCAUACAUAAUUUGGUAGCGUCUCCGAUCACCUAAAUUCAUGGUUACUUGUAAAAGGUGAGAUUCUUGCAUACGUCUCGUAUACUUGGGGGUUGCAAACUUAACCCUACACUCAUCAGCAUGUUGGUGGAAAAAUGGAGGUUUGAAACACACACUUUUCAUCUUUCAUGUGACAAGUGUACAAUCAUACUCAUAUGAUCAUCCUCUUUAUUUAGCACCAAAUUGGUUUCCAUAAAAAAUUAUAAUAUCCUUUUAAGUCUUUUUAAAAUUAAUCCUAUUAGAAUUAUUGAUUUAGUCUAAAGCUGAUCAUGGGUCGGGCCGAACCGAGGCAAAAAGUCUAGGUUUGGGCUCGAUCUACCCAUAUUAAAAUCUUUUAUAUAAUUUUUAUAUAAAAAUAAAUUUAAAAAAUAUAAUACAUCAAAUACUUUAAAAAUAUUAAAAUAAUUGUUUACCAACAAAUUAAAAAUACAUUAAAAAAUAUUUAUGCUUAAAUAACACUAAGAUAUAUACAACUUCACAAGUAAAUGCCUUUAAAAAAAUAGUAAAAUUAACAAUGAAACAAAAUUUAUACAAUAUUUAAAUAUUAACAACAAAAUAGUAGUAAUAUAAUAGCGAAAUUAUAGCAAAAUAAUAAUAAAACAACAACAAUUUUUCUUAUGCAAAUUCGGGCCGAAUUGGGCCUGAGUUGAAAAACUUACCUAAGACCCGAUCCUUUUAAAAAUUUAUCAUUAUCAUUUUGUCCAAACCUAUUUUAGAAACCUUUAUUUUUACCAAAAAUUUUCCAAACUUUUUGGGUCAGUCCUAUUCGCCCUGUCUAAUUUAGCCUAUAUUCAAUUUCCUCCUUUGCGUUUGCUUUUUGUUGUUUUCUAAAAAUUCAGCCUUUCAAAUUCCAAUUAAAUAAUUUGUUGAUAUUUUUAAAUUUUUAUUAUCUUUUCGACUUCAGCCAUUUAUUAUUUCGUCAUCACUUGCAAAAUAGAAGAGAGAAACACCAUAUUUCCCAUGGCUUCGGUGUGGGCUUUUCUCUUGCUCCUUUCUUCUCUCUGCGUGAAGCAGUCAAGCAGCAUCAUUUCGCUGGGAUCUUCGCUUUCCUCGGCCACUCAAUCCAUCCCGUGGCGUUCUCCUUCUGGUCGCUUUGCAUUUGGCUUUUACAGUCAAAACGGUGGCCUUUCUGUUGGAGUUUGGUUAGACGGCAGACGAAAGAACGAUAACAAAGUUGUAUGGACAGCAAAUCGUAAUGAGCCGCCGCUCACUUCGAAUGCAACUCUGAUAUUAAAUGGCAAAGGUGUGCUUCUUUCGAUCGCUGUGAGCGGAGAAAAGAAAUUUAUUGCUAAUCCAAACAAUUCGGAUGUCAGUGUCUUCUCUGCCUCCAUGCUAGAUUCAGGCAAUUUUGUGCUCUACAACAAAGACAAUCAUACCAUUUGGGAGAGUUUCGAUAAUCCUACUGAUACCCUUUUAGGAGGUCAGACUUUAUUAACUAAUCACAAGUUGAUCUCCAGUUCAUCAGAGAAUGAUCACUCACCUGGAAGGUUUCAUCUUACCAUGCAAAGAGAUGGGAAUCUCGUUCUAUACCCUCUAGAGUUCGAAGAUUCUCCUCCAAAUGCCUAUUGGAGCACAGAUACUUUUGGGAAGAACUUGUCGCUCAGCCUUUUUCUUAACGCCACAGGCCUCCUCGAACUCAUCAACAACGAUAAUUCGUCCAUCUACGACAAAAUUAAUCGUUGCUUUUCUAAAGAGCCGACAUACAAUGACUACAACGAAAGCAGCAGCAACAACAACAGUACUGUUUUCAGUGCAAGCCUUGAUGUUGAUGGGAAUUUCCGGUUAUAUGCUCAUCUGUUUGAGCAAAAUGGUGGGUUUCACACUUAUCUACUGUUGAGGGCGGUGUUAAAUUCCUGUAAAGUUAAAGGUUUUUGUGGUUUCAACAGCUAUUGCACAUUUAAUGAUUAUCAACCCUACUGUGCAUGCCUCCCCGGGACUGAUUUUAUUGAUCCUCUUCAGAACAAGCUCGGCUGCAAGAGAAAUUAUUCUGAAGCACACUGUAAAGGAGGGAAGGCCAAUAUACCCUUUUAUAACAUGACUUCAAUGCAAGGUAUUGUAUGGACUACGGGCAUAUUUUACAGUAAAGAGCAACUGUCCAAGGAUGCGUGCAGCCGAACAUGUUUGGAAGACUGCAAUUGUGAGGCAGCACAGUUCGAGAAUGGGAUUUGCAGGAAACAAAAGCUUCCACUCAGGUAUUUGCUACGAGAUCCUGGUGCCGGAGAGAUUUCUAUAGUUUUAUUGAAGGUGGGAAUCAAAAGCCUUGAAGCAGACGACGACACUGUUCUCUCUGAAUUAAAGCUACCCAAAGUCCUAAUCAAACGGAAAAAUACGACGGUGCUACUACUUCUUUUAACUCUCAGUUUUGUUGCAUGUUCAUGUGCUUUGCUUACAAUCUCUGGUGUAUACAUUUAUAAAUUUCGAGUUCUAAGAUACAAAAGGCUGUUGGAACUUGGAAAUUUGGGCCUAACGGAAGAGCUUACGUUGACAUUGUUUUCAUACAAAGAACUAAAGAGAGCAACAAAUGGGUUUAAAGAAGAGUUGGGUAAAGGAUCCUUUGGAGCAGUCUACAAAGGGUCUUUAGACAGAGGAAGACAGUUGAUUGCUGUGAAGAGACUCGAGAAGUUAGUGGAAGAAGGUGAAAAAGAGUUCCAAGCAGAAAUGCGAGCAAUUGGUAGAGCUCACCACAAGAAUUUAGUUCGACUUUUGGGAUACUGUGUUGAGGAUUCCAAGAGACUAUUGGUGUAUGAGUACAUGGGCAAUGGCUCCCUUGCAGAUCUACUUUUCAAGUCAACAAAGCCCCCAGAUUGGGAUGAAAGAACAAGAAUAGCCCUGGAUGUUGCUAGAGGAAUCCUCUAUUUGCAUGAUGAGUGUGAGACUCCAAUCAUUCACUGUGAUAUAAAGCCGCAAAACAUAUUGAUGGAUGAUUUAUGGAGAGCUAAAAUUUCGGACUUUGGGCUGGCAAAACUGUUGAUGGGAGAUCAAACAAGGACCUUCACAGGCGUAAGGGGAACUAGAGGAUACAUGGCACCAGAGUGGCAGAAAAAUACUCCAAUAUCAGUGAAGGCUGACAUUUACAGUUACGGAGUUGUGCUGUUGGAGACUGUGUUUUGCCGACGGAACUUGGAAACCAAUG
rnacentral:lncRNA from 1 species